rnacentral:lncRNA from 1 species
GUGUGCUCCGCCACUGCUAUUCAGAGCUGUCAGCAGAGCCCCAUUGAAGCCCGCAGCCCCAUGGAAGUCCAAUCGAAUCGUCUCUUUUCCAUCCCUGACUGGGUGGUUCUGGAUCAUCAAAUCUUCCCCAAGGACCUCGACUCCUUUCGCAACAACGUGGUGACAUCUGCAGAAGUAUGCGCUAGCAAUAGCGAACUGGUUCGCGUCUCCUUCAUUCUUAGUGCGCUGCCGGGUACAUCCCGUCUAUGCGUGCACCUCAAGGAGGGGCACGAGCUGUCCUGCUUGGACACUGUGGUGGCGGCCCACGGCAAGGCCGUCCUCUUCCGACUGAAGGUCGACUUUGAGGGGCUGACGGGCAAGGCGAUUGACUACUUCAUCUACUGGGCCUACACCUCUGGCCCCAAGCUCUCACUGGUCCCGCGCUACUACUCGACAGUAAAGGAGAUUGCAGCAGCAGAGGAGGGAUCCUGGAGGAGAAGGCUACGGUAUCGUAUGGCAAACUAUAGAGGUAUUGGCCUCUUGCUCACUGGCGAUUCAGAAGAAUUCGUGGUGGCUGAGCUCCGUCUUAAUCUUUCCAAGCUUGAAGACGAUGUAGAUGCACCUCUGGAAGGUGAGCUAUUCAGGCUCCGCUCGGAUGGGGCAGGCGCUGCUGGCGAGUGGGAGGUUAAGAACACGAGCGUCCGUGAUGGCAAGCCUACAUUUCGUGACAUUCAUGGUUGGUGGGAAGCUCACAAGGUUGUUCCUUACGCCAGGUACCUGUGCUGGGUGGACUACUACAGGGGUGUGAUCUUUUGCGAUGUGAACAAUGAUAACCCUGAGCUUCAGUACCUCGCGUUGCCUGUGGGUUAUGUUUUGCCUGGCUACCCUGUUCCCUUCCGCAGCGUAUUGCCACAGGUAUUCCGGGCUGUGUGCAUCACCAAGGAUGAAACAAUGAAGUUCAUCAAUGUUGUCCAUGAUGACAGUUUCCCAAUGGUAUCUGCUGGUUCUAGUUUCACCAUUGUUAUCUCGACAUUGGUGCAUGACUAUGAUGAAAUGAGGUGGCAGGAGGAUCUCAAGAUAGAGUCGCAUGAGCUCUGGGAGAUGGAAGGUUACGAUGAUCAGCUUCCACGCAUUGCGCCGCUGUUCCCACUGAUGAGUGUGGACAACCCCAACAUCAUCUACUUCGUGUUGAGGGAGAGGAAAACUCUUGAUGCUGGUGCAAAGACUUGCGUGGUUACCCUGGACAUGGUUAACAAGAAGGUGUUGUCAUAUAAAGAUAUCAAAGCCAUCCCUGAAGAGGAUCCCGUGAUGGCCUCUUACAAUAUCUUCUUAAAUGUGCCUUUCUUUCCUAGUGAAUUCUCCAAGCACUUGCAAAAGGCUGCUCCAAUGUAAGUUUGUGCUUCCUGUUUGCACAUUCUCAUUAAGUAGUUACUCCCUCCAUCCAAUUAUAGUCAUUCCAGAUCUUGGAGAGUCAAAGUAUCUCAGGUUUGACUGAAUUUAUAUGAUAUAUAUACAUUUAUGAUGUCAACUAAGUAUCAUUAGAUUCUCAUCAAUUAUAUUUUCAUAGUAUACCUAUUUGAUGCCAUAAAUCUUUAUAAUUUUCUCUAUAAUUUUGGUCAAACUUGAGAUACUUUGACUCCUCCCAAGGAUUCUGAAUUACUUAUAAUUUGGAAUGGAGGGAGUGUUUGUUAUGUUUUCCAUUCUUUUUACAUGCAUAUAAUUCGUGUUCUGUGUACCCCUGUUGAUAUGUUUAUCUACUUCUCUAGUUCUUGGAUAAGGUAAUGAAUCAUGAUGAAAUAAAUAGGAUUAUCCAUUUUGAAGUACUAACAAAGUAACAAUGCUAAUGCACUUUCGCGGCCUGUUUAUAUACGGAGGUUGGGAUCCAAAUCCGUAGGUUCAGUACAAAAUUGAACUAAAUCUCAAAAUUUCCUAGAGCCAUCUUCCCUAUCCAUGCAGGUCUGCAAUGUUUCAUCUAUUCACCUCUUCCUUUUCCCUUUCAGUCCAUCCAUUUAGUUUACUCCCACUCUCUGAAACAACUACUGUGCUGAUUGUUGUUCAGCCAUUGAGUGUUUUUUUGUUUGUCUGUUCAGGUGUUGUUCUUUGGUUUUAACACAUUCCUGUGUCCAUCUAUUUUCUAAACCUGGUUUCUGGACGGUUCUUAGCAGUCACGUUAAAAGAAUAUGCAUGUAGGAGCUAUUACUCCGCUGUUAUUUAUGAUGCUUCUUUUUGUAUUUGUUAACUUAAGUUUCUUGCUGUGUCAUGAAUUAUAUAAAUAUUUUGUAUGGUAAAAUCCUUAUUACUCCUGCUACAACAGUCUCCCAAAAGCCUCCAUAUAUGCUUUUAUCAAUAAACUCAUGUUCCAGUUUUACAUUAAGUUGGGGAAAUGCAAAACGUAUCUUCCACAUUCUAUACAAUGUUAUCAAUCUAGUUAGUAUAUUAUUUAAAUUAUGCUAGAGAAGACAUGGAUCUAUUGUAAAUUGACUUUGUAAAGAACAUAUUUAGCAGAUACAUUUUUUUAUAGAUUACUUUUAUAUUGGUCAUCAAACUAAAUUUAGAACCAGAGUUCCAUAUCUAUGUCCAUAUUCUAAUUAAUCUGAUCCAGUAGCUUUAUUGAAGACUUAUUGAAAUAAGUUUACCGUGAAUUGUGCUAAGUUCUAUUGAUUUGGCUGGCCCGAAUUUUACCCAAAAACAUACUUAAUGGGCAUGAAGUUUAAAUUUUGAUCACACCAUCUUCAUUAUCGUUCUUGAUCAUUAGGGUUUGAAUAUAAGAUCUGUCCUGCCAUGUUGAAUUUCUGAUUCAGUUAUUUCAUAUUUUGAUGCCCCUCUGAUGUUCAAAUCCUCAAACGUGUAUGAUGUUUGCCUAAAUGAUUGGAUCAUUGGUAGGAGUUAAAGACCAUGAGGACAAAACUGAAUUGAAGUACGACGUUUGUCCAUUCUAUAUGUAUGGCUCUCCCUGGCAAAUAAAUUAUUCCACAAUGAUGUGUCGUCACUAUGUUACUAUGAGAUCAAAAUGUCACAUGUUGUUAAUAUCACUUCUGAAACAAUAUAUCUUCAAAUUGAUAGGAGUAGAAAUCAGUUGCUGUUAUUAGGGAGAAAUCAGUUGUUGCAGAAAUGUUUUGGCCUUACAAGGUCUACCAUGUAUUUUGCUUUUUGUCAUCACGUUUUCCUUUAUUAAAAUGUUCUAGGAAAAAAUUGCAAAAUAUAUUGCAUUCCGGUACAUGAUAAGUAGAGUUUAGGAUGUCAUAUUUGUGUUACUCUACUCUCUUUUGACAUGUGCAGUUUUACGUUUCUUAAUAAAACACACAACUUUUCUAGAAAAUUCCAAACUUUCGUGUAUAUUACAUAAUAAUGUGCUACAGCUGAACAUGGAAUGUACUGUUUUCUCCAUCUCAGGUAAGGAGUAACAAUUUGGUUCAGUUCUAGUAGCUUGAAAAGGUCCCCCUUUUGAAGUAGUUAGGGCCCUUUGCAGUUGCAAUUGCAGUGGUGUGCAAUUGAAUUAGUUAAAGCUUUUUGAAAUUCUUGUCAGAUUUUGUUGUUCCAACAUCAAUUUUUUUCACUCAGCUAUCUGAUGCAACCAAAGAUAGAAACAUGUUUUUUUUAAAAAGAAAAACAACACACUGGUGAAUGGAUAUUUAGUAUUAUGCCUCUUCUAGGUUGUUUGGAUCUUUCGUUCUAAAUUAUAUGUUAUUGAUUAGGGUUAAAUGGUUUUCUUAAGAGAGCGUACUUACAUGUUUGUGUGUUUUUACCUUAAAGUUUCGAAAGGCCAGGACAGAAGGUGCGCUGGGUGGACAGCCUCUGCUUGCCCACCACCUAGAUACAGUUAACACUGGCGUUAACCGUAUCUGUCUGGAAAGCAUUUCUGAGGAUAUCCCCUUACAAGCAGAUUUGUUCUUCCCUCUGAGUUUAAUUUGAUCUGUUGUUCUUGAUGCUCAGUUUUUUUGUUCCCACACGUAUGUUGAAAUGCAGAACAGACCUUUAUUUUUGUGUUAGGUUAAGAUCCGUCCUGCUUAUUCUUUACUGAUACUUGCAAUAAGGUUAAUUGCUCCUGGUCAUUAUUAGUUCACUUCAGAUAUUUUCAACGAAGCUCACUCCAAAUACUUUCUUAUUUGUGUAGGAAGAAGAAAGAGAGCCAGGAAGUAAUUGGCUGUUGAUGGGCUGUCUGCUAGCACUGCGUCUGAUAUCAAACGGCAGCGGUUCACUUUCUUAUACUGUCAGUUGAUCCACUUGCUUGCUUUUGUGGGUUGCCAUCUGUCCGAGUGACUUAAAGUUUAGCUCAAGAUCGUCAAUCUUACCAUCUGGUUUAGACGUUUGUACUGAUGUUUUUAUAGUCGAAACUCGAAAGGAUGUUUCUGCUGGCAUAUUUGUGUUGCCUCUGUGUAUACGAGGCACGACAUUUGCCGUACCUACUUAUGUUGUGUAUCAUGCACUUUAGCACUUAUCUAUAUAUAAAUUAUAGACGGUAGUAAUAGAUGGUGCUGAAAAAUGUCGAGAAACCUAAUAUACACGGAGAAAACAAAAACAUGAUUAUUUUUGGAAAGUAGAAAUCACAGCGCUGAUCAUAAUAAUCAAUACUCUCCGCUUGAAAAAUAAAAUAUUUUAAUUUUAUCGUAAGCUAUUUUUUCUAACUUAAAUAUAAUUUAUGUGAAAUAUAUUAACACCUAUAAUACCAAAUUAAUACAUUAUCAAUAUACAUAUUAUGAUCGAUUUAAUGGAUUUAAUGCUGUAUAUGUUGGUAUAUUCUCUUUACAAACUUAGUCAAAAUCAGAGGAAGUUGACUUAACAAAACUAAAAAAUUGAAUUUUGAAAUGGAUAGAAUAUAAUUACGUCGGUGUUGCAAACAGAGGAAACACUUAUUAUAGCACAUCAUACUACAUCAUCGUGUUAAAGAAAAAGAGAGUCUACCUAACGUCCAACAUAUCGAAGGUUGGCGUAUCUCAAUUAUAAAAUUGGAUAUUUGGUAAUUCCUAAAAUUUGGGAAAUUAUUGAAAUGACCCUCUUAGGUGAUUUUGCCACGCUGGUGGACCGAUUGACACGUGAUCCCUAGCUUCUAGAUGGGCCGGUAGUAACUUUGUCUGGGAUCAAAAACUUAAGAAUUUGAUGGAGAAAUAGUAUAUAAAUUUUGUCUUCGAGGCCACAGUACAUGUAGUCAUAGUCGGCGCAGCGAUGCAUCUCAUCUGCCUGAUGACGACGGUCCUCGCGUUCAAUGUUGUGGUUGAGUCCAGGAGCGUUGUAGUCACAGUCGUACUCGGUGCGGCGGCGGAGCUCAGCCUCUUCACGCUCAUAGUGGCAAUUGUUGAGAUUGGGAUGGAUGUCACACUGCUGGCGAAGGUCGCACAGCUCUUCACGAAGAUCAUGUUGCUGUUCUAGUCAGCCACGAUCGCCAUCAUCGCCUCUCGCGCAGCGACGGCGAUUGUCAUUGUUGUUGUGGUGACGGCGUUGUUGGCGUUGUCGUUGGCAGGAGGGUUGACGUUGUUGUUGACUGGUGGGUGGGCUGGUGGGUUGGCAUUCUGGUCCACCACUUCUUCACGAAUUGGCUCCAGCCGACCUCCCGCGCGGUCACCUCGUCGAUGGUCGGAUCUGCUAUGCCUGGAUCAGCUCUGAGAAUGCCUAGAGGUUGCGGAUCGAGAGUGGGCUUGUCGAUUGAUCUGAGUCUCGAUCUAGGCGUUGGUGACCUGAAGUCGAGCCGGGAUCCUUCGAAUUUGGUCGGAUUCUGGGAGAUUUUCUAGGUCAGCAAUGACAACCCCCAGGUUGGCCUGAGGUGUGGUGAAGACGUUGUGGUCGGCCUGCUCGAGGUCGGCUAAUAGGUUGCGGGCAUGUACGGGGCGCCUGCCACUGUACCGAGCACCACCUUGGUCGGCAUUGUCAUAGUCAUUGUGCGGCUGUUGGCGCUGGUCACCCGUUGCAUCUGCGUUAGCAACAGUUUGCUGGUGAGCAUUGGCUUGCUCCUGUUGGCGUCGAGCUGCGCGAUCCCAAUUCCUAGCGUUACGACCUUCAUCUUGAGAUUCUGUUUCGCCCAUCACGGGGUGGCUCAUCAGCGGAGAGCAUGUAAGCUUCGCGAUCUGGCGUGGAGGAGUUGAUCUCAUCGUCACUUCCAUAUGGAUUUCGCGAUAGGACGAUGCGAGGCACCUGGAAUUCACCACAGUUUAGAAACUGGGCAGGUUCGGGUGGGUUUCCAGAUUGGAUCUGGAAGACUUGGUCAAUCUUAGCAGAAUACUCGGCGACCGAGUUUCGUCGACCAAAAGGGACGCGGGACGGACCCUACCGCCGACCUUGUUGAGAGUAGUGCGACCUCAGAUAACUCUAUGCACUCGCAAUAGUGCUGCUGAUCGAUCUAGCCCCGCGAUUAGGUCGGAGGGCAUGGGUGGGCGGGUGCUAACGAGUAGAUCUGGAUCCUUCUCAGAAAGAGAAAGUUCACCGACUUGCUAGGCAAGCGGCAUGACGAUCCUUGGGUGAAGAAUUUGUUCUGUCAGAACGGAUCUGAUGGAAGCCGAGCUGGUUGCGGACGCCGAGUCGGCGGGAGACACCGAGUCGACAGAAGAAGUGGUUGGAUCGAAAUCCGCCCGCAUGCUCCCGAAUUGAAUCUGGACUGGGUUGGCGAGGAAGUCCUUCAUGCUCUCAAGGAAAACGACGCCGAGACGGAAUGCUAUCGAGGUCACCGAACGGAUAUCGCAACCACCCCUACCUGGUGCACCAACUGUCAGAUUUCUAAGCUCGGCAGUCCAUCAGGGCAUUACCUAAGUGGUUGAUUUGUAGGUGAGGGUGAUUGCGAAACCAAGAACUCGAAGGUGAUCACGAGAACAGAAAGGGGACACGAGGGUUUUAGACAGGUUCAGGCCUCUGGAGAGUAAUACCCUACGUCCUAUAUGUGUGGAUUGUAUUGCUUCAUACGAGAUGAGUUGUCCCUAUGGGGUGCCCUUGGUCGCCUUAUAUAGGCUGAUGACCAAGAGUUACAAGUCGGUUUGAAUCUAAUCUACUCGAUAUUGCAUGGAAAACAAUCUGAGUCGGACUACAAAACGCGUCCCUCAAUGUCCGGGUAGAUUUGGGCUGUCUAGUAGCCUUGUCGUGUACUCCAAGUAACUUCAUAUCCUCAGCCCGCACGCCCUAGUCUGAUGGGCCCACUUGCCAGGGCUAGCCAGUAUCCUAGUCGGUGGGGACGCAUAGGGUACCCAUAUCCCUCAUGGGUACCCUAUGGGUCCCCACCGACCAGAAAACUGGUCGGCACUAACAAGUGGGUCCGCCCGACCAGAACGUUUGGGCCAAGGACGUGAAGAUACUUGGAGCGCAAGUCAAGGAGGCCGUGCGAUUCAAAUCAGCCUGGAUAUUGUGGGAUACUUGUUGUAAUCCGACUCGGGUUACUUUCCAUGUAACAGCCGACUAGAAAAGAUUCAAACCGAUUUGUAACCCUAGGUCGUCAACCUAUAUAAGGCGGCUAAGGGAGCCUCCCAUGGGCAUCCGAUCUAUUUUUCGCACCCGCACAAAGCAAUACAAAAUAGCAAAACACAUGAUGUAGGGUAUUACUCUCCGGAGGCUCAAACCUGUCUAAACCUUUGUGUUUUCGUGAUUACCUUCAAGUUAUUGAUCUCGCAAUCCUCCCUAACUACAAAUCUAUCACGUGGGUAAUCCCUUGGUGGACUAUUGGGAUACUAAAUCUGACAGACAGGUUCAGGUAGCUCGGAAGCGUAACACCUUACGUCCUAUAUGUUGUGUACAAGAGCCGGCCUUUUAUAGGCGAGAUCCAUGGGAGACUGAUAGGGGCGAGCCUUGGACCCUAAUCCAUCCCUUUACACUGAGUGUGUGAACGCGGCGGCCCAAUGGCCGCCCUCCUUGCUACAGUUCCUCUGACAUGUCGUCCACUUGCCCUGACGCUUCCUUACCUUGGUACACACGGUGCCGGAGCACCCCGCCUAAGUCCUUUGUAUGUCAAUCUCACAUUUUACCAUCUUACUUUGAUAAUCCUUUAUUUUGUCAUCCCGAGCCCGCCGUCCUGGGAUGGGGAGCACUGAACCUGACUUCCAAGGACCUUCCCGGGAGCCCUUUGCCGUUUACCGGGUCUCUAGUGCAGGGUCCACCCUUCUGACAGAGUCCUCAGGAGGCCUUUUGCAACCUCUUGAGUCCUCGAUGUGGGCCUGCCUCCUUGGUAGAGGGUGGCCGAGAGCGUGGCAGGGCGCUAUUGACACGAGGGUGGUGCCAGCCACCUGUGGGACGGGACGGGUGAUGCCUUCGGUGAUGAGGACACCACGAGUACAUCUACACCAGCAGCACCUCAGGCGCCUCCAGUUGCUCAUCCACCUCAGGCGCCUACAGUUGCUCAUCCAGUUGGGCCAAUCACUCGAGCCCGUGCGAGAGAAUUAAACUUCAUCAUGCUGUUAAGGAACGAAGGCCCAUCGGAAUAAGAGAUGGCCCAACAGGGCAGCCCAGGUGGGGCGCCUAGGGUUGGGCGCCGUGACCCCUUCGGACUCCAGGGGCUGCGCCCCCUUUAUUUAGUCCGAGUCCUUUUUGUUUACGACUUGAGUUUUGUUUUACAUCUAGCUUUAGCUACUCUUGAACACGCGCAAAUACGCGCUGUCCUUGUGAUUCAGAACUCCACCUUCGAGUGAUAUUUAGAUUGCUCGCCUCUCUUUCUUGUUCGUUCUUCGAUUGCGGACAGGAAUCGAUCUUCGUGAUCAGGCUGAUCUCGCACCGGCGAGGUUGGUAACCAUCGGGAGUUGGUUCAGCGAUUGCAUUGGCGCUUCGGGUUCGCUCGUCGUAGUCGGAUCGUGAGGGUCUACUUCCACCAAAUCGAAUUUAUCUCCACUCACCGAAAGAUCGGGCACUCCGACUCUAUCAAGUGGUAUCAGCUUUCCAGGUUGAUCGGUGAGUUUUACCGAGUGUUUUUCCCUUCCUACAGUCCACAAAAACCAAAAGAAAUUUUUUCAGGUUAGAUCCUUGUCCCAGCAACCGUUUAGCCUCGCACAUUCUUUCAAUAAGUGUCUUUGUUGAAUUUGUGUGCCUACUCGUUCAAUUGUUGCGGGUUACUUGUGUUUAAUCUUUUGUUUCUCGUUUUUCAUCUAACCCUAGUUUUCGCCACCGCCGCCGUUCCGCUGCUCGCCAACCCUACCAGCCGCGCCCACCGCACCUCCCCCCGGGACAACCGCGCCGCGCCAUCCCACUACUCCGAUCGCCCCUCCCCUGUCAAAAAAGAAAAAAAAGAUCCAAAGCAAUCAAAAAAAAAGGAAAGUGCAAAAAAAAAAAGGAAAGAAGCAAAAAAAAAAAAAAAAGACGAAGAAGAAUCCAACAGGGAGAAGGAAGGUGAUUCGGAUUUGUUUCGGUGGAACCUCCCUUUGCGCGCGCCGUGACUCCUCCUGGGUCACGCCUCUCUGGUGUUAAUUCCCCCCUCCCCCACGCAUUCCGUGCCAGCCUUUCACAUCNNNNNNNNNNNNNNNNNNNNNNNNNNNNNNNNNNNNNNNNNNNNNNNNNNNNNNNNNNNNNNNNNNNNNNNNNNNNNNNNNNNNNNNNNNNNNNNNNNNNAGAGAGAGAGAGAGAGAGAGUAUCUUUUUUUUACCGGAAUACCCGUGUACUUUCGGAAAAAGUGUGUGCCGCAAUUUGAUAUUUGAGAUCCUCUGUGUUCAUAUUAUCAGUUUUGGGGCACCCUCUGUAGUAAAAAAAAAAAAAACAGAAAUAAAAAAAAAAAAGAGGUGCGCCCUCUCCACCUUUGCCUCUGUUCUUUCGAUUUCCCUUGUUACCAGCAACACUUGUUACGUGUUUGGCACUAUAAUUCAACCUUGCAUUAUUGUUUGAUUGUGCUAAUCCUUCAUUUGAGUGCAGCCUUCCCAGAAAUCCACAUAGUUCUACGACGAGCAGCUUUUGUUUCUCCAGGCAAUCGCUCCUCCAAUCUUUCACAGGUUCCCCGAGAAUCUCAAAUGCGUCCCAUCAACCAUGAUGAUGAUGUUUUUACGGGGACGAGGCACCUGCUGAGGGUCUACCUUGGCUGCCGCACUUUUCCCAUGUCAGGAUACGCCACCGCUUGCUUCACCUCGAAGGGAGCCUCAUCGGGGGCCUCCUGGGCCUCCCCGAGUGCGUCCUGCUUGUGGCGGAACCGCUCGGAUUAACUUGGCUAAAGCACACUUAAGUUGCCUAACACGUGAUGAUAUGCUUUAAUCAAGUUAACUCGGAAAUUCGUCGAAUUUCAUCCGGUAAACCACUAUACAGGACCGAGUUAGCAUAGCUCACACGAAGGUGAGUGGUUCCAGAGAAUACAACAUGUCAUCCAAAGUUAAACCAGUUCAACAAUUUAUUACAACACUAGUUCAAAAAUUAGAGUUUUACAAAGUUAUUGAGCAGCGGAAAAAGAUAAAAUAGAACAGCGGAAGCUAGCGCCGGGGUCGGAUGUCCCUGAUGAGGUCGAUUAGGACAUCAAUGAUCCCUCUCCUCGCCGUCCGAGGAGGGAUCCCACUCGACCGUCCACCCAGGAGGAAGCUGGGGAGGCCAAGUGCCAACAGCAACACACUUAGAAGCUUCAACAUCACCUGAAAGAGAUGCCUACAUCUUCCGCACCAGUAGUGCCUCGAGUGGUAAUCCCGUGAUCCUUAUACGGCAGCUCUUCCUAGACAUGCAAGGCUCUUUGGCUGAGGGGUUUGUUUUGCCAAAAGCGACUACGUUAGGUCCUUACUUUCAAUAUUUUAGCUCUGAUUCUAAGUUCAUUAACCAGUCUAUAUUUGCAACUUAUGCUAAACAAACAUAGUUUCCAAACAAUAUGUAUAGAACAAGCAUCAAGGUUCAUAUCAUCAUCAUGUUCCAUCUUUACUCAGUGUAGCAUAGCGAUCAAGCAGUCUCAAACUGUGAGAGGCAGACGAAUCGAUUCAAAUUUCUUAACCAUGCAUGGCGAACCUAAUCUCACGACAUCCGUGCACCACAGAGGGUCGCUUCCUGUGUUGGCCAUCCCCAUCAAUCCCCUGACCUGUGUCGGGCCCACUUCUCUUGGUGCAAUGUUCCACAGACCCGACCUCUGCCGUUCUGUGACCACACUUGCCACCACAUGCGGCCGCAAGGGAAAACUCCGUUCCAGAGACAGUGAAUCGAACUGCUCACGUCCAGGUUCAAUCAGGUACUAGGCUUCUCCAUCCCAUACUAGGUAUGAGAUUAGUACUUUCAAACACUUGAUCACGAACACUAUCACAUCUCGACCUUAGUCCAGUUUCAAGUAGACAGACGGGGCAAUCCACCAACCACCAAAAGAGUUCACAAGCCCCUGCCCUGUCCACCGUCCUUAUAGUUGUAACCAGAAGGAAAACAAGCAACUCCUAUAACUCGCGAGUGACAGGGAAUCACUCGACUUUUACCGAGUCCUGUUAAGCACUACCACUACUCGGACUUAUAAUGCUAGUGUUCAGAUCAAGGGAACUAAGUCAUGCAUCUAAGGCUUCAAACAACUCCUAUAACGUAAAUGCACAUACAUACAACAGAAGGCAUGCGCAAGUUUAGAAAAGUUGGGUUAUGCUCUGGGGCUUGCCUUUGAUUGGGGCGGAGGCAAACUGGUCUUCUGGGUGCUCUGCUUCAGCUCCUGUGGUCGGCAGCUCAGCUACAGCUCCGUCUUCGGGCACCGGGUGUAGCUCGUAUGUGCCGUCGGCGAGAUUUAGUUCUACACGGAAAUGUAAAUGCAGGGGUUAAACACUUAGACGGUUAUUUCAACAACAACACUUGCAAGCUUUAGCUCAGAAACUUGUAGCCAAACUAUAGGAAAGGUGUGAAAUCCCAUGCCUCUGUUGAUAGAGAACCUGAUAAGGAGUUAGAUCUGGAAAAACUUGUGAUCUGACCCUCAGACCUAAGGAAUAACUACACCGGGAUCCUCAGACUUAACAUAGAGAAGUCCCUAAAAUUUUACACAGAUACCUUUGGUCAAAGGAAAAGGAUACAGCCGAGCCCUUGGGCGAGGCGGACAAGGGUCGGCGAGACAGACAGGGUCGGGCGAGACGGAAAAGGGGUCGGGUGAAACGGUGAGGGGUCGGGCGAGACAGAAAAAGGGGUCGGCAGCUUACCUUUGGGCCUACUGACAAAGUCUUGGGGUCGGGAAGGAACAAGCUCAGGCGGAAAGACUAAGGCGCUUAGGCUGGGGCGGUGGCGAGGUCCGGCGGUGCUCCAGCGGCAGCGGUGCUUCUUGUGGAAACAAGCGGGCGCUAGCUCAGCACGUAGGAAGCCAUCGGCUGGUGGGUUUGGAAAGGCGGGUGUUGCGCGAAGAGGGGAGUUCCUCAAAGAGCUUAUGCGGUAGCGCUUGAGCAUGAAACAGAGGAAAGUGCGUCAAGGCAACGAUGGCGAAGGGAACUUCGGUAGAGGCUCUGGUACCUUUUUUAUAGCUGCACGGACAAGGAAGAGUUCGAGCAGCGUGAGGAUAAGAUCGAAGAGGAUGGAGUGCUCUGCCGUGGUGGCGAUUGGGCGAUGCCAUGCUAGCGAAGCGAAGCUUUGGGGACAGGGUCUUCGAUCAUUGGGCAUUGGAGACAGCGCUAUGCAGGCGUAGGUUUGCCAGAAGGAAGGAUUGGUGAGGGUAGGCGCGAGUCUGGUCGCGUCAAGCCGCGGAUUGGGUGCGGCGGCUCGGCUAGCGUGCGGCAGGCAGGAAGGAAGGGCACUGCAGGCGAGAGCACUGCAGGCGAGGUGACAGGGCGAGCGGCGACGCUAGCAAGCGCAGAACCAGCGACUUUGCCGUGGCACGCUACUGGCGAGGCAGAGGAAAGGAGUUGUCACUGCCGGCGCAGUGGUUGGCGGAGGCGGUAUCGUCGCGGGGCAGCGUUGGCAGCGUGACUGAGGUGCGACGGAAAAGCCGGAAGGUGUUGGGGCGCACGACUGGGGAUCCUGGUGAGGAGAUGUGCAUGGGAGGCGAGGCAGACUGGCGUGGCAGCGGCCAAUCCUUGGUCGCAGCGGCGACAGGGCACCUGGCGCAGCCGGCGAGAUUGCGGGCGAGAUGAGACGAGGCGGAAAAGGGCUGAAGGCGCUUCUGCGCGCGAUUGGGAAGGGGGCGCGCUGAUCCAUCGUGUCGCGGCCGGCGACUGGCGAGGCGGGGCUCGUCGGGGUGGUUAAGCCACGCGGUGGAGAGACUCUAAGAUAGGGCGCACGCUCGCUCUCUGGCGCGCUUGACCCGAGAGAUCCGUGGGAUUUGUCUUCUGGGUCCAUCUUCCAGUCUCUUGUUCUCCCAAAAACCGAACUGCACCACUUCUGCUACCUUAACAAAAGUUGUAGAACUCAGGCCAAGGUCCAACUCUUGUGAUUGGACCAAGUCCAAAAACACAGUGGAUUUAGGGAUCCAAAGCUCCAAAGUUCAGAAGAACACUGGUUUCGGGACUUAGAGAUAAACUGCGGUUUGCUGGGUUUCUGGGGUUACGGCUGGUUAAAAUUGCAGAUUUGGGAACUUUUGGAGACGAAAAGGAUUACGGUCUAUCUAAGAAAGUUGUAGCUGAGACUUCGUUCUCCAACUUCCAUAAAGGAAAUUUCUUAGCGUCCUGCUCAACUUUCCAAAGAUAAACCCUCUCUAAGGCUCUAGGUUGGGUUGAAAACCUUAUUUUAGCUGAUAUAGCUCAAGAAGAAAGAGUCAACCAGAUUAGGGCUCGUCUUAAGGUUAAGCUCGACCGAUUUAAAUCUAGGUCGUUACACUGCUAUUGCCAUGUGGACCGCUUGUGGGUUCCAUUGGGCCGGUGCGAUAUUUUCCUGAUCCUUCCUAGGCUUGAGGUUCCCUGACCUAUCUCCUUAUUUAGGCUUCUCAAGGAGGGAAGCCCCAUUUAAGCAGGCGGGCUCCGCUUGUAAGUGACUUCUUAGGGGAUCCGUUCCCUUGGUGUUAACAGGUUGAAAACAAUAAAUGUUGGUGUUCGCGUAAGAAAGUGAACCGCGGGCUGUCUGGUACCUAUGGGAGGACACUUCAUCGUACAAACAAUUAUAAUGGCGGGUUGUCUAACCCAAAAGAACCACAUAAAAUUUUGGUUGCACCACUGCAGAGCUUCGAAUUGAUCUCGCGUUUGUAGAAAAAUGACUUAACGGUCGACUUUGCUACAUGUUUACUUGCUAGCCUCCUUUGGAACGGAGGAUUUCCAAAGGAAAAACUCAGGAAUCGGCAAUCAAUAGGAAUGGGUACCGUAGAGUCCUUUGGUUCAUAGGAUUGACGCACAGGAAAAGUGUAGGAAAUUUUUCUUUGCUACCCAUUUUGGAGAAAUUCCAUAGGAAUGGAAACAUCUAGUCCAACUUCAUUUUUUCCCGAUCUUGCGUAGGACCGAGGCACGGUUCAUCGUGAGCCCACACUGAUGAGGAUUAGAACAUAGAACAGGAGCAGCAGAAGCUUGAGAACGAGUGGAUUAAAUUGUUCGGACUUUCGAAAGGGUUAAGGUCAAAACUCUGCUAACCCACCUGUAUGUGCCAUUUUUUCUUUAACAAAUUAAUAAAUAAAUCAAUUUUGAUUUUUUUUUCUUUAUGUCUAAAUACGAUGUAUUGUUUCUCACUAGAAAAUAACGCAUUGUGACGCUAUUAGAACAAAUACCAUGGAGGAUUAAAUGCUUCCUAAGAUUCCUAUUCAUAUGAAUUUCCUAUAGCCAUCCAAACACUACCUUUUACAGUAUUUCUCUAUUUUCCAAUCCUCCAUUUUGCAAUUGUACAGAAUUCCUAUUCCUAUAUUUUCACAAUCCUAUCUAUACUAUAAAGAACGAGCAAAUUGAAAACAAUUCACACCUAGAAUUACACCCCAGUACCCCUCACAGAGGACCCAUCUGCCAUGUCAGGAGGGUGACGAAAAGGUGUGACGAAGGGUGGGAGGAUAAAAAAACUAGAUGACAAAAAAUGAUUAUGCCAAAAACCUCUAUUUUUCCUCACCUUUCUUUUCUCCUUACCCGCCCGCGCGUACCCUCCCGCGCGCCAAUCACGUUCCUGAUUUUUUAACCGAGGUCUCCUUCCUUUUCCAUGCUCUGUCGUUCCGCAACUCCUUGAUUUUCUCCAUAGUUUCCUUCCUUUUACAUGCUCUUGAGAGAUUGGUAGCCUUCCUAUUGAGAGCCUUCCUUUUGAGAGCCUUUAAUUUAAUUUCCUUCCUAAUUUUUCUUCAUGGUCUCCUUCCUUUUCCAUGCUAUGCUGUCCUGCGACUCCAUGAUUUUCUCCGCAGUUUCCUUCCUUUUACAUGCUCUUGAUUGAUUGGUAGCCUUCUGUUGGCGCUGAAAAUCGACCAAUGACCCUCAGCAUCGGACACAUGACCCGGGAGAAUCUGCUUAACUCCUGUUUGGGUUAUUGCCCUGGUGCGGUUCGCGCGGCAUGCUAGUGAAUCUGACAUGUUGAUUGAAAAGGAAAGAAAAGUAUUAAAUUCCAGGGGUUUUGAUCGGCUAAAGUUCCGAUCUGUCUUGAAAAGCGUAUCUGCGAAUCGGCCGAUUUACUGUAGAGACGAUCGGCUAUAAAACAACCGAUAUCCAUGUAGCGAUUGCAAAGAAAUUACUAGAGUAAGCUAAAAUAACGCUACAAAUGCAACACUUGUGACAGAUCUAAUUGGCUAUAUGGAGAUAAACAAGAAUAACAGUGACGAAGCCGACAGUUCGAAUCUCGAGCUGGAUAACUGGGGAUAAAACUAGAACAAUAGAUAAAACCUAUAAUUCUAGUAAAUAUCGAUAACUGGUGAAUAAAUCUAAACGAAACGACAGCGAUGCGCCCGAAGUUAAAGCUUAGAUAUUACUCGAUAAGCGGAACUUACAAAUCGACCGGAGAUCGUGUCGAUGCAGCCCUACCAACCUGUACGAACUCGUGAAAAGAAAAGGUUUUUGGCGAAGUCGCUGACUUAAAUGUAAAGUGCAAGGAAUAAGUAGAUUUGUUGUAUUGAUUGAUGUAUAUUUUACAAACCUCAAGAGGUGGAUAUUUAUAGCCUGUUACAACUAAUUUUCUAACCGACUAGGAUCUAUCUCUAAUUUAAAAUAACAAUAAAUAUUCACAAACACAACUCGUAUCGGAGUUGGUUAUCAUAUCCCACGGGCCAACCUUCUUCACUAGCUUAAUCUUUUCUCUAGCCCACUUUAGGCCCAUACCGGCCAAGCCACUCCGUUCGCCAAUCGGCCGACCUUCAUCAACUCCGUUCGCCAAUCGGCCGAAAAUACUGUAGCGCCAAUCGGCCGAUUCCCAACUGUAGCUCUUAACCUGUCAUGUUGGCCAAUCUUUUCCUCCCUUGACGCUGAUUCAAAACACGUGUCCAAAUCCAGCGUCAACACAUGCCCCCCAAUUUCGGAGUAAAACAUAACUUUUACUUCGAAAUUCUUUUUAACUUUCUCUCCGAGACAAGCGCGGCAAAAACUCAUUUUGGUUUUUGCAGUCUUCUACCUGAUGAUUGCAAUCUUUUUAAACUGGGCGCCUGAGACAACUGCUCCUCCGAAAUCCGUGUAGACGGUGCGGUAAAAAUCCCGCCUUUACCCCUUCUCUCGAACCGUCUUUAAAUACCAGCAUUCUCCGCUACUUCUUCUCCACGAGCUCAAUAACUCUCCUUUCCCCAGCGAAUCAUCUUCCAUUACAUCCCAGCGCCCCUUUGCCUCCCGGUCGCAUCUCUCCGGCGAUCUUUCUCUCAUCUUCAUCCCGCUUCAUUUUCUUUAAUGGCGGAUCCAUCGGCGGCCACGAGCUUCAUCCCAGAGGUAAACAUCUUGUUGGCGCUAGAAAUCGGCUGACCGAAUCCCCAGCGUCUAACACACGACCUGGGAGAAUCUGCUUAACUCCUGUUCGGGUGAUUGCCCUGGUGCGGUUCGCGCGGCAUGCCAACCAAUCUGACCUGUUGAUUGGCAAGGAAAAAGACGUGUCAGGUCCCAGAGAUUGCGAUCGGCUAAGUUUCCGAUCUCGAGAAAGCUUAUCAGCGAAUCGGCCAAUUUGCAGUAAUAGGAGAAUCGGCUAUGAAGCAACCGAUUACCAAGCAACGUUUAUGAACAACGCUACAGUAGCAACACUAGGAACAGAUCUAGUCGGCUAUGCGUAAAAUAAGUAAAUUAAACGGCGAAAUACGAGAAAAGCUGAGAUUGCCGAUUCCUAGCUGGAUAACUGGUGAUAAAACUAGAACAACAGGUAAAACCUAGAAUUCUAGUAAAUAUCGAUAACUAGUGAAUAAAUCUAAAUGAAACAACAGCGAUGCGCCCGAAGUUAAAGCUUAGAAUUUACUCGGUAAACGGAACUUACAAGAUCGGCCGGAGGUCAAGUUGAUGCAGGUCCGCCAACCCGUACGAACUCGUGAAAAAGAAGAAAGUAUUUGGCGAAGUCGCCUGCUUGAAAGUAAGUACGAGGAAAUAGUAGUUUAUUGUAUUGAGUUGUUGAUGAUUACAGAUCUACAAAAGUGGCUAUUUAUAGCCCCGUACAGACAACUUCUUAUCUGACUAGAACUCUAUCCCUAAUUCAAAUGGAAAAUGAAUAUUUAUAAGUACGACUCGUACUAGGUCGAUUAUUAUGCGCUUCAUGGGCUGAUUCCCUCUUCAUCUUUACAAUCCUUUCUAAGCCCAUACCGGCCCAACUAUUCCAACCUCCCAAUCAGCCGAUUUCCUCAUCGGCAAGGGGUAACCGAUCGGGAACCGGGCGCGUUCGAUCCCAAACCCCAGGGGUCAAGUGAGGCGGAAUUCUAAAGAUCCAUCGGCCGAUCCUGGACUAUAGCAUCGGUCGAUCCUGGACUAUAGCACCAACCAACCGAUCUUCAACUGCAGCGCCAUUCGGCCGAUUUCCAACUGUCACCCCUGUAUCUUGCUGUAUCUUCCAAUUUCUUUCUCUCCUGACGCCGAUUUUACUCGUGUCGAAAUCUGGCGUCAACACAUGCCCCCCAGUUUUAGAGUAAAACAUAGUCUUUACUUCAAAAUUCUUUUCAACUUCCCUUCCGAAACAACCGCAAUGAAAAUAUCCUUCCGUUUCGCGGUCUUCAACCUGAUGAUUGCAAUCUUUUCGAAACGGGCGCCCACGACAACCACUACUCCCGAAAAACUUGAAACGCCGGCGCGGUAAAAAUUCCAUUUUUACCCUUCCUCAGGCCCCCUUUAAAUAUCAGCACAUCCCGCACUUCCCUUUCGAGCUCACGUCCUUCUUCCUCAACGCACAAGCCUUCUUCUUCCUCCAGCAUUUUUCCUUAGUUCCACAGCUUUCCGGCACCGUCUUCCUGUCACUUUCCUUCCUCCCCCUCCAAUGGCGACACAUUCAGGCACCUCACCCGCGUGCAAAGCUCCAGAAAUAGCGCCUUCGGCGGAGGCAGCGACAGUGAUGGCCCCGUCAUCGGAAGAAGGAGCUCCAUUAGCGAAAGUUGAAGCUUCUUUCGAGAUCCCAAUGGCGGCCUCAUCCUCCGCAGCUGCACCGGCGAUCCCGCCGACUACAAGGAACUUCAUCCCAGAGGUCAUCACCGAAUCUUUCCUUUAUUGGUAAUACAUUUACUUUAGGUCUAUUUCUUACUUUCGCACCCCCUUUCCUUUUUUAGGCGGUUAGACAUCGCAUCACCAUUCAUCUUACGGGAAAUCCCGGCCUUGUUUGCCUCGGACCCAUGGGGAACCCAGAUCCAACUGAGCUAAUCAAUUUGGAAACCCAUAGGAUCCCCUUCAAACAAUCCACCAUGGACCUGGAUCACUGGUUGGGCACCUUUAGGUCUUGGCCGAAUGAAACUCCCGGUUGGAGGGAAUGGUACCAGCGAAUAGCCGCACCCAAGAGGGUCCAAUGGGACGAACUCAAAAUCAGCCAAUGCAUCAACUUAUCCCUGUCCCAAAUGGAGCGGAAUGAACCAUUAGUGAUGGCAGCCUCUUACUUUUGGUCUGAUGCUCUUAAUGCAUUCUUGUUCGGACACGGACCUAUGACCCCCACACUGGCCGAUGUGGUUUUGCUGACCGGCCUGGACAUUUCCUCCCCGGACACCCCUUUCCGCCUUUUAACCGCAACAUCACAUCGACUGGACACGAGGGGAAUCGGCGGGUGGAAAGGCUUUAUUAGAUGUAACAAAAGGGCCGGAUCUGUUGAAAACAGAGAACACACGGCCUUCCUAAUGAUGUGGUUGGAGAAGCACUUCUUCUGUGGGAGAGCAGCUGGCCCAUCAACCAACACCCAAGCUUUAGCCGAAGCAUUAUCAGUAGGGACUCCUGUUCCUCUUGGAAAACACUUACUAGGGGUAGCAUACCACAUGCUUCACCAAAUCGGCAUCAAACUAUCCAAAGGGGAGCUGAUUGGAAAUCCAGGUGGACCCUGGUGGUUCAUUAACUUAUGGUUGAACCUGUACAUGAGCAAGAUUUCUCAGCAGAGGGUGGAACACAUGACGUUCCCCAGCAUCGAAUCGGCAGAGGAUCCCACUGUCCGACGCCGAUGCACAUCUUUCGACGAAGCGGCAUCGGCCUUCCCCGGUUGUCUAUACUCUGCUACCAAAGUGGCCGAGUACUUCCGGUGUUUUUAUAACGGUUUUAAUGAAGAUGCAACCGUCUGGUUUCCUUAUCAGCGAGAUGACCCAAUCUUUGAGCUCCCUUCUUGCUUCGACUCAACUACCGGCCAAUUCGACGAAGACCUCACAGAUGAGUUAAUCAAACCGGGAAUCCUGCCGGCCAACUUCUUCUCAGGGAAAGAUGCUCCUACGUAUGAGUUUUACAAUCCCUCUGCUGCAGCGCGUCAAUUCGGCAUGGGUCAGCUGCCGAUUUAAGCGUACUUCGCCGGCCGAGCUAAGUUCAGAGAUGAGCUCACAAAAGGUCUUGAUUAUAGUCGGCUGCGGGAUCGGGUCCCAAACUCCAGCACCAUUGACCUGAAGGACUGGAUAGUAGCUCCCUUCACCGUCUAACCAUUCAAGCUUUGGUGGGCCGAAUGGAAACAAUACCUGUUCUGCAACUCCGCGUCGACAUACUGCAAUCUCCUAGAUCCGACCAACAUCGACCCGAACGCUGAGGUAUUUUUUCCUAACCGAUUUUCACUCCCUUAUCAAUGCGGUUGAAUACACAUACUAACAUCUUGCUAUUGCUUCAGUCUGAGAACCGUGUCCCCCCAACACGCAGCCGGAGUCGUCAGCCGAUAGAAGACCAUCAUCCAUACACCGUCUUCCCCCUUAUCGGCUUCGAUGCCCCUUCCGUGGAUGUAAUCGCUGGCCGAUCAAAGCAGGCGCAGAAGAAAGUUACCAAGAAGACCAGUCGCCGAGUUCGAGCUCGUAUAGAAUCGGCUGAUCCUCCUGCGAUCAUGUCGGUAGAAACUUCGGUCGCACUGCCUCUUCAAGCUGCCAGAGCAGUAGAUACUCAAGUCGUCACACAAGCUGGGGCAGCCGCUGCAUCAUUACUGUUGGAGGCCAUGCAAGUAAACUCAUUGCCCAACCCUUCCGAUUGAUGUCCCUGCACUGACUCCUCUUAUCUUAGACUACACAGAUCACUUCCAUGGACCCACCACAAUCGGCAGCAACCCAAUCGGUUAUCGACGCACCUUCGCUUCCAUCCGCCGAGGUAUAACACUCUUCAACCGAUUUUUCCUAGCAUUUGGAUAAUGUUCUCAUUCAAUCCUUUGACACAGGUCACCGGUACGUUAAACGCCCCUCUUAACCAACCAACGGUCAUCUCCCGGGAAGCUGGUCCGAGCACAACACCAAUCAUCGUAGAUUCUUCGUCUUCUGAUGAACCAAUGGCACCAGCCCCUAAAUCGAGGAUAACGGCUCCCCAAAUGCAGCUUGAGGAAAUCCGAUUCAAGGAGGUAAGAGACUUUUCACCCUUACUUAGCCGAUUUGCUAUCACCAUCGGCUGAUUUGUUUUUCUUCUUGACUUAUUAUUUCCAGGAACAGGAUACCCCCAACAACAGUCUCUUCUCAUUUGUGGUUGCACUCUCUGACGACGAGGAAGUCGCCUCUCGCCAAGUCACUUUGAGCUCCGUCCCUGAUGACGUCCGCGCCAAACUCACCAGCAUCCGAUCCCUUCUUCAAGAAGACAUCGGCCGAUUGGUAGAAGACGCCUCGCCGAUUCGGCAGCUCUUUGGUGACGUCAGCGGGCAAGUACCAGAAGAAGCGGAGGAAGCCUUGGCGCCGGCCGCGUAUAUCGAGUCGAUGAGGAUCCCGGUUUUCAGGGUCCUCCGUCACAUGGCCGAUUGUGCCAAGUUGGCCAAGACUCGUGAAGAAGAAGAUACGUACAAGCGUCAGGCCCAAGAGGUGCACCAACGAAUUCAUUUUCUAGAAGACUCUCGCCCAGGGAUCGUCUGCACGAUAGAUCGCCUCAAACGCCGAAGGGCAGAGCUUGCCAAGGAGAUGAAAUAGGUGACCAAAGCAAUAGAUGCCGAAGAGAAGAGGCUCCAAGAACUCCCUUCCGUCAUCGCCGAUCUAAAACGGGAGAGGCAGCAUCUGGCCCACGAAGCCCUUAAACUCCACCGCAAUGUGUCAGAAGUCCCCGGAUCGGCGGAUGAUGACCAACGGGUCCUGGACUCUGCCAAUCAGAUCCGGCGUCGAGCGAUUGCGGCUAUCGAUGCCCUUCUGGGUAACCUGUAAAAGUACUGGCCAUUUUGUACGAACUUUUAAUGACCGCUUUGACCGUCCUUCGCGACGCCUCUUUUAUUUACUGCCUUUCUCACUUCCGACGGGACGCGUCUUACCAAAUAUCUACGCCUCCUUUUCUUAUAAAUGCCGGCCUAGGCCCCCAUUCCGAGAGUACCAGUUUAGCUCGGCUUCAUUUUCCCAACCUGCUUUUGUCGGUGCAAUUUUCAGUCGUGUCUUCUUCAUCUUCUUCCUCUUCCUCUGUUAACCAGGUGAAAGUUUUGCCUUGACCCUUCUUCUCAGUUUAGCUCUUAUGAAGGGAAUCACCUUUUUGAUCGUCAUUUUCUUCAGUCACGGCGCCUUAGCCCUGAACUCGAAUGCGCCAUUGAACUCAUGUACUCCGAUGAACCGUUGUCGCAAGAGGACAAGGACUUAAUCAGGGCUCAUCGUGACGAACUCCAAGAGCAUGUUCCUGCCGACAUCCGACGGAUCUGGGAUUCUCUGGACGGCAACAUCUGCCGGUGACCUCAAGCCGAUAGAAGUCAUCUGCUUCCUCGACAAGUCGUCCUUGAAGAUGCAGUAGCAGGAACAUCGCGCCCGUCAAUGGACCGGAGCCACCCUCUCCCCCGUCAAGUUGAAGCGGAAGUUGCGAUGAAAGAGAUAGAAGAAGAAUAUAUCCGUCUUAUGAUAGAACUCGGUCGGGCUGACAGAGAGCGUAAGAAAAAGCGUAGUUAAUUAUUUUUUGUUCAAAGGGCGACUUGUACCUUGUCAGCCGUGUAACUUGUCGUCCGUACCGAAUGAAUACAUUGGCCGAUUUGGAUGAUCAAAUGUUUUCUCUAGACGAACCCUUUUGUAUCGGCUGUGUGCUGUUCAUUGUGGUCGAUCCUUUAUGCUCCGACCCAUAUACUAGGGUAGUACCUUUUCAAGUACCUUCCGUUCAGAGCCCUAGUAAACUCUUCUCCUUCGAUUGUUUCCAAAAUAUAAGCGUUUCCUGGAGCACAUCUGCCAAUUUUAUACGGCCCUUGCCAUGUAGGGGACUAUUUUCCGAAUUUAGGAUCUUUCGACCCAAUCGGCAACACUAACUUCCAAACCAGGUCCCCUGGAGAGAAUUGUUUGACUUUGACCUUCUUAUCAUACCACCUGGCCACUUUCUUCUUGUUUUCCUCAAUGCUUAUCAAAGCUCUCAAUCAUUGGCCAGCCAAGUCAUCAAGUUCCCUUUUCAUGAGUGAUGAGUAAUCAUCAGCCGUUAACUGGCCCUGGAGCGAAAUGCGUCUCGACCCCGCCCUUGAUUCCCACGGUAGUACUGCAUCGUGACCGUACACCAACUGAUAAGAGGAUAACUUGGUGGCCCCAUGGCAAGCCAUCCUGUAUGCCCAUAGGGCUUCAGUUAGACAUAGAUGCCAUUUUUUCGGCUGCUCCUCUAUCUUCCUCUUGAUUAACUUAAUUAUCCCCUUGUUGGAGGAUUCGGCCUGACCGUUAGCUUGGGCAUAAUAUGGAGAGGAGUUUAACAAUUUGAUUCCCAUAUCGGCCGUGAACUCCUCGAAUUCUCCUGAUGUGAACAUUGUCCCCUGAUCGGUUGUGAUAGUCUGGGGAAUGCCGAAUCGGUAGACGAUAUGGUCCCUUACGAAGUCGACCAUGGUAGCCGAUGUCACGGCUCUUAACGGAAUUGCUUCCACCCAUUUGGUAAAGUAAUCGGUAGCCACUAGAAUAAAUUUGUGCCCUUUGCUUGAUGGAGGAUAAAUUUGGCCGAUAAGGUCUAUUCCCCAUCCUCUGAACGUCCAUGGUUUGAUAAUGGGAUUCAUGGCCGAUGCGGGCGCACGUUGGACAUUCCCAAAUUUCUGACAAUCCUGGCAUCCCUUAUAAUAUUUGAAGCAAUCUUCGAGGAUCAUUGGCCAGUAAUACUCAUUAUUCCUGAUCAUCCAUUUCAUCUUAUGGGCUGACUGGUGGGCUCCACACACCCCCUCAUAGAUUUCUCCCAUUAGAGUCUUAGCCUCCUCUGUUCCCAGGCACUUGAGUAGGACGCCAUCAGUUGUUCGGUAGAACAAGUUGUCUUCCAGUAGUACGUAUUUGGUAGCAUGGAAACGCACCCGCCGGUCCACUUUCUUAGACGGAUCUUUCAGGUAGUCGGCAAUUUCUUUUCGCCAGUCAUCGGCCGCGAGUUCCAGAGCCAUAGCGCCUUGAAUUGGCUGAUACCCAGAUGCGUGCUGGGCGAGCUUGUUGGCAUCCUCGUUGUGAUUCCUUGGGAUGUGUUCGAUUACUGCCGAUUUGAAUUCUUUUAAGAGCUGCAGGCAAUCUUCGUAAUAAAUUCUCAAUACGUCGUCCUUGCAUUCGGACUUCCUUGUUAAUUGAUCCACAAUAAGCAUGGAAUCCCCAAAAAUUUCGACAGAAUUGGCCUUGACUUCUCUUAGCAAUUGUAAUCCCUUCAAUACAGCUCGGUAUUCUGCUUGAUUGUUAGUGGCGGUGGCUUCUAUCGGCAGAGAAAAGUCAUAGCUUGCCCCCCGAGGUGAUAUGAGGACGAUGCCGAUUCCUGAUCCGAUCCCACAUGACGAUCCAUCGAAGUAUAAAGUCCAAGGUACCGGUUCCAGGAAGGUAGCCUCUGGUCCGCAGUGUUGGGCGACGAAAUCGGCCAUGACCUGACCCUUGACGGCUUUCGCCGAUUCAUACCGAAGGUCAAACUCUGACAAAGCUAAGAUCCAUUUGCCGAUUCGUCCUUUCAAAAUUGGCAACGACAGCAUGUAUUUUACCACGUCAUCUUUGCAUACGACCACACAUUCCGUCGAUAGCAAAUAGUGCCUGAGUUUGGUACAUGAGAAGUAAAGGCAUAGGCACAACCGCUCCAUUGGAGGAUACCUUGUUUCGGCGUACAGAAGUCUUCUACUGAUAUAAUAAAUUACUCGUUCCUUUCCUUCGAACUCCUGGACUAGAGCCGACCCAAUAGCCUUUUCAUCAGCUGAUAAAUAUAAUUUAAAUGGCUUACCAGUUUGAGGAGGGACCAAUACUGGUGGUGAGACCAAGUACUGCUUGAUAUCUUCCAGUGCCUUGCGUUGUUCUUCCCCCCAUAUAAACUCCUGGUCGGGCUUCAACUUUAAUAGUGGUGUGAAAGCUUGGAUUCGCCCAGAUAGAUUAGAUAUGAAUCUUCUGAUGAAAUUCACCUUGCCGAUUAGAGAUUGCAAUUCAGUUUUAUUCUGCGGGGCCACGACUUUGUUGAUAGCCGCUAUGGUCUUCCGAUUGAUUUCUAUUCCCUGCUCAUGCACCAUGAAUCCUAAGAACUGUCCGGCGGACACGCCGAUGGCACAUUUAUUCGAGUUCAUCUUCAGCCCAUGUUUCUUAGUGCAUUCCAGCACUUUUCGCAAAUUGGCCAAAUGCUCUUCGUGUCCUGUGGACUUGACUACGACGUCGUCGAUGGAGAUUUCUACUAGUAUGCCGAUGAGUUUGUGAAAUAUGUAGUUCAUGGCUCUCUGAUACGUGGUGCCGGCCUUUUUUAAGCCAAAAGUCAUCACCACCCACUCGAAUAAACCAAGGUGGCCUGAGCAUCUGAAGGCCGUUUUGGGUAUGUCUUCUUCGGCCAUAAGUAUUUGAUGGUACCCAGCGUUUCCAUCCAUGAAGCUAAUAACCUUGUGUCCCGCGGCAGCAUCUAUCAGCACAUCGACCGUCAGCAUGGGGUAUACGUUCAUCGGUGUGGCCUGAUUAAGAUUCCUGAAAUCAACGCACACGCGUAGCUUUCCGUUCUUCUUGUAUACUGGUACAAUGUUGGAGAUCCACUCGGCAUAACGGCAUUGCCGAAUAAAUUUUGCUUUGAUUAGCCGAGUUAUUUCAGCUUUUAUGUCUGGUAGAAUUUUAGGAUUGCACCGCCGUGCAGGCUGUUGAUACGGCCGAUAUCCUGGUUUUAUGGGUAGCCGAUGUUCAACAAUAGAUCGAUCUAAUCCGGGCAUCUCAUGAUACUCCCAAGCAAAACAAUCCUUAAAUUCUCUUAACAAACUUGUCAGUUUACAUUUGUAUUCUGGAUCUAAAUUUGCACUAAUAUAAGUGGGCCUUGGUUUGGUGCCAUCGCCUAAGUCUAUCAUUUCUAAUGAAUCGGCCGACGUGAACCCGUGCCCUAGCUUCCCAUCUUCUCGGGCGAACUGAUCCAUUUAAUCUGAGUCUUCGGAGCCGACUGCUCGGAUCGGCUGUAGGCCAAAAUCGGACACCUUCAAGAAGUCAGUAUCCCAUACUCUACCGGAUAUGCACUUGACGGUUUCGCAGCUCCACUGCUGUGUGUCGGCUGCCACGAUGCUGUAUGCGGAGUCGGCGUUGACCACCUCGAUGUUGUCGCCGACCCAUUGUACAAGACAUUGAUGCAUUGUCGAUGGGAUGCAGCAAUUUGCAUGUGUCCAAUCUCGGGCGAGUAGCAUGUUGUAGGAUCCCUUGCCAUUAAUAAUAAAUAAAGUAGUAGGAAGGGUCUUACUGCCGAUGGUGAGGUCGACGCAGAGGGCACCGCGAGCGGGGGAUACGUUGCCCUCGAAGUCCUUGAGCAUCAUGUCUGUCUUGGUCAAGUCAUCAUCGCCUUUCCCAAGCUUCCGGAUUACGGCAUAUGGCAUGAUGUUGACUGCAGCUCCUCCGUCUACCAUUAAUCUGGUGAGGGGUCGGCCGUUGACAUGCCCUUUAAGGAACAACGCUUUCAGGUGUUGCCGUUUGUCGUCUUCGGGCUUCUCGAAUGUGGCUGUCAUUAGCUCCAAAGCCAAUUGUGCCAUCUGUUCUUCUAUCGCCGAUAUAUCCUGUCGGUCGGCAGGAGUCAUCAAUUCCAUCGGCAGUAUGAAAACCAUGCCGAUGUCGGCUGCCGAUUCAUCGCCUGCCGAUUCGUCGCCUCCUAUGUCGUUUCUUUUGGGGUGCCAUACCUGAGACCUGCCUUCCCUCUUGUCCGUCGUGUAUUGUUGUUCUUCCUCCUGCUGAUCCCACUGGCGGAGACGCUGGAUUCUUCAUUUUUGAGACUUGGUCAAUCCAUCGGGACACCACCUGGGGUUCACUGGUUUGGUUCGUGGCCUGGCGCGUUCCCAUUCCGGUUCGCGUCCUAAAGGGUUCUCGUCUGACACUCGAGCAUCGGCCAUCUCUUCAAGCUGACUGUGAAUGCUAGCCCUAUUUUCCGGCCGGUCAUGUCGAUCAAAUCUGCCCCCCGGCCUAUCAUGGCGUUUGCCUUACGACCGGUCAUAUCGGUCACUUCUGCCCCCCAGCCGAUCACGCACGGGAGGGCGCCGUUCGUCUUGGUCACGCCAGUUCCUGCUGAUCGGCUCUGGUCUCCCGUCUCUGGAGCGAGACCUGUUGAAUGGCCGAUUGUUACGAUACGGGCCGCUGCACUCUGGGCAAUUAUCGACCGAAGGUAACCUGAGGUUGCUUUCCCAACAGUGGAUGAAGAACGGGCAUCUCCAGUGAUCUUCAUGUCGCCGCAUCGCUUCUUCCCGGGAUCUUGAGCGCUCAUGUUGCCGCUGAUAUUUGUGGAGCAGGAAUUGGGAAGUAAUGCGUGGCUCACCUGAUCCGCCGUCGUCAUCUUCCAUCCGCCGCUUCCCCUUGAUGUCUUCAGGCGCCGCUUGAUUUCUGGGAUCUACGGCACCACUCUUUUUAGCCGAUUCGGACGUUAGCACCUUUGUUUGGAACGAGUUCUUUCCCGUGUCAACCAUGUUGGUGGGGAAGGGGUGCUGAUCGAUCUUCAUCGGCUUGGCUGGUUUUGUUGGUACUUCAAAUUUAAGUCUGCCCUGCUCAAUAGCCGUUUGUAUCUGCUGCCGGAAGAUUUUGCACUCGUUAGUGUCAUGGGAGGUAGCGUUGUGCCAUUUGCAAUAUUUCAUCUUCUUCAGCUGUUCGGCAGAAGGUAUCGUAUGGUACGGCGAGAGCUUAAUCUGUCCUUCCUGGAGUAGGAGGUCGAAGAUUUUAUCGGCCUUCGACGUGUCAAAGCCGAACGUUUCUGGCUCCUUCUUGCCGAACGGGCAUGAUAUCGGCUUCUUUCCCUUAACCCAUUCCGUAAGACCGACUUCUACAUCUUCUUCGGCUUCAACCUCUUCUAAGUAUGCCACCUUCUUUUGGAAGUUCCUCCGUGGAUCGAAAGAACGUACCUCCUGUCCAGACAAUCGGUGGACGAUUUGGCUUAAGCUCUCAAACUCCUGUGAGGCGUAUUUUUCUUUGAUGUGAGGCGUAUUUUCCUCUGUACAUAUGAGGAUAUCGGCUCGUCGCUUCUCUACUUGAGGCUGGUCAAAUCUGACAGCUUCAUCUCAUGUACCCCGGCGUAGAAGUAUUUAUGAAACUGCCUCUCCAAAUCGGCCCAUGUAAUAAUCGAGUUGGGUGGUAAUGUCGUGAACCACUGGAAGGCCGACCCAGACAAGGACGACGAGAAGAGCCGCACCCGUAGAGCGUCUUGCGCUGCUGCCUCUCCGCAUUGGAUGAUGAAUCUGUUCACGUGUUCUACGGUUGAAGUGUCGUCCAUCCCCGAGAACUUGGUGAAGUCAGGAACUUUAUACCGAUGGGGAAACGGCAGUAGGUCGUACGUAGACGGGUACGGUGUCCUGUAAGUGUAAGUCUGUACCUUCGGCUUCAAGCCGAAUUGUUCUUGAAUCACUUCUGCAAUACGUGCCGACCAGUCCGACUGUUGCUGGCAAACUGUUGGCUGAGGGACUGGCACGUGCUGGUAUACCGGAGGCGGGAUGGCUUGAUGCUGAGUGAAAGUAUGUGGCAUCUGAUGUGUUAUAGCUGGCUGUGUAUUCAGGGUUGGCUGUUUGAAUGAGCCACUCGUUUCAUCAUAUAGUACGAGCUCUGCUGCUUUGCUCAUCUCUGGUGCGACAGGCUGGUAUGGCGGCAUAGUUGGUCGAGUGGCUGCCUGGAAAGACGCCUGGAAUUGGGGACUUCCCUGACUGGCCGAUUGAUCCUGAAUGGCCGUAGCUGAUGGUGCCCCCCAAGGCGCUGGAUUAACCGGAGGGAACUGCGCAGAGGACAGCUGAACGGGGUGUGGCUGGAGGUGUUGUGUGCUAGUAUACCCCAUAGAGAUUGAUGAUGAGGAAGCGCCUGAACCCCCAACUGGAAAUUGGAUCGGCUGAGAAGCCGAAUUUAGAUAACUCUUGUUUGGUGGAAUCGGCGGAGCAUAUGCCGGUCCCUUGUACCCUUGAGAUACCCCGCUAGCUAAGGAGCUGAUGACGGCAUUGUACACCGUAUUUGCAAGCAUCGGGGAUUGAUCAAUGAAGGCUUGAUAAACAGACUGCUAGACCAUCUCGGACAUCUUGUCCGAGUCCUCGGUGAUUGUGAUCUGGCGGGGAGUUGGAAAUGGAGACUUUUUGAUAGUCUCCCCGCUCCUGGUGCGACUGAAGGACUGCAGGCAAGCCUUCCGGUAGUACGCCGUCUACUUCUCUAGUUCUUCCUUCUGGUCGUCCCUGAGAUCUGCCUCUGUCACUUCGAUGACGUUAUCUUCCGAGACUUCAGCAGCUUUCGACAUGGUGGCGGUUGUAUUGGUCCCACCGGGCGUGCCAAAAGUGUGUUGGCGCUAGAAAUCGGCUGACCGAAUCCCCAGCGUCUGACACACGACCCGGGAGAAUCUGCUUAACUCCUGUUCGGGUGAUUGCCCUGGUGCAGUUCGCGCGGCGUGCUAGCCAAUCUGACCUGUUGAUUGGCAAGGAAAAGACGUGCCAGGUCCCAGAGAUUGCGAUCGGCUAAGUUUCCGAUCUCGAGAAAGCUUAUCAGCGAAUCGGCUAAUUUGCAGUAAUAGGAGAAUCGGCUAUGAAGCAACCGAUUACCAAGCAACGUUUAUGAACAACGCUACAGUAGCAACACUAGGAACAGAUCUAGUCGGCUAUGCGUAAAAUAAGUAAAUUAAAUGGCGAAAUACGAGAAAAGCCGAGAUUGCCGAUUCCUAGCUGGAUAACUGGUGAUAAAACUAGAACAACAAGUAAAACCUAGAAUUCUAGUAAAUAUCGAUAACUAGUGAAUAAAUCUAAACGAAACAACAGCGAUGCGCCCGAAGUUAAAGCUUAGAAUUUACUCGGUAAACGGAACUUACAAGAUCGGCCGGAGGUCAAGUUGAUGCAGCCCCGCCAACCCGUACGAACUCGUGAAAAAGAAGAAAGUAUUUGGCAAAGUCGCCUGCUUGAAAGUAAGUACGAGGAAAUAGUAGUUUGUUGUAUUGAGUUGUUGAUGAUUACAGAUCUACAAAAGUGGCUAUUUAUAGCCCCGUACAGACGACUUCUUAUCAGACUAGAACUCUAUCCCUAAUUCAAAUGGAAAAUGAAUAUUUAUAAGUACGACUCGUACUAGGUCAAUUAUUAUGCGCUUCAUGGGCUGAUUCCCUCUUCAUCUUUACAAUCCUUUCUAAGCCCAUACCGGCCCAACUAUUCCAACCUCCCAAUCAGCCGAUUUCCUCAUCGGCAAGGGGUAACCGAUCGGGAACCGGGCGCGUCCGAUCCCAAACCCCAGGGGUCAAGUGAGGCGGAAUUCUAAAGAUCCAUCGGCCGAUCCUGGACUGUAGCAUCGGCCGAUCCUGGACUGUAGCACCAACCAACCGAUCUUCAACUGCAGCGCCAUUCGGCCGAUUUCCAACUGUCACCCCUGUAUCUUGCUAUAUCUUCCAAUUUCUUCCUCUCCUGACGCCGAUUUUACUCGUGUCGAAAUCUAGCGUCAACACAUCUGAAGCCUUCCCCUUUAAUUUUUACUGCUCAUGCAUCUUUUAGAUCUAUUCUUAGUUCUCCCUUUUUAUCUUCUCUAGGCGGUCAGACAGCAAAUCACCAUUCGCUUUUCUGAUGCACCCAUGGGAAAUCUAGACCCCACUAAUCUGAUCAAUCUAGAAACCCAUAGGAUUUCCUUUAAGUAGUCGCCCAUGGAUUUGAACCAGUGGAUAGGCACAUUUAGGUCUUGGCCGAACGAAACUAUCAGCUGGAAAGAAUGGUUUCAAAGAAUGUCCAACUCCAAAAGAGUUCUCUGGGACGAACUGAAAAUCGGCCAAUGCAUUAAUCUGUCCUUGUCCUAGAUGGAGAAGAAUGAACCUCUAGUGAUGGCGGCUUCUUAUUUUUGGUUCGACGCGCUUAAUGCGUUUCUUUUUAGACACGGACCCAUGACCCCAACCUUGGCCUCGACAUCAUGAUAUUUUCUGAUCAAACCGACCCAUCGGCUGGAGACAAAUGGAAUCGGCGGGUGGAAAGGAUAUAUCAAUAAAAACAUGAAGACUUGGCCGAUCGGCGACAUAGAAUAUACGACCUUCUUAAUGAUGUGGUUAGAGAAGCAUUUCUUUUGCGGCAAAGUAGUCGGCCCUUCUUCUAAUACACAAGCUUUGGCCGAAGCCCUGGCAAGAGGAUCCACUAUCCCUCUAGGAAAACACUUGCUAGGAUCGGCGUACCACAUGAUGCAUCAGAUCGCCGUCAAACUAUCAACUGGAGAGCCGAUUGGUAAUCCUGGUGGCCGCUGGUGGUUCAUUACCCUUUGUCUCAACUUAUACAUGAGUAAGGUUUUUCGGAAGGAAAUAGAGACCAAAACAUUCCCCAAUAUCGAGUCAGAGGAAAACCCAACAGUACGACGAUGCUGCACCUAUUUUGGCGAAGCGGCAUCAGCUUUUCCUGGCAGCCAGUUUACUCCCACCAAGACAUCCGAGUAUUUCAGAUGCUUCCACGAUGGCUUUAGUGAAGAAACCACGAGUUGGUACCCAUACCAAAGGGCUGAGCCACUUUUUAAGCAUCCCUUCUGCUUCGACUCAACGACCAACUCUUUUGACAAUGAGCUCACAGAUGCCUUGAUCAAACCAGGGGUCUUACCAGCGAACUUCUUUUCCGGGAAGGAUUCUCCAACUUAUGAGUUUUAUAAUCCAUCGGUUGCAGCACGGCAGUUUAGCCUUGGUCAAUUGCCGAUUCGGAUUUACUUUGCUGGCCGCGCAAAGUUUUGGGACGAGCUCACCAAAGGUCUUGAUUAUAAUCGACUAUGUAGUUUGAUCCCAGACUCUAGUAGCAUUGAUUUAAACAACUGGGUGGUGGCUUCUUUUGCUGUUCAACAAUUCAAAUUAUGGUGUGGGAUCGUGACAACAUUGAUCCAAAUGCAGCGGUACUACCCUACUCUUAGCCGAUUUCAAUAUCGUUCCUUUUAUUCUACAAGAUUACCGCUAACUUUCAUUUUCCAUUACAGUCUGGAAGUCAACUUCCUCCAACACGCAGCCGUAGUGACAGGCCGAUAGAAAAUCGCCAUCCGUAUACAUCAUUUCCACUUAUCGGCUAUCAGGCCCCGUCCAUUGAAGACAUCACCACCGGCCGAUUGAAACAGAAGCUGAAGAUAACUUCUUAAAAGAAGACGAGCCGUUGGGUGCGCGCCCGUAUAGAAUCGGCUGAUCAAUCGGCGGUGGCAUCGGCUGAAUCUUUAGCUGCACCGACUCCGCCGACUAUCGAAGAAGUCGACCCCCAGGCCGCUACAGAAGCUAGAGCAGCAGCUGCGUCAUUGCUGCUAGAAGCUGUUCAGGUAACUUCAUACACCUCACAUUUUUUCUAAGUAUUCUGUCAAUAUUAACUUCUUCUUUCUGUUAGGCUGCGCAAAUCAUCCCAGAGAAAUCUCCGCAGCAAUCGGCCACACUCCAGGCAGAGACUGAGACACCAGCAAUUCCUCCCACUGAGGUAGAGAAUAUUUAUUUAACUCAAAUUUCUUAAUCCUUAAUCAGAAUCUGACCGAUUUCUGAUGCAGGCUACUCUGGGUACGUCAAUUGUGCCCUUUCAACAACCAUCAGCCGAACGACUUGCUGAGGUAUAACAGUCAUUAUCUACCACCAGACUUAAUCAUCUGCCUCAUACUCAUAAAGAUCCAUUUCCUGUACCUUUCCAGGAGGCUGGCCCGAGUACGGCGCCGAUAAUUGUCAAAUCUUCUUCCUCCAAUGAGCCAGCCGCGCUGAUUCCCAAAAUGAGGGUGGCACUCCCACCGGCACAAGCAGAAAAAAUCCGUUUCAAAGAGGUAAGAAACUUGAUGUCCAAAUCGGCUGAUUUUCUAUUACCGUCGGCUAAUCUAUCUCUUUAUUAUUUAUCUUUUCUCAGGAGCAGGAUACUCCCAAUAACAGCCUCUUCUCUUUUGCAGUUGCAAUCUCUGAUGACAAGGAGGUCGCCUCGCGCCAAGUCACCCUAAAUUUACUUCCUGAUAAAGUCCACGCCAAGCUCCAGAGUAUACGGGCCCUCCUCCAAGAUGAUAUCGGCCGAUUGGUAGAAGACGCCUCGCCAAUUCGACAACUCUUUAGUGAAAUCAGAGGCCGAGUUCUAGAAGAAGCGGAAGAAGCCCUCCCACCCAUAGCAUAUAUCGAGUCAAUGUGGAUCCCGGUUUUCAGAGCUUUACGACACAUGGCUGAUCGUGCUAAAUUAGCAAAAGCACGCGAAGAGGAGGAUUCCUACAAACACCGAGCUCAAGAAGUGCACCAACGAAUCAGCGUCCUUGAAAAUUCUCAUCCAGACAUCAUCGGCACCAUAGACCGCCUCAAACGAUGAAGGGUAGAACUCGCCAAGGAAAUGGAGCAGGUGACCAAAGCUAUAGCCGCCAAAGAGAAAAAACUCCAAGACCUCCCCCCUGUCAUCGCCGAUCUGAAGCAGGAAAGGCAAAACUUGGCUCAUGAAGCGAUCAAGCUCCAUCAUCAUAUGCUAGAAGUCCUUGGAUUGGCCGCCGAUGACCAAAGAACCUUGGAUUUAGCCGAUGAGAUUCGGCAGCGAGCGAUUGCGGCUAUUAAUGCUCUUCUUGGGUAAACUAUAGAAAAUUCUGAGUGCCUUUUGUACAAACAUUUAAUGUUCUUUUACCGUUGCCGUGUGAAUUCAAACUUGGACCGUCCUCUAUUGUAGCUUUUAAUUUAAUAGUCCUUUACUUCGAUGGGAUGCGUUUCACCAACCGUUACCCUUUAUCCUUUUCCUCCUAUAAGUAUAAGACCCUUGAAUCGCUUCUAAGGGCAUUCAUUCUUGGCCCAGCCUUCUUUCCUCAAGUCAUCUUGUUUCCAUAUUCUUAGACCAGGCGCCGAGAUGUCUUCCUUUUCCUCCAUCAAUCAGGUACGAAAUCUCUCUUCGUCCCUCCGCCAGGCGUUCAUCAAUCUAACGACGGGUGACUGUUCUUUACCUUCCAGCCGAGACACCUUAGUCCUGGCUUGGAGCGAGCCAUCAAAAUCAUGCACUCUGAGGAACCGCUUAUGCAGGCGAACAGAGAUCUGAUUGAGGCCCAUCGUGAAGAACUCAAAGAUCAUAUCCCCACUCAUGUCCAGAAGAUCCUGGAUCACAUGGAAGCCAACUGCUCCAGGCGGCCGCCAAUCGAGAGGAGCCACCAGCUUCCUCGUCAGGUUGUUCUCGAGGACGCCAUGGCGGGGACAUCCCAACCGCCUAUUGACAGAAGCAACCAACUUCCUCACCAGGUUGCUGUUGAAGCCGCAUGGAGGACUUAGAGGAGAAGAGUAUCCGCCUCCUAAUAGAACUAGGCCGGGUCGAGAGAGAGAUUAAAAAGAACAAAGCUUAGCCAAAACGUGAUUAAUAAAUGUAUUGGUACUUUUGGUCUAAGGGCGACUUGUACCGUGUCGGCCAUGUAUGCUAUCGCUGUACCGAGUAAUAAAUCAGCCAGGCUAGUGAAAUGUUCCAUCCUCAAGGCGAUGUUAUCUUUGCAUCGACUAUAUGAACACGAGUCAAUAGGAGUCGGCCACGUCAUCUCAACACGCCAUAUCAUUUGCUACGCGUCCACCCAUAUGCUAGGUAAUAUCUCUUCAAAUACCUUCCGUUUAAAGCUCUUGUGAAUUCCUCUCCUUCGAUAGUUUCCAAUAUGUACGCAUUUCCCGGAGCGCAUCGGCCGACUCUAUACAGCCCUUCCCAAGUAGGUGACCAUUUACCGAAUUUGGGAUCUUUAGACCCUAUCGGCAGCACCAACUUCCAUACCAAAUCUCCUUGGGAGAAUUGCUUGACCUUGACCUUCUUGUCGUACCACCUGGCCACCCUUUUCUUGUUUUCCUCGAUGCUGAUCAGGGCCCUUAAUCGCUGACCCGCCAAAUCGUCAAGCUCCCCCUUCAUGAGGAGGAAUAUUCACCGGCUGUCAACUGAUCUUGAAGUGACAUGCGUCUAGACCCUGUCCUUAAUUCCCAAGGCAGUACUGCCUCGUGAUCGUACACCAACUAAUAAGGAGAUAUUUUAGUAGCUCCAUGAUAGGCCAUCUUGUAUGCCCAUAAAGAUUCAGUCAAGGAUGCGUGCCACUUUUUGGGCUGCUCUUCUAUCUUCCUCUUGAUCAACUUGAUUAUUCCCUUAUUGGAUGAUUUGGCCUGACUGUUAGCUUGAGCAUAAUACGAAGAAAUUCAACAUUUUAAUUCCCAUAUCAGCGUGAACACUUCAAACUCUCCCGACGUGAACAUUGUCCCUUGAUCAGUUGUGAUGGUUUGAGGGAUACCGAACCGAUAAACAAUGUGAUCUCUCACAAAAUCGAUCAUAGCAGCCGAUGUUACGGUCUUCAGGGGAAUUGCCUCCGCCCACUUGGUAAAGUAAUCAGUGGCUACUAAUAUGAACUUGUGUCCCUUGCUUGAUGGAGGAUAAAUCUGUCCGAUGAGGUCUAUUCCCCAACCUCUAAACGGCCAUGGCUUAAUUAUUGGGUUUAUAGCCGAGGCUGGUGCCCGCUGCACGUUGCCAAACUUCUAACAAUCUUGACAUCCUUUAUAAUAUUUAAAGCAAUCCUCGAGUAUCAUCGGCCAAUAAUAACCAUUGUUCCUGAUCGUCCAUUUCAUUUUAUGAGCCGAUUGAUGAGCCCCGCACACGCCUUCGUGAAUUUCUCCCAUCAGAACCUUUGCUUCUUCCGUUCCAAUGCACUUGAGCAGAACCCCAUCAAUCGUCCGGUAAAACAAAUCAUCCUCAAGUAACACAUAUUUUGUGGCCUGAAAACGUACUCGCCGAUCCACUUUCUUGGAUGGAUCUUUUAAGUAAUCGGCGAUCUCCUUUCGCCAAUUGUCGGCCGCAAGCUCCAGAGUCAUGGCACCUUGAAUCGGCCGAUACCCCGAAGCAUGUUGAGAAAGCUUGUUGGCUUCUUCAUUGUAAUUUCUGGGAAUAUGCUCAAUAACUGUAGACUUGAAUUCUUUUAACAACCGAAGGCAAUCUUCAUAGUAAAUCCUUAAGACAUCAUCUUUACAUUCAGAUUUCCCCGUCAACUGAUCAACGAUGAGCAUGGAAUCCCCGAAAAUCUCCACUGCAUCGGCCUUGACCUCUCUCAAUAAUUGGAUACCCUUUAGGAUAGCCCGGUACUCUUCUUGAUUAUUAGUAGCGGAUGCUUCUAUCGGCAGAGAGAAAUCAUAACUAGCCCCCCGAGGCGAUAUGAGGACGAUGCCGAUUCCUAAUCCGACCCCACACGAAGAACCGUCAAAGUACAGAGUUGUUGACGCCAGAUUUUGACACGAGUAAAAUCGGCGUUAGGAGAGGAAGAAAUUAGAAGAUGCGGCGAGAUACAAGGGUGACGAUUGGAAAUCGGCCGAUUGGUGCUACAGUCAAGGAUCGGUUGAUUGGUGCUACAGUUGAGGAUCGGCCGAUUGAUGCUACAGUCGAGGAUCGGUCGAUUGACCCUUGGAGUUCCACCUCGCCCGACCCCUAAGGUUUGGGAUCGGACGCGCCCGACCCUCCAAGGGAGGAUCCCCGCCUCGCCCGACCUUAGUUUCCAGGGUCGGAGUAGUCUGAGCCCCCGACAUGUAGGUCCUAAUCGGUUGUCCCUUGCCGAUGAGAUGAUCGGCCGAUUAGGAGGCUGGAAUAGUUGGGCCGGUGUGGGCCUAAAAAGGAUUAUGAAGAUGAAGAGGGAAUCAACCCAUGAAGCGCGUGAUAAUCGACCUAGUACGAAUCGUACUUGUAAAUAUUCGUUUUCUAUUUAAAUUUAGGGAUAGAGUUCUAGUCGGAUAAGAAGUCAUUUGUAACAGGCUAUAAAUAGCCACCCUUGUAGAUCUGUAAUCAUCAUCAACUCAAUACAACAAACUACUAUUCCCUCGUACUUACUUUCAAGCCGGCGACUUCGCCAAUACUUUUCCCUUUUCAUGAGUUCGUACGGGUUGGCGGGGCUGUAUCAACUUGACCUCCGGCCGAUCUUGUAAGUUCCGCUUAUCGAAUAAUUUCUAAGCAUUAACUUCAGGCGCAUCGCUAUCAUUUCGUUUAGAUUUAUUCAUCAGUUAUCGAUAUUUACUAGAAUUCUAGGUUUUACCUGUUUCUCUGGUUUUAUCACUAGUUAUCCAGCUAGGAAUCGGCAAUUUCGGCUUUUCUUGUGCUUCGUUGUUUAAUGUAUUCAUUUUAUGCAUAGCCGAUUAGAUCUGUUCCUAGUGUUGCUACUAUAGCAUUGUUUAGAUUGCUCCAGCAGUUUUCUUUAUUAACGCUGCUUGGUAAUCGGCUGCAUCAUAGUCGAUUUCUUUAUUACGGCAAAUCGGCCGAUUCGCUGAUAAGCUUUCUCGAGAUCGGAACCUUAGCCGAUCGCAACUUCUGGAUCUGACACGUUUCUUUCCUUGCCAAUCAACAGGUCAGAUUGGCUGGCACGCCGCGCGAACCACACCAGGACGAUCAGCCGAACAGGAGCUAAGCAGAUUCUCCCGGGUCGUGUGUCCGACGCUGGGAAUUCGAUCAGCCGAUUUCUAGCGCCAACACACUUUUGGCACGCCCAGUGGGACAAAUACAACCGCCACUAUGUCGAAAGCUGCUGAAGUCUCGGAAGAUAACGUCAUCGAAGUGACAGAAGCAGACCUCAGGGACGAUCAGAGGGAAGAAUUGGAGAAGCAGACGGCAUAUUACCGGAAGGCAUGUCUCCAAUCCUUCAGUCGCACCAGGAGCGGAGAAACUGUCAAAAAGACUCCGUUCCCAACUCCCCGCCAGAUCACAAUCACCAAGGACUCGGACAAGAUAUCCGAGAUGGUUCAACAAUUUGUCUAUCAAGCUUUCAUCGAUCAAUCCCCGGUGAUUUCUAAUACGGUAUACAAUGCCGUCAUCAGCUCCUUAGCUAGCGGCGUAUCUCAAGGGUACCAGGGGCCGGCAUAUGCUCCGCCAAUUACGGCUCCGAACAAGAGUUAUUCAAAUACACCUUAUUCGGCUUCUCAGCCGACCUAAAUUCCAGUUGGGGGUUCUGGCGCUUCCUCAUCAUCGAUCCCUAUGGGGUUUAAUGGCGCACAAUAUCUCCAUCCGCGUCCCAUUCAGUUGUCCUCCGCGCUGUUUCCUCCGUUAAAUCCAGCGCCUUGGGGGGCACCAUCAGUGACUGCCGCCCAGGAUCAGCCGGCCAACCAUGGAAGUCCUCAACUCCAGGCUUCUUUCCAGGCGGCCGCUAGGCCAGUCAUGCCAUAGUAUCAGCCUGUCGCACCGGAGAUGAGCAGGGCGGCAGAAUCAACGGAAGUACUUCGGGGCGUUGCGCCGCUCGUACUAUAUGACGAAGCAGGCGGCUCAUUCAAACAACCAACCCUGACUACGCAGCUGGCUAUGACACAUCAGACGCCGCACGCUUUCACUCAUCAUCAAGUCAUUCCUCCGCCAAUAUACCAACACGUACCAGUUCCCCAGCCGACGGUACACCAGCAACAGCCGGACUGGUCGGCACGCAUAGCAGAGGUGAUUCAAGAGCAAUUCGGCUUAAAAUCGAAGGUGCAGACCUACACAUACAGGACACUGUACCCGCCUACAUACGACUCACUGCCAUUUCCCCAUUGGUAUAAAUUUCCUGAUUUCACCAAGUUUUCGGGACUGGACGACACCUCAACUGUGGAACACGUGAAUAGAUUCAUCAUCCAAUGCGGGGAAGCAGCGGCGUAGGAUGCUCUACGGGUGCGCCUUUUCUCGUCAUCCCUGUCUUGGUCAGCCUUUCAGUGGUUCACUACAUUACCGCCCAACUCGAUAAUUACGUGGGCUGAUCUGGAAAGGCAGUUUCACAAGUAUUUUUACACCGGGGUACAUGAGAUGAAGCUGUCCGAUUUAACCAGCCUCAGGUAGAGAAGCGACGAGCCGAUAUCCUCAUAUGUACAGAGGUUCAGGGAAAUCAGAAAUAAGUGCUACUCCCUGGCCCUGACUGAUGCACAGUUGGCCGAUAUAGCCUUCCAAGGUCUCCUACCUCAUAUCAAAGAAAAAUACGCCUCACAGGAGUUUGAGAGCUUAAGCCAAAUUGUCCACCGAUUGUCUGGUCAAGAAGUACGUCCUUUCGAUCCAUGGAGGAACUUCCAGAAGAAGGUGGCAUACUUAGAAGAGGUUGAAACCGAAGAAGACACAGAAAUCGGCCUUGCGGAAUGGGUUAAAGGGAAGAAGCCGAUAUCGUGUCCAUUCGGAAAGAAGGAGCCGGAAACGUUCAGAUUCAACACAUCAAAGGCCGAUAAAAUCUUCGACCUCCUCCUCCAGGAAGGACAGAUCAAGCUCUUGCCGUACCAUACGAUUCCUUCUGCCGAACAGCUGAAGAAGAUGAAAUAUUGCGAGUGGCAUAACGCUACCUCCCAUGAUACAAACGAAUGCAAAAUCUUCCGACAGCAGAUACAGUCGGCCAUCGAGCAAGGCAGACUUAAAUAUGAAGUUCCAACGAAACCGGCUAAGCUGAUGAAGAUCGACCAGCACCCCUUCCCCACCAACAUGGUUGAUACGGGGAGGAAUUUGCUCCAAACCAAGGUACUGACGUCCAAAUCGGCUAAGGAAAGCGGCACCGUAGACCCUAGGAAUCAAACAACACCCGAAGACGUCAAGGGAAAACGGCGGAUGGAAGAUGAUGACGACGGAAUGGGAGAACCACAUAAGCCCAUUACUUCCCAAUUUCUGCUCAAUAAGUAUCAGUGGCAGCAUGAACGCUCGAGAUCCCGGGAAGAGGCGAUGCGGCGACAUGAAGAUCACUGGCGAUGCCCGUUCUUCAUCCACUGUUGGAAAAGCAACCUCAGGUUGCCAUCGGCCGAUAAUUGCCCUAAGUGCAACGGCCCGUAUCGUAACAAUCGGCCGUUCAGAAGGUCUCACUCCAGAGAUGGGAAAUCAGAGCCGAUCAGCAGGAACUGGCGGAACCAAGAAGACCGGCGCCCUCCAGUACGUGAUCGGCUGGGGGGCAGAAGUGACCGAUAUGACCGAUCGGAAGGCAGGCGCGAACGAAAUGAUAGGCCGGGGGGCAGAUUUGAUCGACAUGACCGACCAGAAAAUAGGGUUAGCGUCCAUAGUCAACUUGAAGAAAUGACCGAUGCUCGGGUAUCAGACGAGAAUCCUUUAGGACGUGAACCAGAGUGGGAACGCGCCAGGCCACAGACCAAACCAGUAAACCACAGGUGGUGCCCUGAUGGAUUGACCAAAUCUCAAAAAAGAAGAAUCCAACAUCUCCGCCAGUGGGAACAGCAGGAAGAAGAAUAACGGCAUACGAUGGAUGAGAAAAACGACAGGUCUUAGGUUUGGCGCCCCAAAAGAGGCAACAGGGGAAACGAUGAAUCGGUAGCCGAUAUCGGCAUGGUUUUCAUACUGCUGAUGGAGUUCAUGUUGGAGGUAUGCCCUAGAGGCAAUCAUAGAGAUGAUGAUAUUCCAUUUGUAUCAUGAUUUGUAUAUUGUGUUCAUUGAAUAUCCAUUAAAGGCUACUUGAAUUGAUUUGCAAUUAUGUGAAUUGUAUGUGAAACUCUUUACUUGUAUGGUUAUUCUAAAGUUGUCCCUAAUCGGAGUUCAUGUGAGGACACACAUGAAUAUUAGACUAGCACAUGUAUUAGUUGAUGACUAUGUUUCACAAGUCAUGGACAUGGAGAUGUUGAACUAAUAAUGUGGACACAUGUGGAGACAUGUGCUAGGAUUGACCCAACAUGAGAAGUAGUUCUCUCUUUAAACAACAUAUACGCCUUGUCCUUAGACCUGAGAUUUUUGCAUGUAUUCUAGAUGUGGAUCGACCUACUUAGGGGCUAUCAAACGCUACGUCGUAACAGGGUAGUUAUAAAGGUAGCUUUCGGGUUUGUCAAGAAGCAUGCUAUGAGACAUGGUCAAUCAAGAUGGGAUUUGCCCCUCUCUGAUUGAGAGUGAUAUCUCUGGGCCCCUCGAGUGAUCGGAUCCGAAAAUGCAUGGCCAUGCUACGUACGGUUAAGAGUUAACCUACAAAGGGAUUCCGAAUCACAUGAUCGAGAAAGAGCGGUCGGCUUGAAGCUAGAUCAAAUAUCGUGAGGCAAAGGGAAUAGCAUGUAUAUUAUGUUUUGAUGGUUUGUCUGAUAUGAUCUUCGUGUGUGUAUAGGAGUUGGCACGUCUUGCUAGAGGCCGCUACCGACUAUUGGGCCGAGUAGGAGUACUCGGGCCAUGUCUAUACGUAUCCGAACCCACAGGGUCACACACUUAAGGGGCUGGAAGCCCAAUUCGGAUCUGAUCCGAGUUGGAUUAGGUUUAGAAGUACUAAUGGGCCUCGGACCCAGAGGCCCGUUAGGAACCUCUACAAAUAGAGGGGUGGGGGCGCCCUAGGGUUUACACCUUUUGGCGAAACACACCUGCCGCGCCUCCCACGCCCUCACCUGUUGCAACUCGCGGAUCUAGCAGUCCGGCUUGCGACGCUUCCUCCCUGCACGUGUGGAUACCUUGGAGGUGUUGCGCCUGUAGCACUUGGACGAGCUGCCGACGAGCCGCCGACGAGCCACCGACGAGCCACGACGAGCCGACGACGAGCCGCGGGACCGGAGGCGAUAUUGCUGCACGUGGACGAGCUGCUGAGGAGCUGCUGGACGUGAUCGACUACAUACGACUACGUUGAUCGACUACGUACGACUAUGUGAUCGUCUUCACUGCAUCGACGCAUAUCUACAUCUUCCGCACCAGUAGUGCAUCGAGUGGUAAUCCCGUGAUCCUUAUACGGUAGUUCUUCCUGGUUAUACGCGGUAGAUUUUUUGAAUUGCGCUAGUGUAGCCUACCUCGUAUCCCAACAGUGGUAUCAGAGCCGUAGCUGCUUAGUUUUGGAUUCGGGAUGUGUGCAUACGGAGAUAUGCGAGUUUUCCGUUUGAUCUAUGUCCUGGUUUCGUGCCCUUGCUGCAAUGGUAGUGUAACGACAUACUCCUACCGGUUGGUUUCCGCCAUCGGAGUUAAGUGAUACACGUAAAUCCAGUUGCAGUGAGCGAAGAUCAAUAUGAUUGGUCGAAUCGAAAUCCAGGGUCAUACGCCAGGCGCAUUAGAUGUGCAACAGUAGAUGAGAUCUACUGCCGGAGUCGGGAUUUUUGCCGUUUGCGUAUGCUUCGGUAAAUCAGCCAUAACUUUUCGGUACGAUCUCGGAUUGGGGUGAAUUUUAUAUGAAAAUUGAUCUAUAGAAAAAGUUUUCGGCAAAAUUAGAUUUUCCAAAUUCGGCUUGGAAGAUGGAGUUUCGGGCCUCCAAAGUUUGGAACGUUAGGGCGCCUAACUCUGUUUUGCAGGAUGUAUGUGUGUAUCUUGUGAUCAGUAUGGCCCCUUUGUGUUUGUGAUGCAUGUAUGUAACUCAUUCGUGACCUGCGUGUCGCGCGUACGGCAACACGGCAGGAGCCAUAUGUGUUGUCACUUUAUUGUAUUUAAUGGUCUGUGUACCAAUCUGUGAUGACCCAAGCAACUAUGUAAUCUUCAUUACUAGAUUCUUUACUAGCUAUUAGGCGUAAUAGCAUGCUCUAGUUCUUGGAGGACUCAUCACCAGAAGGAUGGCGCACAUGGAACAUGGAGAUGGAGAUCACCAUGGUGAACAGGUUCUAUGGAGAUGGAGAUCACCAUAUGAAAACGGGCCAUACUGUGUCACAACUGUGUGAAUGCUAUUCUGUUUAUGUUUUACUUUCUGCAUGCUGUGAUGUUAGAAGUAGAACGAUCCCUCACAAAGUUUAAGUUAGUAUUCCCUCCCAACUAAAACUUGCACCGUCCCAUGUCUUGUACAAUUAGUGGUGGGUCUAUGAAAUUAGGGUGCCACUAGUUUUCCUUGACUAGACGGGUUUGUGUCGGACACUUACACGCAUAAGGGUUGGUUUGCUUAACGAGGUUAUCUUAACGGUUAAGGACCUUGGGGCAUAAAGGUUGGGCGCCGAGACAUAGAGAUGUCACCCAACAACAGGAGUCAUAUGUGAUAUGAUUAGCAAAAGUUGCUUACCGAUCUACCUCGUUUGCUAGCGGUGAUGCUAAAGCUCACUAGUGGACUUGUUAGUUGUGGAUCCUGAAUCACUAAGUUUCAAUAGAGGGAUAUUGAUUUUAGUGGGAGUAGAUUCUGUUAAAAUAGUUUAAAUGUAAUUUGCUCUAUCAUGGAUACGUUUGUCUUAGUGUAUUUUGCAUUACUUUUGUUGUAGAUUAAAAGGCACCUAGCAACACCACCACAUCGUUUGCUUUGCGUUCGGUCCUUGAGAAGGACAAGUUGAAUGGAACAAACUACUCGGAUUGGAUCCGUAACCUGAGAAUUGUUCUCAGGGCUGAUAAAAAGGAAGAUGUUCUAGACACCCCACUACCACCAGUACCUGCUGAUGAUGCAUCUGCUGCCGUUAAGGCUGCUUACAAGAAGGCAUUUGAUGCUAAUCUUGAGGUAAGCUGCCUUAUGCUUGCUUGCAUGGAACCCGAGCUGCAGAUGCAGUUCGAAACAAAUCAUGAGGCACACGAUAUGAUCGUGGCGCUCAAGGACAUGUUCCAGACACAGGCUAGGACUGAAAGGUUCAAUGUGUCCAAAGCCUUUCUGGAGUGUAAGUUAGCAGAAGGCGCAGCAGUAGGACCACAUGUAAUCAAGAUGGUUGGUUACACUCAGCGAUUGGAGAAGCUGGGCUUCCCAAUGGGCAAAGAGUUGGCCACUGACUUCAUUCUUUCAUCUCUUCCGCCUAGCUAUGGGAACUUCAUCUCGAACUACCAUAUGCAUGGGAUGGAGAAGGGUUUGAAUGAACUGUGUGGUAUGCUCAAGACAGCAGAGGUGGACAUCAAGAAAAGCGCUAGUACCAGCCAUGUGAUGGCUAUACAGAAUAAGCCUAGCUUUAAGAAGAAGGGCAAUUCUUGGAAGAAGAAGGGCAAGGCUGGAACGUCCAAGCCAAACCCAGCGCCCAAGGUUAAAGCUGGACCUGGACCUGCUCCAGACAAAGAGUGCUUUUACUGUCAUGAACUUGGUCACUAGAAGAGAAACUGCAAGCAGUACCUAGCUUCGUUGAGGAAUGGCGGAAGUAAGAGUACUUCUACCUCAGGUACGCUUGUUGUUAAUGUUAUAGACAACAUAUUUCUCGCUGAUACAAUUAUUAAUUCUUGGGUAUUUGAUACCGGAUCGGUUGCUCAUAUUUGCAAUUCGAUGCAGGGAAUGAUAAAAAGUAGAAGCGUGGAAAGAGGAGAAGUUGAUUUCCGCGUGGGCAAUAAUGCAAGAGUUGCUGCGUUGACCGUCAGGACGAUGCAACUCCACCUCCCAUCAGGAUUUAUUAUGGAGUUGAAUAAUUGUUAUUUUGUUCCUAGUUUAAGUCGAAACAUUUUGUCUCCUUCAUGUUUGAUGAAGGAUGGUUAUUCAUUUGCGAGUGAAAACAAUGGUUGUGUGAUCUCUAAGAAUAAUAUGUUUAUGGCUUUUGCACCCAUUGUGAAUGGAUUAUUUGUUUUAAAUCUUGAUGGUUCACCUGUCUGUAAUGUAAGUGCUAAAAGGCCUCGGCCUAAUGAUUUGAGUCCUACCUACUUGUGGCAUUGUCGUUUGGGUCAUAUAAGUGAAAAGCGCAUGAAGAAGCUCCAUUCUGAUGGACUUCUAACUUCGUUUGAUUUUGAAUCAUACGAGACAUGUGAGGCUUGCUUGCUAGGCAAGAUGACCAAGACGCCUUUCACAGGAUUUCCUGAGAGAGCAGUAGACUUGUUGGAACUCGUACAUAGUGAUGUAUGCGGACCAAUGAGCACGAUGGCUAGAGGAGGAUUCCAAUACUUCAUAACUUUCAUUGAUGAUUUUAGUAGAUAUGGCUAUGUCUACUUGAUGAGGCACAAGUCUGAAACCUUUGAAAAGUUCAAGGAAUUUCAGAAUGAAGUUGAAAAUCAGCGUGGCAAGAAAUUACGAUCUGAUCAUGGAGGCGAGUAUUUGAGCCACGAGUUUAGCAAUCAUCUAAAGAGUUGCGGAAUUGUUCCACAACUUACGCCGCCUGGAACACCUCAGAGAAAUGGUGUGUCCGAGCGACAUAAUCGAACUUUGUUAGACAUUGUUCGAUCAAUGAUGAGCCAGUCGGACCUACCGUUGUCAUUUUGGGGAUACGCUCUAGAAACAGCAGCUUUCACACUUAAUAGGGUACCAUCUAAAUCCGUAGUUAAGACACCAUAUGAGAUAUGGACUGGAAAGGUUCCCAGUUUGUCUUUUCUAAAGAUUUGGGGAUGUGAAGUCUUCGUCAAGCGACUUCAGUCGGACAAGAUCACACCCAAGUCGGAUAAGUGCAUUUUCGUGGGAUAUCCAAAGGAAACUUUGGGAUAUUAUUUCUACAACCGAUCAGAAGGCAAAGUGUUUGUCACUCGGAACGGGGUUUUCCUAGAGAAAGAGUUUCUCAAAGGAGAAAAGAGUGGAAAGACAGUGCAUCUUGAAGAAGUUCAAGAUGAGCCAAUCGGGCAAGAAUCAAUGAGUGAUGCUAACGUAGCAGAACAAGUUGAGAUACCCAUGGCAAGAGAAGCACCGCCACAACCACGAAGGUCGGCAAGGCUCCGCGAAAUGCGGGAAAUAUUAUUGUUGGACAAUGAUGAGCCUGCAACAUAUGCAGAAGCAAUGAUGGACCCAGACUCCGAAAAAUGGCAGAGUGCCAUGCAAUCCGAAAUAGAGUCCAUGGGAGACAAUCAAGUUUGGAACUUGGUUGACCCGCCUGAUGGUGUUAAAGCCAUAGAGUGCAAGUGGAUCUAUAAGAAGAAAAAGGACAUGGAUGGAAAUGUUCACAUCUAUAAAGCACGACUUGUCGCAAAAGGUUUUCGACAAGUUCAAGGAGUUGACUACGACGAGACCUUCUCGCCCGUAGUGAUGCUUAAGUCCAUUCGGAUUACUCUAGCUAUAGCUGCAUAUUUUGAUUAUGAGAUAUGGCAGAUGGAUGUCAAGACAGCUUUCCUGAAUGGAAACCUAGCUGAGGACGUGUAUAUGAUACAGCUCGAGGGCUUUGUCGAUCCGAAAAAUGCUGGAAAGGUAUGCAAACUUCAGAGAUCCAUUUAUGGAUUGAAGCAAGCAUCUAGGAGUUGGAACAUUCGUUUUGAUGAAGUGGUCAAAGGGUUUGACUUCACCAAGAACGAAGAAGAGUCUUGUGUUUACAAGAAGGUUAGUGGGAGCUCUGUAGUAUUUCUAAUCUUAUAUGUGGAUGACAUAUUACUGAUUGGAAAUAACAUUCCUAUGCUUGAGUCCGUAAAGACUUCACUGAAAAAUAGUUUUUCGAUGAAGGACUUAGGGGAAGCGGCAUAUAUUCUGGGUAUUAAGAUCUAUAGAGAUAGAUCGAGAAGGCUUAUAGGUUUAAGCCAAGAUACUUACAUUGACAAAGUGUUGAAGCGGUUCAGCAUGGAAGAGGCAAAGAAAGGGUUCUUGCCUACGUCACAUGGCAUACAUCUCAGCAAGACUCAGUGUCCUUCGACUGCUGAUGAGCGGGAUCGCAUGAGUAGAGUGCCAUAUGCCUCGGCUAUUGGAUCUAUCAUGUAUGCAAUGAUAAGUACUCGCUCAGAUGUUUCAUAUACGCUAAGUAUGACAAGCAGACACCAAUCUGAUCCAGGUGAGAGUCACUGGACAGCGGUGAAAAACAUUCUUAAGUACUUGAGAAGGACUAAAGAUAUGUUCCUCGUCUAUGGAGGUGAGGAGGAGCUCGUUGUAACAGGUUACACCAAUGCUAGUUUCCAAACCGACAGAGAUGAUUCAAAGUCACAAUCAGGAUUUGUGUUCACGCUGAAUGGUGGUGCUGUUAGUUGGAAGAGUUCCAAGCAGGAGACGGUGGCCGAUUCUACGACAGAAGCCGAGUACAUCGCGACUUCGGAAGCCGCGAAGGAAGGUGUUUGGAUAAGGAAUUUCCUCAUUGAGCUUGGUGUGUUCCCGAAUGCGUCCAGCCCAUUGAAUCUCUACUGUGAUAAUAAUGGGGCAAUUGCGCAAGCAAAGGAGCCAAGGAACCACCAGAAGAACAAACACGUAAUGCGGCGAUUUCAUCUCAUUCGAGACUUCGUUAACCGGGGUGAGAUCAAGAUAUGCAAAAUACACACGGAUCUGAACAUUUCUGAUCCGUUGACAAAACCACUCCCGCAGGCUAAGCAUGAUGCGCAUGUAAGAGCUAUGGGUAUUAGGUACCUUCUAGAUUGACUCUAGUGCAAGUGGGAGACUGUUGGAGGUAUGCUCUAGAGGCAAUCAUAGAGAUGAUGAUAUUCCAUUUCUAUCCAUGAUUUGUAUAUUGUGUUCAUUGAAUAUCCAUUAAAGGCUACUUGAAUUGAUUUGCAAUUAUGUGAAUUGUAUGUGAAACUCUUUACUUGUAUGGUUAUUCUAAAGUUGUCCCUAGUCGGAGUUCAUGUGAGGACACACAUGAAUAUUAGACUAGCACAUGUAUUAGUUGAUGACUAUGUUUCACAAGUCAUGGACAUGGAGAUGUUGAACUAAUAAUGUGGACACAUGUGGAGGCAUGUGCUAGGACUGACCUAACACGAGAAGUAGUUCUCUCUUUAAACAACAUAUACGCCUUGUCCUUAGACCUGAGAUUGUCGCAUGUAUUCUAGAUGUGGAUCGACCUACUUAGGGGCUAUCCAACGCUACGCCGUAACAGGGUAGUUAUAAAGGUAGCUUUCGGGUUUGUCAAGAAGCAUGCUAUGAGACAUGGUCAAUCAAGAUGGGAUUUGCCCCUCUCUGAUUGAGAGUGAUAUCUCUGGGCCCCUCGAGUGAUCGGAUCCGAAAAUGCAUGGCCAUGCUACGUACGGUUAAGAGUUAACCUACAAAGGGAUUCCGAAUCACAGGAUCGAGAAAGAGCGGUCGGCUUGAAGCUAGACCAAAUAUUGUGAGGCAAAGGGAAUAGCAUGUAUAUUAUGUUGUGAUGGUUCGUCUGAUAUGAUCUUCGUGUGCGUAUUGGAGUUGGCACGUCUUGCUAGAGGCCGCUACCGACUAUUGGGCCGAGUAGGAGUACUCGGGCCAUGUCUAUACGUAUCUGAACCCACAGGGUCACACACUUAAGGGGCUGGAAGCCCAAUUCGGAUCUGAUCCGAGUUGGAUUAGGUUUAGAAGUACUAAUGGGCCUCGGACCCAGAGGCCCGUUAGGAACCUCUAUAAAUAGAGGGGUGGGGGUGCCCUAGGGUUUACACCUUUUGGCGAAACACACCUGCCGCGCCUCCCACGCCCUCACCUGUUGCAACUCGCGGAUCUAGCAGUCUGGCUUGCGACGCUUCCUCCCUGCACGUGUGGGUACCUUGGAGGUGUUGCGCCUGCAGCACUUGGACGAGCCGCCGACGAGCCGCCGACGAGCCACCGACGAGCCACGACGAGCCGACGACGAGCCGCGGCACCGGAGGCGAUCUUGCUGCACAUGGACGAGCUGCUGAGGAGCUGCUGGACGUGAUCGACUACAUACGACUACGUUGAUCGACCACGUACGACUACGUGAUCGUCUUCACUGCAUCGACGCAUAUCUACAUCUUCCGCACCAGUAGUGCGUCGAGUGGUAAUCCCGUGAUCCUUAUACGGCAGUUCUUCCUGGUUAUACGCGGUAGAUUUUUUGAAUUACGCUAGUGUAGCCUACCUCGUAUCCCAAUAGUUCAUGACCCCUGCCGACCGACAGAACAUGUCGGCAAUAGAAGAGCAGAUGACACAAUUGGCUUUGGAACCAAUGACAGCCACGUUCGAGAAGCCCGAAGAUGACAAACGACAACACCUGAAGGCGUUGUUUUCUUAAAGGGCAUGUCAACGGCCGACCCAUUACCAGAUUACUAGUAGACGGAGGAGCUGCAGUUAACAUCAAGCCGUACGCCAUGUUCCGGAAGCUAGGGAAGAGCGAUGACGACCUGACCAGGACAGAUAUGAUGCUCAAGGACUUCGAAGGCAACGUAUCCCCUGCUCGCGGUGCUCUCUGCGUCGACCUCACCAUCGGCAGUAAGACCCUUCCUACUACUUUCUUUAUCAUUAAUGGCAAGGGGUCCUACAACAUGUUACUCGGCCGAGACUGGAUACAUGCAAAUUGCUGUAUCCCGUCUACAAUGCAUCAAUGCAUCGUACAAUGGGUCAGCGACAACAUCGAGGUGGUCACCGCCGAUUCCGCAUACAGCAUCGCGGCGGUCGACACGCAGCAGUGGAGCUGCGAGAACGUCAAGUGCAUAUCCGGGAGAAUAUGGGACACUAACUUCUUGAAGGUGUCCGAUUUUGGCCUACAGCCAAUCCGAGUAGUCGGCUCCGAAGACUCAGACUAAAUGGAUCAGUUUGCCCGAGAAGAUGGGAAGCUGGGACACGGGUUCACAUCGGCCGAUUCAUUAGAAAUGAUAGACUUAGGCGAUGGCACCAAACCAAGGCCGACAUAUAUUAGUGCAAAUUUGGAUCCGGAAUACAAAUGUAAAUUGACAAAUUUAUUAAGAGAAUUUAAGGAUUGCUUUGCUUGGGAAUAACAUGAGAUGCCCAGAUUAGACCGAUCUAUUGUCGAACAUCGGUUUCCCAUAAAGCUGGGGUAUCGGCCGUAUCGACAGCCUACACGGCGGUGCAAUCCUAAAAUCCUACCAGACAUAAAGGCCGAAAUAAUGCGGCUAAUCGAAGCAAAAUUUAUUCGGCAAUGCCGUUAUGCCGAGUGGAUCUCCAACAUUGUACCAGUAUACAAGAAGAACGGAAAGCUACGCGUAUGCGUCGAUUUCAGGAACCUCAAUCAGGCCACACCAAUGGAUGGAUACCCCAUGCCGACGGCCGAUGUGCUGAUAGAUGCCGCCAUAGGACACAAGGUUAUUAGUUUCAUGGAUGGAAACGCUGGGUACAAUCAGAUACUAAUGGCCGAAGAGGACAUAUCCAAAACGGCCUUCAGAUGCCCGGGUCACUUUGGUUUAUUCGAGUGGGUGGUAAUGACUUUCGGUUUGAAAAACGCCGACGCUACGUAUCAGAGAGCCAUGAAUUACAUAUUUCACAAACUUAUCAGCAUACUAGUAGAAAUCUACAUCAACGACGUCGUAGUCAAAUCAAAAGGACACCAAGAGGACCUGGCCAAUUUACGACAAGUAUUGGAAUGCACUAAGAAACAUGGGCUGAAGAUGAACCCGAAUAAAUGUGCCUUCGGCGUAUCCGCCGGACAAUUCUUAGGAUUCAUGGUGCAUGAGCGGGGAAUAAAAAUCAACCGGAAGACUAUAGCGGCCAUCAAUAAAGUCGUGGCCCCGCAGAAUAAAACUGAGUUGCAAUCUCUAAUUGGCAAGGUGAAUUUCAUCCGAAGAUUCAUAUCUAAUCUGUUUGGGCGAAUCCAAGCCUUCACACCAUUAUUAAAGUUGAAGCCCGACCAGGAGUUCAUAUGGGGAGAAGAGCAACGCAAGGCAUUAGAAAAUAUCAAGCAGUACUUGGUCUCACCACCAGUAUUGGUCCCACCUCAAACUGGUAAGCCGUUUAAACUAUAUUUAUCAGCCGAUGAACGAGCUAUCAGGUCAGCUCUGGUCCAGGAGUUUGAAGGAAAGGAACGGGUAAUUUAUUACGUCAGUAGAAGACUUCUGGACGCCGAAACAAGGUAUCCUCCAGUAGAGCGGUUGUGCCUAUGCCUUUACUUCUCAUGCACCAAACUUAGGCACUAUUUGCUAUCGGCGGAAUGUAUGGUCGUAUGCAAGGAUGACGUGGUAAAAUACAUGCUAUCAUUGCCGAUUUUGAAAGGACGAAUCAGAAAAUGGAUCUUAGCUUUGUCAGAGUUUGACCUUCGAUAUGAAUCGGCAAAAGCCGUUAAGGGUCAGGUCAUGGCCGAUUUCGUUGCCCAGCACUGCGGACCAGAGGCUACCUUCGUGGAACCAGUACCUUGGACUUUAUACUUUGAUGGAUCGUCAUGUGGGGCCGGAUCAGGAAUCGGCAUCGUCCUCAUAUCGCCUCGGGGGGCAAGCUAUGAUUUCUCUCUGCCGAUAGAAGCAUCCGCCACUAACAAUCAAGCAGAGUACCGAGCUAUAUUGAAGGUGUUACAAUUAUUAAGGGAAGUCAAGGCUAAUUCUGUUGAAAUUUUUGGGGAUUCCAUGCUUAUCGUGGAUCAAUUAACAGGGAGGUCCGAAUGCAAGGACGAUGUGUUGAGGAUUUAUUACAAAGAUUGCCUGCAGCUUCUGAAAGAAUUCAAGUCUGCAGUUAUUGAGCACAUCCCAAGGAAUCACAAUGAGGAUGCCAACAAGCUCGCCCAACAUGCAUCUGGGUAUCGGCCGUUUCAGGGUGCUAUGGCUCUAGAGCUCGCGGCCAAUGACUGGCGAAAGGAGAUUGCCGAUUACCUGAAAGAUCCAUCUAAGAAAGUGGAUCGGCGGGUACAAUUUCAUGCUACCAAAUAUGUGUUACUGGAAGACGACUUGUUCUACCGAACAAUUGAUGGCGUCCUACUCAAGUGUCUAGGAACGGAAGAGGCUAAGACUCUGAUGGGAGAAAUCCACGAAGGAGUGUGUGGAGCCCACCAGUCGGCACAUAAGAUGAAAUGGAUGAUUAGGAAUAAUGGGUAUUACUGGCCGACGAUCCUCGAAGAUUGGUUCAAAUAUUAUAAAGGAUGCCAGGAUUGUCAGAAAUACGGGAAUAUCCAACGUGCGCCCGCAUCGGCCAUGAAUCCCAUUAUCAAACCAUGGCCGUUCAGAGGUUGGGAAAUAGACCUCAUCGGCCAAAUCUAACCUCCGUCAAACAAAGGGCACAAGUUCAUUCUGGUGGUCACUGAUUAUUUCACCAAAUGGGUGGAAGCGAUUCCGUUAAAGGCCGUAACAUCUGCCGCUAUGGUUGACAUUGUAAGGGAUCAUAUCGUCUACCGUUUCGGCAUUCCCCAGACUAUCACGACCAAUCAAGGAACGAUGUUUACAUCAGGAGAAUUUGAGGAGUUCACGGCCGACAUGGGAAUCAAAUUGUUAAACUCCUCUCCGUACUAUGCCCAAGCUAAUGGCCAGGCCGAAUCUUCCAACAAAGGGAUUAUUAAGUUAAUCAAGAGGAAGAUAGAGGAACAGACGAAAAAAUGGCAUUUAUGUCUGACCGAAGCCCUAUGGGCAUACAGGAUGGCUUGCCACGGGGCCACCAAGCUGUCCUCUUAUCAGUUGGUGUACGGUCACGAAGUAGUGCUACCAUGGGAAUUGAGGACGGGUUCGAGAUGCACUUCGCUCCAGGACCAGUUGGCGGCCGAUGACUACUCCUCGCUCAUGAAAAGGGAACUUGAUGACUUGGCUGGCCAACGAUUGAGAGCUUUGAUAAGUAUUGAAGAAAACAAGAAGAAAGUGGCCAGAUGGUAUGAUAAGAAGGUCAAAGUCAAGCAAUUCUCUCCGGGAGACCUGGUAUGGAAGUUAGUGUUGCCGAUCGGGUCAAAAGAUCCUAAAUUCGGUAAGUGGUCCCCUACGUGGGAAGGGCCAUAUAAAAUCGGCAGAUGUGCUCCAGGGAAUGCUUAUAUUCUGGAAAUGAUCCAAGGAGAAGAGUUUACUAGGGCCUUGAACAGAAGAUACUUGAAAAGGUACUACCCUAGUAUAUGGGUCGGGGCAUAAGGAUCAAUCAUAUCAAACAAACACACAGCCAAUACAAAAAGAAUCGUCUAAAGAAAAAACAUAAUCGUCCAAAUCGGCCGAUAUAUUAUUCGGAAUGGACGAUGGGUUACACGGUCGGCACGGUACAAGUCGCCCUUAGAACAAAAAAUAAUUAACCACGCCUCUUCUUAAGCUCUCUCUCAACCCGACCUAGUUCUAUCAGAAGACGGAUGUGCCGUUCUUCUAUCUCUUUCAUCGCGGCCUCCGCUUCAACUUGACGGGGGAGAGGAUGACUCCGGUCCAUUGCCGGACGUGAUGUUCCUGCUGCUGCAUCUUCAAGGAUGAUUUGACGAGGAAGCGCGUGACUUCUGUCGGCUUGAGGUCGCCGAUGGUCAUUGCCGUCAAGAAAGUCCCAGAUCCGUCGGAUGUCAGCAGGGACGUGCUCUUUGAGUUCGUCACGAUGGGCCCUGAUUAAAUCCUUGUCUUCUUGUGACAACGGUUCGUCGGAGUACACGAGUCCGAUGGCUCGUUCGAGCUCAGGACUAAGGUGCCGCGGCUAGGAAAAGCAACAAUAUACAUAUGGCCGCCGAAGAUGUGAUUCUCUUCAGAGGAAUUAAACUGAGAAAGAGGAUGAAGGCAAAUCUUUUACCUGAUUAACAGAAGAAAAGUUAGAGGAUGAAGUAGACAUGACUGAAAAGCACGCCGACGAAAACAAGUCAGGGAAGAUGAAGCCGAGCUAGAGGGGUACUUUCAAAACGGGGACCUAGGCCGGCGUUUAUAAGAAGAGAAGGCAUGGAUGUUUGGUAAGACGCGUCCCAUCGGAAGUAAAAAAGGUAAUAAAUAAGGGGGCACCGUGAAGGACAGUCAAAGGAGAUAUUAAUGUUCGUACAAAGACUGCCAGUGCUUUUACAGGUCGCCCAGAAGGGCGUUGAUAGCCGCGAUCGCUCGGCGCCGGAUCUGAUCGGCAGAGUCCAAGACCCGUUGAUCAUCCUCCGUCGAUCUAGGGACUUCUGACAUAUGGCGGUGGAGUUUGAGGGCUUCGAGAGCCAGGUGCUGCCUCUCCCGUUUCAGAUCGGCGAUGACGGAAGGAAGUUCCUGAAGCCUCUUCUCUUCGGCGGUUAUUGCUUUGGUCACCUGUUCCAUCUCCUUGGCAAGCUCUGCUCUUCGGCGUUUGAGGCGAUCUAUCAUGCCGACAAUUCCCAGGCGAGAGUCUUCCAGGAAGUGGAUCCGUACUCGAUAUAUGCGGCCGGUGCCAAGGCUUCUUCCGCUUCUUCUGGUACUCGCCCGCUGACGUCACCAAAAAGUUGCCGAAUCGGUGAGGCAUCUUCUACUAAUCGGCCGAUGUCCUCUUGAAGAAGAGAUCGUAUGCUUGCAAGUUUGGCACGAACAUCAUCAGGAACGGAGCUCAAAGUGACCUGACGAGAGGCAACUUCCUCGUCAUCGGAGAGUGUGACCGCGAACGAAAAAAGACUGUUGUUGGGGGUGUCUUGUUCCUGGAAAAUAGUAAAUCAAAAAGAAAACAAAUCAGCCGAUGGUGAUAGCAAAUCGGCCGAGUAAGGGUGGGAAAUCUCUUACCUCCUUAAAGCGGAUUUCUUCAAACUGUGUUUGAGAGGCCGUUACCCUCGGUUCAGGGGCUGGUACCAUUGGUUCGUCAGAAGAAGAAGACUCCACAAUGAUUGGCACUUUGCUCGGGCCAGCUUCUCGAAAGAUGACCAAUGGUUGAUUAGGUGGGGCGCUUAGCGUGCCGGUGACCUGUGUCAAAAAAUUGAAUAAGAACAUCAUUCAGAAACUAGGAGAAUGGGUUGAAGGGUAGUAUACCUCGGCAGAUGGAAGCGUUGGCGUUUCGACGACCGAUUGGGUUGCUGCCGAUUAUUGGGGGUCCACGGAGGUAAUUUGUGCAGUCUAAUAUAAGAGGAGACAGUAUAGAGAUGGCAAUCGGUAAGAUCGGACAACAAGUUUACCUGCAUGGCCUCCACCAGUAAUGAUGCAGCGGCUGCCCCAGCUUCCGUGACGACUUGAAUGUCUACUUCUCCAGCAGUUGGAAGGGGCGGUGCGACCGAAGUUUCUACCGAUGUAAUCAUAGGAGGAUCGGCCGAUUCUAUACGAGCUCGUACUCGGUGACUGGUCUUCUUGACAACCUUCUUGUGCGAUUGCUUCGCUCGACCGGCAAUAACGUCCACGGAAGGAGCAUGAUAGCCGAUAAGGGGGAAGGUGGUAUUGUAGGGAUACGAGGUAGGCUACGCUAGCGUAAAUCAAAAUUUCUACCGCGUAUAACCAGGAAGAACUGCCGUAUAAGGAUCACGGGAUUACCACUCGACGCACUACUGGUGCGGAAGAUGUAGAUAUGCGUCGGUGCAGUGAAGACGAUCACGUAGUCGUACGUAGUCGAUCAACGUAGUCGUACGUAGUCGAUCACGUCCAGCAGCUCCUCAGCAGCUCGUCCACGUGCACAGCAAGAUCGCCUCCGGUGCCGCGGCUCGUCGUCGGCUCGUCGUGGCUCGUCGGCGGCUCGUCGAUGGCUCGUCCAAGUGCUGCAGGCGCAACACCUCCAAGGUAUCCACACGUGCAGGGAGGAAGCGUCGCAAGCCGGACUGCUAGAUCCGCGAGUUGCAACAGGCGAGGGCGUGGGAGGCGCGGCAAGUGUGUUCAGCCAAAAGGUGUGAAACCCUAGGGCGCCCCCACCCCUCUAUUUAUAGGGGUUCCUGAUGGGCCUCUGGAUCCGAGGCCCAUUAGUACUCCUAAACCUAAUCCAACUCGGAUCAAAUCCAAAUUGGGCUUCCAGCCCCUUAAGUGUGCGACCCUUUGGGUUCGGAUACGUAUAGACAUGGCCCGAGUACUCCUACUCGGCCCAAUAGUCGGUAGCGGCCUCUAGCAAGACGUGCCAACUCCUAUACGCACACGAAGAUCAUAUCAGACGAACCAUCACAACAUAAUAUACAUGCUAUUCCCUUUGCCUCACGAUAUUUGGUCUAGCUUCAAGCCGACCGCUCUUUCUCGAUCCUGUGAUUCGGAAUCCCUUUGUAGGUUAACUCUUAACCGUACGUAGCAUGGCCAUGCAUUUUCGGAUCCGAUCACUCGAGGGGCCCAGAGAUAUCACUCUCAAUCAGAGAGGGGCAAAUCCCAUCUUGAUUGACCAUGUCUUAUAGCAUGCUUCUUGACAAACCCGAAAGCUACCUUUAUAACUACCCUGUUACGGCGUAGCGUUUGAUAGCCCCUAAGUAGGUCGAUCCACAUCUAGAAUACAUGCGACAAUCUCAGGUCUAAGGACAAAGCGUAUAUGUUGUUUAAAGAGAGAACUUCUUCUCGUGUUGGGUCAGUCCUAACACAUGUCUCCACAUGUGUCCACAUUAUUAGUUCAACAUCUCCAUGUCCAUGACUUGUGAAACAUAGUCAUCAACUAAUACAUGUGCUAGUCUAAUAUUUAUGUGUGUCCUCACAUGAACUCCGACUAGGGACAACUUUAGAAUAACCAUACAAGUAAAGAGUUUCACAUACAAUUCACAUAAUUGCAAAUCAAUUCAAGUAGCCUUUAAUGGAUAUUCAAUGAACACAAUAUACAAAUCAUGGAUACAAAUGGAAUAUCAUCAUCUCUAUGAUUGCCUCUAGGGCAUACCUCCAACAGUCUCCCACUUGCACUAGAGUCAAUCUAGAAGGUACCUAAUACCCAUAGCUCUUACAUGCGCAUCAUGCUUAGCCUGCGGGAGUGGUUUUGUCAACGGAUCAGAAAUGUUCAGAUCCGUGUGUAUUUUGCAUAUCUUGAUCUCACCCCGGUUAACGAAGUCUCGAAUGAGAUGAAAUCGCCGCAUUACGUGUUUGUUCUUCUGGUGGUUCCUUGGCUCCUUUGCUUGCGCAAUUGCCCCAUUGUUAUCACAGUAGAGAUUCAAUGGGCUGGACGCAUUCGGGAACACACCAAGCUCAAUCAGGAAAUUCCUUAUCCAAACACCUUCCUUCGCGGCUUCCGAAGCCGCGAUGUACUCGGCUUCUGUCGUAGAAUCGGCCACCGUCUCCUGCUUGGAACUCUUCCAACUAACAGCACCACCAUUUAGCGUGAACACAAAUCCUGAUUGUGACUUUGAAUCAUCUCUGUCGGUUUGGAAACUAGCAUCGGUGUAACCUGUUACAACGAGCUCCUCCUGACCUCCAUAGACGAGGAACAUAUCUUUAGUCCUUCUCAAGUACUUAAGAAUGUUUUUCACUGCUGUCCAGUGACUCUCACCUGGAUCAGAUUGGUGUCUGCUUGUCAUACUUAGCGCAUAUGAAACAUCUGGGCGAGUACUUAUCAUUGCAUACAUGAUAGAUCCAAUAGCCGAGGCAUAUGGCACUCUACUCAUGCGAUCCCGCUCAUCAGCAGUCGAAGGACACUGAGUCUUGCUGAGAUGUAUGCCAUGUGACAUAGGCAAGAACCCUUUCUUUGCCUCUUCCAUGCUGAACCGCUUCAACACUUUGUCAAUGUAAGUAUCUUGGCUUAAACCUAUAAGCCUUCUCGAUCUAUCUCUAUAGAUCUUAAUACCCAGAAUAUAUGCCGCUUCCCCUAAGUCCUUCAUCGAAAAACUAUUUUUCAGUGAAGUCUUUACGGACUCAAGCAUAGGAAUGUUAUUUCCAAUCAGUAAUAUGUCAUCCACAUAUAAGAUUAGAAAUACUACAGAGCUCCCACUAACCUUCUUGUAAACACAAGACUCUUCUUCGUUUUUGGUGAAGUCAAACCCUUUGACCACUUCAUCAAAACGAAUGUUCCAACUCCUAGAUGCUUGCUUCAAUCCAUAAAUGGAUCUCUGAAGCUUGCAUACCUUUCCAGCAUUUUUCGGAUCGACAAAACCCUCGGACUGUAUCAUAUACACGUCCUCAGCUAGGUUUCCAUUCAGGAAAGCUGUCUUGACAUCCAUCUGCCAUAUCUCAUAAUCGAAAUAUGCAGCUAUAGCUAGAAUAAUCCGAAUGGACUUAAGCAUCACUACGGGCGAGAAGGUCUCGUCGUAGUCAACUCCUUGAACUUGUCGAAAACCUUUUGCGACAAGUCGUGCUUUGUAGAUGUGAACAUUUCCAUCCAUGUCCUUUUUCUUCUUAUAGAUCCACUUGCACUCUAUGGCUUUAACACCAUCAAGCGGGUCAACCAAGUUCCAAACUUGAUUGUCUCCCAUGGACUCUAUUUCAGAUUGCAUGGCACUCUGCCAUUUUUCGGAGUCUGGGUCCAUCAUUGCUUCUGCAUAUGUCGCAGGCUCAUCAUUGUCCAACAAUAAUAUUUCUCGCAUUUCGUGGAGCCUUGCUGACCUUCGUGGUUGUGGCGGUGCUUCUCUUGCCAUGGGUAUCUCAACUUGUUCUGCUACGUUAGCAUCACUCAUUGAUUCUUGCCCGAUUGGCUCAUCUUAAACUUCUUCAAGAUGCACUGUCUUUCCACUCUUUUCUCCUUUGAGAAACUCUUUCUCUAGGAAAACCCCGUUCCGAGCGACAAACACUUUGCCUUCUGAUCGGGUGUAGAAAUAAUAUCCCAAAGUUUCCUUUGGAUAUCCCACGAAAAUGCACUUAUCCGACUUGGGUGUGAUCUUGUCCGACUGAAGUCGCUUGACAAACACUUCACAUCCCCAAAUCUUUAGAAAAGACAAACUAGGAACCUUUCCAGUCCACAUCUCAUAUGGUGUCUUAACUACGGAUUUAGAUGGUACCCUAUUAAGUGUGAAAGCUGCUGUUUCUAGAGCGUAUCCCCAAAAUGACAACGGUAGGUCCGACUGGCUCAUCAUUGAUCGAACCAUGUCUAACAAAGUUCGAUUACGUCGCUCGGACACACCGUUUCUCUGAGGUGUUCCAGGCGGCGUAAGUUGUGGAACAAUUCCGCAACUCUUUAGAUGAUUGCUAAACUCGUGGCUCAAAUACUCGCCUCCACGAUCAGAUCGUAAGGCCUUAAUUUUCUUGCCACGCUGAUUUUCAACUUCAUUCUGAAAUUCCUUGAACUUUUCAAAGGUCUCAGACUUGUGCCUCAUCAAGUAGACAUAGCCAUAUCUACUAAAAUCAUCAGUGAAAGUUAUGAAGUAUUGGAAUCCUCCUCUAGCCGUCGUGCUCAUUGGUCCGCAUACAUCACUAUGUACGAGUUCCAACAAGUCUACUGCUCUCUCAGGAAAACCUGUGAAAGGCGUCUUGGUCAUCUUGCCUAGCAAGCAAGCCUCACAUGUCUCGUAUGAUUCAAAAUCAAACGAAGUUAGAAGUCCAUCAGAAUGGAGCUUCUUCAUGCGCUUAUCACUUAUAUGACCCAAACGACAAUGCCACAAGUAGGUAGGACUCAAAUCAUUAGGCCGAGGCCUUUUAGCACUUACAUUACAGACAGGUGAACCGUCAAGAUUUAAAACAAAUAAUCCAUUCACAAUGGGUGCAAAAGCCAUAAACAUAUUAUUCUUAGAGAUCACACAACCAUUGUUUUCACUCGCAAAUAAAUAACCAUCCUUCAUCAAACAUGAAGGAGAUAAAAUGUUUCGACUUAAACUAGGAACAAAAUAACAAUUAUUCAACUCCAUAAUAAAUCCUGACGGGAGGUGGAGUUGCAUUGUCCCGACGGUCAAAGCAGCAACUCUUGCAUUAUUGCCCACGCGGAAAUCAACUUCUCCUCUUUCCACGCUUCUACUUCUUAUCAUUCCCUGCAUCGAAUUGCAAAUAUGAGCAACCGAUCCGGUAUCAAAUACCCAAGAAUUAAUAACUGUAUCAGCGAGAAAUAUGUUGUCUAUAACAUAAACAACAAGCGUACCUGAGGUAGAAGUACUCUUACUUCCGCCGUUCUUCAAGGAAGCUAGGUACUGCUUGCAGUUUCUCUUCCAGUGACCAAGUUCAUGACAGUAAAAGCACUCUUUAUCUGGAGCAGGUCCAGCUUUAGCCUUGGGCGGUGGGUUUGGCUUGGACGUUCCAGCCUUGCCCUUCUUCUUCCAAGAAUUGCCCUUCUUCUUAAAGCUGGGCUUGUUCUGUAUCGCCAUCACAUGGCUGGUACUAGCGCUUUUCUUGAUGUCAGCCUCUGCUGUUUUAAGCAUGCCACACAGCUCAUUCAGACCCUUCUCCGUCCCAUGCAUAUGGUAGUUCGAGAUGAAGUUCCCAUAGCUAGCCGGAAGAGAUGAAAGAAUGAAAUCAGUGGCCAACUCUUGGCCCAGUGGGAAGCCUAGCUUCUCCAACCGUUGAGUGUAACCAACCAUCUUGAUUACGUGUGGUCCUACUGCUGCGCCUUUUGCUAGCUUGCUCUCAACAAAGGCCUUAGACACAUUGAACCUUUCAGUCCUGGCCUGUGUUUGGAACAUGUCUCUAAGCGCCACGAUCAUAUCGUGCGCCUCAUGGUUUGUUUCGAACUGCAUCUGCAGCUCGGGUUCCAUGCAAGCAAGCAUAAGGCAGCUUACUUCGAGGUUAGCAUCACAUGCUUUCUUGUAAGCAUUCUUAGCAGCAGCGGGUGCAUCCUCGGCAGGUUCUUCUGGUAGUGGGUUGUCUAGAACAUCUUCCUUUUUCUCAGCCCUGAGAACAAUUCUCAGGUUGCGGAUCCAGUCCGAGUAGUUUGUUCCAUUCAACUUGUCCUUCUCAAGGACCGAACGCAAAGCAAACGAUGUGGUGGUGUUGCUAGGUGCCAUUUAAUCUACAACAAAAGUAAUGCAAAAUACACUAAGACAAACGUAUCCAUGAUAGAGCAAAUUACAUUAAACUAUUUUAACAGAAUCUACUCCCACUAAAAUCAAUAUCCCUCUAUUGAAACUUAGUGAUUCAGGAUCCAUAACUAACAAGUCUACUAGUGAGCUUUAGCAUCACCGCUAGCAAACGAGGUAGAUCGGUAAGCAACUUUUGCUAAUCAUAUCACAUAUGACUCCUGUUGUUGGGUGACAUCUCUAUGUCUCGGCGCCCAACCUUUAUGCCCCAAGGUCCUUAACCGUUAAGAUGACCUCGUUAAGCUAACCAACCCUUAUGCGUGUAAGUGUCCGACACAAACCCGUCUAGUCAAGGAAAACUAGUGGCACCCUAAUUUCAUAGACCCACCACUAAUUGUACAAGACAUGGGACGGUGCAAGUUUUAGUUGGGAGGGCAUACUAACUUAAACUUUGUGAGGGAUCGUUCUACUUCUAACAUUACAGCAUGCAGAAAGUAAAACAUAAACAGAAUAGCAUUCACACAGUUGUGACACAGUAUGGCCCGUUUUUCAUAUGGUGAUCUCCAUCUCCAUAGAACCUGUUCACCAUGGUGAUCUCCAUCUCCAUGUUCCAUGUGCGCCAUCCUCCUGGUGAUGAGUCCUCCAAGAACUAGAGCAUGCUAUUAUGCCUAAUAGCUAGUAAAGAAUCUAGUAAUGAAGAUUACAUAGUUGCUUGGAUCAUCACAGAUUGGCACGCAGACCAUUAAAUACAAUAAAGUGACAACACAUAUGGCUCCUGCCGUGUUGCCGUACGCGCGACACGCAGGUCACGAAUGAGUUACACACAUGCAUCACAUACACAAGGGGCCAUACUGAUCACAAGAUACAAACAUCCUGCAAAAGAGAGUUAGGCGUCCUAACGUUCCAAACUUGGGAGGCCCGAAACUCCAUCUUCCAAGCCGAAUUUGGCAAAUCUAAUUUCGCCGAAAACGGCAAAGCCAUUGAAUUUCAUGUGUAACUUUUUCUGUAGAUCAAUUUUCGUAUAGAAAUCGCCCCGAUCCGAGAUCGUACCGAAAAGUUACGGCUGAUUUACCGAAGCAUACGCAUACGGCAAAAUCCCGACCCCGGCAGUAGAUCACAUCUACUAUUUCACAUCUAAUGCGCCUGGCGUAUGACCCUGGAUCUCGAUUAGACCAAUCAUAUUGAUCUUCCCUCACUGCAACUGGGUUUACGUGUAUCACUUAACUCCGAUGGCGGAAACCGACCGGUAGGAAAAUGUCGUUACACUACCAUUGCAGCAAGGGCACGAAAUCAGGACAUAGAUCAAAUAGAGAACUCGCAUAUCUCCAUAUGCACACAUCCCGAAUCCAAAACUAAGCAGCUACGGCUCUGAUACCACUGUAGGGAUACGAGGUAGGCUACGCUAGCGUAAAUCAAAAUUUCUACCGCGUAUAACCAGGAAGAACUGCCGUAUAAGGAUCACGGGAUUACCACUCGACGCACUACUGGUGCGGAAGAUGUAGAUAUGCGUCGGUGCAGUGAAGACGAUCACGUAGUCGUACGUAGUCGAUCAACGUAGUCGUACGUAGUCGAUCACGUCCAGCAGCUCCUCAGCAGCUCGUCCACGUGCACAGCAAGAUCGCCUCCGGUGCCGCGGCUCGUCAUCGGCUCGUCGUGGCUCGUCGGCGGCUCGUCGAUGGCUCGUCCAAGUGCUGCAGGCGCAACACCUCCAAGGUAUCCACACGUGCAGGGAGGAAGCGUCGCAAGCCGGACUGCUAGAUCCGCGAGUUGCAACAGGCGAGGGCGUGGGAGGCGCAGCAAGUGUGUUCAGCCAAAAGGUGUGAAACCCUACGGCGCCCCCACCCCUCUAUUUAUAGGGGUUCCUGAUGGGCCUCUGGAUCCGAGGCCCAUUAGUACUCCUAAACCUAAUCCAACUCGGAUCAAAUCCAAAUUGGGCUUCCAGCCCCUUAAGUGUGCGACCCUUUGGGUUCGGAUACGUAUAGACAUGGCCCGAGUACUCCUACUCGGCCCAAUAGUCGGUAGCGGCCUCUAGCAAGACGUGCCAACUCCUAUACGCACACGAAGAUCAUAUCAGACGAACCAUCACAACAUAAUAUACAUGCUAUUCCCUUUGCCUCACGAUAUUUGGUCUAGCUUCAAGCCGACCGCUCUUUCUCGAUCCUGUGAUUCGGAAUCCCUUUGUAGGUUAACUCUUAACCGUACGUAGCAUGGCCAUGCAUUUUCGGAUCCGAUCACUCGAGGGGCCCAGAGAUAUCACUCUCAAUCAGAGAGGGGCAAAUCCCUUCUUGAUUGACCAUGUCUCAUAGCAUGCUUCUUGACAAACCCGAAAGCUACCUUUAUAACUACCCUGUUACGGCGUAGCGUUUGAUAGCCCCUAAGUAGGUCGAUCCACAUCUAGAAUACAUGCGACAAUCUCAGGUCUAAGGACAAAGCGUAUAUGUUGUUUAAAGAGAGAACUUCUUCUCGUGUUGGGUCAAUCCUAACACAUGUCUCCACAUGUGUCCACAUUAUUAGUUCAACAUCUCCAUGUCCAUGACUUGUGAAACAUAGUCAUCAACUAAUACAUGUGCUAGUCUAAUAUUCAUGUGUGUCCUCACAUGAACUCCGACUAGGGACAACUUUAGAAUAACCAUACAAGUAAAGAGUUUCACAUACAAUUCACAUAAUUGCAAAUCAAUUCAAGUAGCCUUUAAUGGAUAUUCAAUGAACACAAUAUACAAAUCAUGGAUACAAAUGGAAUAUCAUCAUCUCUAUGAUUGCCUCUAGGGCAUACCUCCAACAGGUAUAUGGAUGAUGGUCUUCUAUCAGCCGGCCACUCCGGCUGCGUUUUGGGGGAACGCGGUUUUCGGACUAAGACAAUAGCAAGAGUUAGUAUAUACGCUUAACAGCAUUGAUAAGGAAGGAAAAUCGGCCAGGGAAGAAUACCUCGGCAUUCAGAUCGAUGUUGGUUGGAUCCAGGAGGUUGCAGUAUGUCGAUGCAGAAGUGCAGAACAGGUACAGUUUCCAUUCGGCCCACCAUAGCUUGAAUGGUUGGACGGCGAGGGGGCUACUAUCCAUUCAUUUAGGUCUAUGGUACUGGAGUCUGGGAUCCGAUCUCGCAGCCGAUUAUAGUCAAAACCCUUGGUGAGCUCAUCUCUGAACUUUGCUCGGCCAGCGAAGUAUGCCUGAAUCGGCAAUUGACCAAUGUCGAAUUGCCGUGCUGCAGCGGAGGGGUUGUAGAACUCAUACGUAGGAGCAUCUUUCCCCGAGAAGAAGUUGGCCGGUAAGAUUCUCGGUUUAACUAAUUCGUCUGUGAGAUCUUCGUCGAAUCGGCCGGUAGUCGAGUCGAAGCAAGAAGGGAGCUCAAAGAUUGGGUCAUCUCUCUAAUAAGGGAACCAGACGGUUGCGUGUUCACUAAAGCCGUUGUAAAAACACCGGAAGUAUUUGGCCACCUUGGUAGCAGAGUACGAGCAACCGGAGAAGGCCGAUGCCGCUUCGCCGAAGGAUGUACAUCGGCGUCGGACAGUGGGAUUCUCUGCCGAUUCAAUGUUGGGGAACGUCAUGUGUUCCACUCGCUGCUGAGAAGUCUUGCUCAUGUACAGGUUAAGCCAUAAGUUAAUAAACCACCAGGGUCCACCUGGGUUUCCAAUCGGCUCCCCUUGGGAUAAUUUGAUGCCGAUUUGGUGAAGCAUGUGGUAGGCUACUCCCAGUAGGUGCUUUCCAAGGGGAACGGAAGUCCCUAUCGAUAAUGCCUCGGCCAGAGCUUGAGUGUUGGUAGAUGGACCAGCUGCUCUCCCACAGAAGAAGUGUUUCUCCAACCACAUCAUCAGGAAGGCCGUGUGCUCUCUGUUCUCGACAGAUUCGGCCCUUCUGUUGCAUCUGAUGAAACCCUUCCAUCCGCCGAUUCCCCUUGUGUCCAGCCGAUGAGAUGUUGUGGCUAAAAGGCGAAAAGGGGUGUCCGAGGAGGAAAUGUCCAGGCUGGUCAGCAAGACUACAUCGGCCAGAGUGGGGGUCAUGGGUCCGUGUUCAAAAAGGAAUGCAUUGAGAGCAUCGGACCAGAAGUAAGAAGCUGCCAUCACUAAUGGCUCAUUCCGUUCCAUUUGGGACAAGGAUAGGUCGAUGCACUGGCCAAUUUUGAGCUCAUCCCAUUGGACCUUCUUAGAGGCGGCUAUCCGCUGGUACCAUUCCCUCCAGCCGGGAGUUUCAUUCGGCCAUGACCUAAAGGUACCCGACCAAUGAUCUAGGUCCAUAGUUGAUUGCUUGAAAGGGAUCCUUUGGGUUUCCAAAUUGAUUAAGUCGGUUGGAUCUGGGUUUCCCAUGGGGCCAAGGCAGAUAAGGCCGAGGGUUUCUGUGAGGCGAAUGGUAAUGUGAUGCCUAACCACCUCAAAAAGGAAAAGGGGGUGCGGGAGUAAGAAAUAGAUCUAAAGUAAAUGCAUUACUGAUAGGGAAAUAUUCGGUAAUGACCUCCGGGAUAAAGCUCCUCGUAAUCGGCGGAAUCGCCGGUGCAGCUGCAGAUGAUGAAGCCGCCAAUGGGAUCUCGGUUGAAGCCCCAACUUUCACUGAUGGAGCUCCUUCUCCCGUCGAUGGAGCCGCCGCCAUCGCUACUGGAACCUCCGCCGAAGGCGCCAUUUCCGGAGCUUCGGGCGUUGGUGAAGUGCCUGAAGGUGCCGCCAUUGGAGAAGUAGGAAGGAAUGUGAAUGGAAGAAGGCGCCGGAGAGCUGGAGGACUAAGGAAAGCGCUAGAGGGAGAAGAAAGCCUGUGCACUGAGGAAGAAGGACGUGAGCUCGUAAGGGAAGUACGGGAUGUGCUGAUAUUUAAAGGAGGUUUGAGAAGGGGUAAAAGUGGAAUUUUUACCGCGCCGGCGUUUCGAGUUUUUCGGGAGGAGUGGUUGUCGUGGGCGCCUGUUUCAAAAAGAUUGCAAUCAUCAGGUUGGAGAUCACGAAACGGAAGGAUAUUUUCAUUGCGCCUGUUUCGGAAGGGAAGUUGAAAAGAAUUUCGAAGUAAAGACUAUGUUUUACUCCGAAACUGGAGGGCAUGUGUUGACGCCAGAUUUUGACACAAGUAAAAUCGGCGUUAGGAGAGGAAGAAAUUAGAAGAUGCAACGAGAUACAAGGGCAACGAUUGGAAAUCGGCCGAUUGGUGCUACAGUCAAGGAUCGGUUGAUUGGUGCUACAGUUGAGGAUUGGCCGAUUGAUGCUACAGUCGAGGAUCGGCCGAUUGACCCUUGGAGUUCCGCCUCUCCCGACCCCUAAGGUUUGGUAUCGGACGCGCCCGACCCUCCAAGGGAGGAUCCCCGCCUCGCCCGACCUUAGUUUCCAGGGUCAGAGUAGUCUGAGCCCCCGACAUGUGGGUCCUAAUCGGUUGUCCCUUGCCGAUGAGAUGAUCGGCCGAUUAGGAGGCUGGAAUAGUUGGGCCGGUGUGGGCCUAAAAAGGAUUAUGAAGAUGAAGAGGGAAUCAGCCCAUGAAGCGCGUGAUAAUCGACCUAGUACGAAUCGUACUUGUAAAUAUUCGUUUUCUGUUUAAAUUUAGGGAUAGAGUUCUAGUCGGAUAAGAAGUCGUUUGUAACAAGCCACCCUUGUAGAUCUGUAAUCAUCAUCAACUCAAUACAACAAAAUACUAUUCCCUCGUACUUACUUUCAAGCCGGCGACUUCGCCAAUACUUUUCCCUUUUCACGAGUUCGUACGGGUUGGCGGGGCUGUAUCAACUUGACCUUCGGCUGAUCUUGUAAGUUCCUCUUAUCGAAUAAUUUCUAAGCUUUAACUUUGGGCGCAUCGCUGUCGUUUCGUUUAGAUUUAUUCAUCAGCUAUCGAUAUUUACUAGAAUUCUAGGUUUUACCUGUUGUUCUAGUUUUAUCACUAGUUAUCCAGCUAGGAAUUGGCAAUUUCGGCUUUUCUUGUGCUUCGUUGUUUAAUCUAUUCAUUUUACGCAUAGCCGAUUAGAUCUGUUCCUAGUGUUGCUACUGUAGCGUUGUUUAGAUUGCUCCAGCAGUUUUCUUUAUUAACGCUGCCUGGUAAUCGGCUGCAUCAUAGCUGAUUUCUUUAUUACGGCAAAUCGGCCGAUUCGCUGAUAAGCUUUCUCGAUAUUUGAACCUUAGCCGAUCGCAACCUCUGGAUCUGACACGUUUCUUUCCUUGCCAAUCAACAGGUCAGAUUGGCUGGCACGCCGCGCGAACCGCACCAGGAUGAUCACCCGAACAGGAGCUAAGCAGAUUCUCCCGGCUCAUGUGUCCGACGCUGGGAAUUUGAUCAGCCGAUUUCUAGCGCCAACAAGAGUCCAUGGAGUUGCUUCAACGACAACGAUUUCCGGUCCACAAUGCUGAGCCACGAAAUCGGCCAUUACUUGGCCUUUGACAGCUUUGGCCGUUUCGUACCUCAGGUCAAAUUCUGACAGAGCGAGAAUCCACUUCCCAAUCCUUCCUUUCAAAAUCGGCAAUGACAGCAUGUACUUCACCACGUCGUCUUUGCAUACGACUAUGCACUCUGCUGAGGAAAACAUGUAAGGCGAUGUUGAGGGCCUAGGUAUGAGUUUCAGAUCAUCUACAUCUAUUAUAAAAUGCUGAAAAAUAUUUAAGAUGGAUUGUUUUACCUAACAAAUAUGUUCACAUAUAUAUUUGUGUUGACGCUAGAUUUUGACACGCAUGGCAUCGGCGUCAAAAAGGGGAAAGGAUUAGCCGAUGCAGUGGGUUGAAAAAGUCACGAUUGGGAAUCGACCGAUUGGUGCUACAGUUGGAGAUCGGCCAAUUGACGCUGCAGUGUUUUGGCGGACGGAGUUGGUAGGAAUCGACCAAUUAAGAGGCUGGAGCAAUUGGGCCAAUAUGGACUUAAAGUGAGUCGCAAAAGAGAAGAUGAGGGGGGAUUGGCCCGCAGGAGGGCAACAACCAACUCCGAUACAAAUUGUACUUGUAAAUAUUUGUUUUCGUUUAAAAUUAGAGAUAGAUCCUAGUCGGUUAAGAAGUUGGUUGUAACAGGCUAUAAAUAGCCACCUUUAGAGAUCUGUAAACAACACAUCAAUCAAUAUAACAAUCUACUAUUCUCUCAUACUUUACUUUCAAGCGGCGACUUCACCAAUACUUUUCUUCUUUCACGAGUUCGUACGGGUUGGCAGGGCUGCAUCAACAUGAUUUCCAGCCGAUUCUGUAAGUUCCGUUUAUCGAGUAAUAUCUAAGCUUUAACUUCGGGCACAUCAUUGUCGUUUCAUUUAGAUUUAUUCACCAGUUAUCGAUAUUUACUAGAAUUCUAGGUUUUACGUGUUGUUCUAGUUUUAUCACCAGUUAUCUAGCUUGAGAUGAGAACUUUCGGCAUAUUUAUUGUUAUUUUUGUCUAUUACUUUCGCAUAGCCGAUUAGAUCUAUUUCAAGUGUUACUCUUGUAGCGCUAUUUAGUUUACUCCAGUAGCUUUCUUCAUAACCGCUGCCUAGUUGUCGGUUGUACCAUAGCCGAUUACCUUGUUAUAGCAAAUUGGCCAAUUCGUUGAUACGCUUCCUCGAGAUCGGAACUUUAGCCGAUCGCAACCCCUGGAAUUUGACACGUUUUAUCCUUGCCAAUCAAUAGGUUAGAUUGGCUGGCACGCUGCACGAACCGCACCAAGGCGAUUACCCGAACAGGAGCUAAGCAGAUUCUCCCGGGUCGUGUGUCCGACGUUGAGAGUCAAUCGGCUGACUUUUAGCGCCAACACACUUUUAGCACGCCCGGUGGGACCAAUACAACUACUACCAUGUCGAAAGCUGCCGAAAUCUCCAAAGACAACAUCAUCGAAGUGACGGAAGCAGACCUCAAGGACGACAAGAAGGAAGAGCUGGAAAGGCAGAUAGCACAAUACCGGAAGACAUGCCUGCAAUCUUUCAGUCGUACCAGGGGCGGGGAGAUUGUCAAGAAAGCUCCUUUUCCAACUCCCCGCCAGAUCACAAUCGCCGAGGAUUCGGGCAAGAUGUCCGAGAUGGUUCAGCAGUCUGUCUACCAGGCUUUCAUUGAUCAAUCCCUGGUGAUAACUAACAUGGUAUACAAUGCUGUCAUCAGCUCCCUGGCCAAUGGCGUAUCUCAAGGGUACCAGGGGCCGGCGUACGCCCCACCUAUUACAGUCCGGUCAGGAGUUUUCCAAGCGCAUCCCACUCGGCUCCUCAGCCGAUCCAAGCUCAACAUGGAGGACCUGACGCUUCUUUGCCGCCAGUGCACCCAGGAUACAACGGUCCACCGUACCUCCCGUCGCAAGUGCCACCUCAAUCCGUUCAAAUUUCCUCCGCGCAAUCGUCACCAUUAAAUUCAGUGCCUUGGGAGGCACCAUCAACGACGGUCGUCCAAGAUCAAUCGAUCGGUUAUGGGGGCUCUCCGAUCCAGGCACUAUUCCAAUCGAUCAUUCGGCCGACAAUCCUGCAGUAUCAACCGGCCACGCCUACAGUUGGCAGGGGAGCAGAUACUGCUGAGGCGCUCCGAGGUGCUACGCCGAUUAUACUAUAUGAUGAAGAGGCCAGUUCGCUGAAACACUAGACGCUGACCACGCAGCCGGCCACGUCACCGCAGAACCCGCCGCACGCUUUCGUCCAUCACCCAGUCAUCCCGCCGCUGAUCUACAAAAGUGUGCUGGCUCCCUAGCCAGUAGUUCAUCAAUAGCAAGUAGACUGGACGGCAAGGAUAGCAGAGGUGAUCCAAGAUCAAUUCGGUUUGAAGUCGAAGGUACAAACUUACACGUACAGAAUGCCGUACCCACCAGCCUACGACCUACUGCCGUUUCCCCAUCGGUACAAAGUUCCCGACUUCACCAAGUUUUCGGGGCUUGAUGACACCUCAAUUGUGGAGCACAUGAACAGAUUCAUCAUCCAAUGUGGUGAGGUAGCUACACAGGAUGCCCUGCGGGUGCGUCUUUUCUCAUCAUCUCUGUCCGGAUCAACCUUCCAAUGGUUCACUACGCUACCACCCAACUCCAUAGUUACUUGGGCCGACUUGGAGAAGCAGUUCCACAAGUACUUCUACGCGGGAGUGCAUGAGAUGAAGCUCUCGGACCUGACUAGCCUCAGGCAAAGAAGCAAUGAGCCAGUGUCCACAUAUGUGCAGAGGUUCAGGGAGGUCAGAAACAAGUGCUACACCCUAAUCCUAACCGAUGCACAGCUGGCCGAUAUAGCCUUCCAAGGUCUCCUGCCACACAUCAAAAAGAAGUAUGCUUCCUGAGAGUUUGAAAGCCUGAGCCAAAUCAUGCACUGAUUGUCUAGUCAAGAGGUACGCCCUUUUGAUCAACGGAGGAAUUUUCAUAAGAAGGUGGCAUACCUAGAAGGAUCUGAAUCCGAAGAGGAGGCGGAAAUCGGCCUAGCAGAGUGGGUUAAGGGGAAAACGCCAAUAUCGUGUCCUUUUGGGAAAAAGGAACCAGAGGCAUUCGGUUUUGACACGUCAAAGGCCGACAAAAUUUUCGACCUACUCCUCCAAGAAGGACAGAUCAAGCUCUCACCCUACCAUACGAUUCCAUCGGCCGAGCAACUGAAGAAGCUGAAGUAUUGCAAAUGGCAUAAUGCCACAUCCCAUGACACAAAUGAGUGCAAGAUCUUCCGUCAACAGAUACAAUCGGCCAUUGAGCAAGGCAGGCUCAAAUUCGAGGUCCCAACAAAGCCAGCAAAGCCGAUGAAGAUUGAUCAGCAUCCUUUCCCCACCAACAUGGUUGAUACAGGAAGGAACGCGCUUCAAACCAAAGUGCUGACAUCGGAAUCGGCUAAAAAGAACGGCGUUGUGGACCCUAGGAAUCAAGCUGCACCCGAGGAUGUCAAAGGGAAGAGGCUGAUGGAUGAUGAAGGCGAAGGAUCGGAAGGACCACACAGACCCCUCACUUCCCAAUUUUUACUCAACAAAUACUAGCAGCAACAGGAAAGUUCAAGAUUUCAUGAAGAGAUGAUGCGACGACACGAAGAUCAUUGGUGAUGUCCGAAACAAGAUAUUCCCCGGUAGAGCAACUGUGCCUGUGUCUUUACUUCUCAUGCACCAAGCUCAGACACUACCUGUUAUCGACAGAAUGCGUAGUUGUAUGCAAAGAUGACAUAGUAAAAUACAUGCUGUCGUUGCCAAUUUUGAAAGGACGAAUUGGAAAGUGGAUCUUGGCUUUGUCAGAGUUUGAUCUAAGAUGCCGUCAAAGGUCAAGUCAUGGCCGAUUUCGUCGCCCAGCACUGCGGACCAGAAGUUGCUGUCGUGGAGCCGGUUCCGUGGACUCUAUAUUUUGAUGGAUCAUCUUGCGGGGCCGGAUCAGGAAUCGGCAUCGUUCUCAUAUCGCCUCGGGGGGCAAGUUAUGAUUUCUCUCGGCCGAUAGAAGCAUCAACUACUAAUAACCAGGCGGAAUACUGAGCUGUCCUGAAAGGGAUACAAUUAUUGAGGGAGAUCAAGGCCGACGCUGUGGAAAUUUUUGGGGAUUCGAUGCUCAUCGUAGACCAAUUGAUAGAAAGGUCCGAAUGCAAAGAUGACGUUUUGAGAAUCUACUAUGAAGAUUGCCUCCGACUUUUGAAGGAAUUCAAGUCCACAGUUAUUGAGCAUAUUCCCAGAAACUAUAAUGAGGAGGCUAAUAGGCUCGAUCAACACGCAUCCAGGUAUCGGCCGAUUCAAGGCGCCAUGACUCUGGAACUCGCAGCCGACGACUGGUGAAAAGAGAUCGCCGAUUACUUAAAGGACCCUUCCAAGAAAGUGGAUCGGCGGGUGCGUUUUCAAGCCACAAAAUAUGUACUACUAGAAGAUGAUUUAUUCUACCGAACAAUUGACGAAGUUCUGCUCAAAUGCCUGGGAACAGAGGAGGCGAAAAUCCUGAUGGGAGAGAUCCAUGAAGGGGUGUGCGGAGCCCAUCAAUCGGCCCAUAAGAUGAAGUGGAUGAUUAGGAUCAACGGAUAUUAUUGGCCAACGGUUCUUGAAGAUUGCUUCAAAUAUUAUAAAGGGUGCCAGGAUUGUCAGAAAUUUGGAAACGUGCAGCGUGCACCCGCAUCGGCCAUGAAUCCCAUAAUCAAGCCAUGGCCAUUCAGAGGUUGGGGAAUAGACCUCAUCGGACAAAUUUAUCCUCCAUCAAGCAAGGGGCAUAAAUUCAUCAUAGUAGCCACGGACUAUUUCACCAAAUGGGUGGAGGCGAUUCCAUUAAAGGCCGUAACAUCGGCCGCUAUGGUCGAUUUCAUGAGAGACCACAUUGUCUACCGCUUCGGCAUCCCUCAAACUAUCACAACCGAUCAGGGGACGAUGUUCACUUCGGGAAAGUUCGAGGAGUUCACUACCGAUAUGGGAAUCAAAUUGCUAAAUUCUUCUCCAUAUUAUGCUCAAGCUAAUGGCCAGGCCGAAUCUUCCAAUAAGGGGAUAAUUAAGUUGAUCAAAACGAAGAUUGAGGAACAGCCUAAAAAGUGGCAUUUAUGUUUGAUUGAAGCUUUAUGGGCGUACAGGAUGGCCUGCCACAGGUCUACUAAGAUAUCCCCUUAUCAACUAGUGUAUGGUCACGAAGCAGUGUUGCCGUGGGAAUUGAGAACGGGGUCGAGACGUACAUCGCUUCAGGAUCAGUUGGUGGCCGAUGACUACUCCUCGCUUAUGAAAAAGGAACUCAAUGAUCUGGCAGGUCAACAUUUGAGGGCCCUGAUCAGCAUUGAGGAAAAUAAGAAGAAGGCGACCAUGUGGUACGACAAGAGGGUUAAAGUCAAGCAAUUCUCUCAAGGGGAUAUGGUAUGGAAGUUGGUGCUGCCAAUUGGGUCCAAAGACCCUAAGUUCGGUAAAUGGUCUCCCAUGUGGGAAGGGCCGUAUAGAAUCGGCCGAUGCGCUCCGGGAAACGCAUACAUUCUAGAGAUGAUCGAAUGAGAAGAGUUUACAAGGGCCUUGAACGGGAGGUACUUGAAAAGAUACUAUCCCAGUAUAUGGGUCGAUGCAUAAAAUGGUUGCGGAGUAUGCCAGGAUAAAACGGCUAGUUCCUGGAUAAUCAUGUAGCCGAUGCGAAGAACGAAAUCCCCUUGAGGAGAAAAGUAAUCGUUCAUGCUGGCCGAUUUAUUAUUCGGUACAAACGAUAAGGUACAUGGCCGACACGGUACAAGUCGCCCUUAGAACAAAAAUACUCAACCACGCUUUUUCUUGAGUUCCCUUUCGAUCCGACCUAAUUCUAUCAGGAGGCGGGUGCUUCUUUCUUCCACAUCUUUCAUCGCGACUUCCGCCUCAACCUGGUGUGGAAGAGAAUGGCUCCAAUCUAGCGCUGGUCGAGACGUUCCUGUCGUGGCAUCUUCAAGGGAGACCGGACGAGGGAGAGGGUGGCUCUUGUCGACUGGCGGCCACCUAAGGCAGUUGCCGUCAAUGUGAUCCCGGAUCCGCCGAACGUCGGCAGGGAUAUGAUCUCUAAGUUCUUCACGGUGGGCCCUGAUUAGGUGCUCGUCUUCCUGCGACAACAGUUCGUUGGAGUGCAUCAGUUCGAUCGCCCGUUCGAGUUCGGGGCUAAGGCGUCUCGGCUGGAAGAGAUUAACACAUAACCGCCCAAUAUCAGAUUACUUAAAAGAUCAGAUCGGAGAAGGAGAGACAAAGAAAGAUCUCGUACCUGGUUGACAGAAGGAGAAGAAAAGGAGGAGGAUGAAGAGGUCAUCUUAGCAAGUAUCCCGAUGGAACAAAGUGACCAGAGAGGGAAAGGAUGAGCGAGGCAAGUGCCCUUGAGGGCGAUACCGAGGCUGAUACUUAUAGGAGGAAAAGGGGCGAAGGUAAGACGCGUCCCAUCAGAGUAAAAAGGUAAUAAAUGAAAGGCCGCCAUGAAGAACGGGUCAAGAUUGAUUUUGGGCGUCAAACGGUCAAAAGAUAUUAAUGUUUAUACAGAACGGCCAGUACUUUUACAGUUCAUCCUAGAAGGGCAUUAAUGGCCGCAAUCGCUCAUCGCCUAAUUUGAUCGGCCGAGUCUAGAACCCGCUGGUCGUCGUCCGCCGAUCCUGGAACCUCUAGCAUGUGGCGAUGAAGUCUGAGGGCCUCGUGGGCCAAGUGCUGCCUCUCCUGCUUCAGAUCAACGAUAACGGAGGGAAGAUCUUGGAGUCUUUUCUCUUCAAUGGCUAUCUCCUUGGUCACCUACUCCAUCUCCUUGGCGAGUUUUGCCCUUCGACGCUUGAGGCGAUCUAUAGUACCAACAAUACCCGGGCGGGAAUUAUCAAGGAAAUGAAUCCGGUGGUGUACCUCUUGGGCUCGGUGCUUAUACGAGUCUUCCUCCUCACGGGCUUUGGCCUGCUUCGCGCGAUCGGCCAUGUGGGACAGAGCCCUGAACACUGGGAUCCGCAUUGACUCAAUAUAUGCGGCGGGCGCCAGGGCUUCUUUAGCCUCUUCUGGAACUCGGCCGCUGACGUCACUGAAGAGCUGUCGAAUUGGCGAAGCGUCCUCCACCAAUCGGCCGAUGUCUUCUUGAAGAAGGGUCCGUAUGCUCUCAAGCUUGGCGCGGAUGUCAUCAGGGACCAAGCUCAGGGUAACUUGACGAGAGGCAACCUCCUCGUCAUCAGAAAGCGCGACCGCAAAAGAAAAGAGGCUGUUAUUGGGAGUGUCCUAUUCCUGCAAAAAGAGUGAGUAUAAGGAAAAUGAGUUAGCCGACGGUGAUAGCGAAUCGGCCGAUUCGGAUAAUGGAUCUCUUACUUCUUUGAAGUGGAUUUCCUCUACUUGCGCCUGCGGGAGUGCUACCCUCGGUUCAGAAGAGGAGGAUUCGACGAUUAUUGGCGUUCUGCUCGGACCGGCCUCUUGGAGAGCCUCUCUGGCCGAUGGCUGUUCAAAAGGUACAAUUAAUGGGCCAAUAGCUUGUAUCAAGAGCGGUCAUGCCAUUGCUUGAAUGUUAAAGAAUUGAAUUAAGAGAUCCUAUACCUUAGUGCAGGAAAGUACUGGUGCUCCAGUUUUUGCCUGGGGUGUUGCCGAUUGCUGUGGAGCCUCCGGGGCAGUUUGUGCGGCCUAAUAUAAGGAAGGAGUCAGCAUCGGGAGAAUAAUCAGGAGGAUUUAAAUACAAGUUUACCUGAAUGGCUUCUAGUAGAAAUGAUGCCGCGGCCGCUCCGGCUUCUGUAGAAGCUUGGGGGUCAACCUCCUCGAUGACCGGGAGAAUCGGCGCCGCCAAAGUUUCCGCUGAUGCAGCCGUUGAUGGAUCGGCCAAUUCCGUGUGGUCACGCACUCGGCGGCUUGUUUUCUUUACGAUUUUCUUCGGCACCUGCUUCAAUCAGCCGGUGAUGUCAUCAAUGGAGGGGGCAUGGUAGCCGAUAAGGGGGAACUCCGUGUACGGAUAACGGUCCUCUAUCGGCCGACUGCUCCGGCUGCAUCUUGGAGGGACUCGACUCUCAGACUGAAAGAAAAAAAACAAGAGUUAGUGGUAUAAAAAAGGAAAAGGCAUCAAAUCGGCUGAGGAAGGAACGAUACCUCUACGUUCGGAUCAAUGUUGUCGGGGUCCAAGAUGUUGCAGUAUAUCGCCGGGGAGGCGCAGAAGAGAUGUUGUUUCCAUUCUGCCCACCAUAACUUGAACUGUUGGACAGCAAAAGGGGCCACUAUCCAAUUGGUCAAGUUGAUGGUGCUGGAAUCAGAAAUCCGGUCGUACAGCCGACUGUAAUCGAGACCUAUGGUGAGCUCGUCUUGGAACUUUGCACGGUCGGCGAAGAAAGCAUAAAUCGGCAGCUGGCCCAGGCCGAAUUGACGUGCCGUGACCGAUGGAUUAUAAAAUUCAUAAGUAGGGGUGUCCUUCCCCGAGAAGAAAUUCGUCGGUAAGAUCCCUGGCUUGAUCAAUUCAUCUGUGAGGUCGUCGUCAAAAGUGUUAGUCAUUGAGUCAAAGCAAGGGGGGAGCUCGAAGAGUGGUUCGGAUCUCUGGUACAGGAACCAGCUAGUUGUCUCUUAGCUGAAACCGUUGUAGAAGCAUCUAAAGUAUUUGGCUACCUUGGUGGCAGAGAACUGGCAAUCGGAGAAAGCCGACGCUGCUUCGCCGAAGGAGGUACACCGACGCCGUACGGUGGGAUUUUCCGCCGAUUCGAUAUUGGGAAAGGUCAUGUGCUCCACCUGCUGUUGUGAGAUCUUGCUCAUGUACAGAUUGAGCCAUAGGUUAAUGAACCACCAGGGGCCACCUGGAUUUCCAAUCGGCUCUCCCUUGGAUAACUUGACGCCGAUCUGAUGCAGCAUAUGAUAGGUUGAUCCUAGCAGAUGUUUCCCGAGAGGAACAGAAGCUCCUAUCGACAAUGCUUCGGCCAGAGCCUGUGUGUUGGAAGAUGGACCAACUGCUCUGCCGCGAAGAGGUGUUUCUAACCACAUCAUCAAGAAGGCCGCGUGCUCCUUCUCUGUGACUGUCCCGGUCCUCUGGUUGCUCUUAACGAACCCUUUCCACCCGCCGAUUCCUUUUGUUUCUAGCCGAUGGGUCGGCUUGACCAAGUAGCGAAAAGGGGUGUCAAGAGAGGAGAUGUCAAUGCCGGUCAACAUUACGACAUCGGCCAGAGUGGGGGUCAUGGGCCCAUGUCCGAAAAGAAACGCGUUGAGAGUGUCGGACUAAAAAUAGGAAGCUGCUAUCACUAAAGGCUCAUUCCUUUCCAUCUGGGACAAGGAUAGGUUGAUACACUGGCCAAUUUUUCGCUCAUCCCAUUGAACUCUUUUAGAGUUGGCUAUCCGUUGAUACCACUCUUUCCAACCAGGGGUCUCAUUCGGCCAUGAUCUGAAAGUGCCUGACCAAUGAUCUAAGUCCAUGGUCGAUUGCUUAAAUGGAAUUCUAUGGGUUUCCAAGUUGAUUAGAUCAGUUGGAUCUAGGUUUCCCAUAGGUCCAAGACAGAUGAGACCGGGGGUUUCGGUAAGGCGAAUGGUGAUUUGGUGCUGUUGACGCCAGAUUUUGACACGAGUAAAAUCGGCGUUAGAAGAGGAAGAAUUUAGAAGAUGCUGCGAGAUACAAGGGCGACGAUUGGAAAUCGGCCGAUUGGUGCUACAGUCGAGGAUCGGUUGAUUGGUGCUACAGUCAAGGAUUGGCCAAUUGAUGCUACAGUCGAGGAUCGGCCGAUUGAUCCUUGGAGUUCCGCCUCACCCGACCCCUGAGGCUUGGGAUCGGACGCGCCCGACCCUCCAAGGGAGGAUCUCUGCCUCGCCCGACCCCUGAGGUUUGGGAUCGGACGCGCCCGACCCUCCAAGGGAGGAUCUCCGCCUCGCCCGACCCCUGAGGUUUGGGAUCGGACGCGCCCGACCCUCCAAGGGAGGAUCUCCGCCUCGCCCGACCCCUGAGGUUUGGGAUCGGACGCGCCCGACCCUCCAAGGGAGGAUCUCCGCCUCGCCCGACCCCUGAGGUUUGGGAUCGGACGCGCCCGACCCUCCAGGGGAGGAUCUCCACCUCGUCCGACCUUAGUUCCCAGGGUCGGAAUGGGUCUAAGCCCUCGACAUGUGGGUCCUGAUCGGUUACCCCUUUUCCAAAGAAGUGAUCGGCCGAUUAGGAGGUUGGAAUAGUUGGGCCGAUGUGGGCUUAAAAAGGAUUAUGAAGAUGAAGAGGAGGUCAGCCCAUGAAGCGCGUAAUAAUAGUACGAAUCGUACUUGUAAAUAUUCGUUUUCUGUUUAAAUUUAGGGAUAGAGUUCUAGUCGGAUAAGAAGUCGUUUGUACGGGGUUAUAAAUAGCCACCCUUGUAGAUCUGUAAUCAUCAUCAACUCAAUACAACAAACUAUUACUUCCUCGUACUUACUUUCAAGCAGGCGACUUCGCCAACACUUUUUCUUCUUUAUCACGAGUUCGUACGGAUUAGCGGGGCUGCAUCAACUUGACCUCCGGCUAAUCUUGUAAGUUCCGUUUAUCGAGUAAAUUCUAAGCUUUAACUUCGGGCGCAUCGCUGUCGUUUCGCUUAGAUUUAUUCACCAGUUAUCGAUAUUCACUAGAAUUCUAGGUUUUACCUGUUGUUCUAGUUUUAUCACCAGUUAUCCAGCUAGGAAUCAAUAAUUUCAGCUUUUCUUGUACUUCGCUGUUUACCUAUUUCACGCAUAGCCGAUCAGAUCUGUUCCUAGUGUUGCUACUGUAGCGUUGUUUAGAUUACUCUAGCAGUUUUCUCUAUAAACGUUGCCUGGUAAUCGGUGGCAUCAUAGCCGAUUCCUUUAUUACUGCAGAUCGGCCGAAUCGCCGAUAAGCUUUCUCAAGAUUGGAACCUUAGCCGAUCGCAACCUCUGGGAACUGACACGUUUAUUUCCUUGCCAAUCAACAGGUCAGAUUGGCUGGCACGCCGCGCGAACCGCACCAGGGCAAUCACCCGAACAGGAGCUAAGCAGAUUCUCCCAGGUCGUGUGUCCGACGCUGGGAAUUCAAUCAGCUGAUUUCUAGCGCCAACACACUUUAUGCACGCCCGGUGGGACAAAUACAACCGCCACCAUGUCGAAAACUACUAAAGUCUCCGAAGAUAACGUCAUCGAAGUGACAGAGGCAGAUCUCAGAGAUGACCAGAAGGAAGAAUUAGAGAGGCAGACGGCAUACUACCGGAAGACAUGCCUGCAGUCCUUCAGUUGCACCAGGAGCGGGGAGACUAUCAAAAAGGCUCCGUUUCCAACUCCCCGCCAGAUCACAAUCACCGAGGACUCGGACAAGAUGUCCGAGAUGGUCGAGCAAUCCGUCUAUCAAGCUUUCAUCGAUCAAUCCCCGGUGCUUUCUAAUACGGUAUACAAUGCCGUCAUCAGCUCCUUAGCUAGCGGUGUAUCUCAAGGGUACCAGGGGCCGGCAUAUGCUCCGCCGAUUACGGCUCCGAACAAGAAUACACCUUAUUCGGCUUCUCAGCCGAUCCAAUUUCCAGUUGGGGGUUCUGGCGCUUCCUCGUCAUCGAUCCCUAUGGGGUUUAAUGGCACGCAACACCUCCAGCCACGUCCCAUUCAGUUGUCCUCUGCGCAAUUUCCUCCAGUUAAUCCAGCACCUUGGGGGGCACCAUCAGUGACGGCCGUCCAGGAUCAAUCGGCCAACCAUAGAAGUGUUGGAGGUAUGCCCUAGAGGCAAUCAUAGAGAUGAUGAUAUUCCAUUUGUAUCCAUGAUUUGUAUAUUGUGUUCAUUGAAUAUCCAUUAAAGGCUACUUGAAUUGAUUUGCAAUUAUGUGAAUUGUAUGUGAAACUCUUUACUUGUAUGGUUAUUCUAAAGUUGUCCCUAGUCGGAGUUCAUGUGAGGACACACAUGAAUAUUAGACUAGCACAUGUAUUAGUUGAUGACUAUGUUUCACAAGUCAUGGACAUGGAGAUGUUGAACUAAUAAUGUGGACACAUGUGGAGACAUGUGCUAGGACUGACCCAACACGAGAAGUAGUUCUCUCUUUAAACAACAUAUACGCCUUGUCCUUAGACCUGAGAUUGUCGCAUGUAUUCUAGAUGUGGAUCGACCUACUUAGGGGCUAUCAAACGCUACGCCGUAACAGGGUAGUUAUAAAGGUAGUUUCGGGUUUGUCAAGAAGCAUGCUAUGAGACAUGGUCAAUCAAGAUGGGAUUUGCCCCUCUCUGAUUGAGAGUGAUAUCUCUGGGCCCCUCGAGUGAUCGGAUCCGAAAAUGCAUGGCCAUGCUACGUACGGUUAAGAGUUAACCUACAAAGGGAUUCCGGAUCACAGGAUCGAGAAAGAGCGGUCGGCUUGAAGCUAGACCAAAUAUCGUGAGGCAAAGGGAAUAGCAUGUAUAUUAUGUUGUGAUGGUUCGUCUGAUAUGAUCUUCAUGUGCGUAUAGGAGUUGGCAUGUCUUGCUAGAGGCCGCUACCGACUAUUGGGCCGAGUAGGAGUAUUCGGGCCAUGUCUAUACGUAUCCGAACCCAUAGGAUCACACACUUAAGGGGCUGGAAGCCCAAUUCGGAUCUGAUCCGAGUUGAUUUAUGUUUAGAAGUACUAAUGGGCCUCGGAUCCAGAGGCCCGUCAGGAACCUCUAUAAAUAGAGGGGUGGGGGCGCCCUAGGGUUUACACCUUUUUGGCAAAACACACCUGCCGCGCCUCCCACGCCCUCGCCUGUUGCAACUCGCGGAUCUAGCAAUCCGGCUUGCGAUGCUUCCUCCCUGCACAUGUGGAUACCUUGGAGGUGUUGCGCCUGCAGCACUUGGAUGAGCCGCCGACGAGCCGACGACGAGCCGCGGCAUCGGAGGCGAUCUUGCUGCACGUGGACGAGCUGCUGAGGAGUUGCUGGACGUGAUCGACUAUGUACGACUACGUGAUCAUCUUCACUGCACCGACGCAUAUCUACAUCUUCCGCACCAGUAGUGCGUCGAGUGGUAAUCCCGUGAUCCUUAUACGGCAGUUCUUCCUGGUUAUACGCGGUAGAAUUUUGAUUUGCGCUAGAGUAGCCUACCUCGUAUCCCCACAGGAAGCCCCCAAUUCCAGGCGUCUUUCCAGGCGGCCACUCGACCAACCAUGCCGCAGUACCAGCCUGUCGCACCAGAGAUGAGCAGAGCAGCAGAAUCAACGGAAGUACUCCGGGGCGUCGCGCCGCUCAUACUAUAUGACAAAACAAGCGGCUCAUUCAAACAGCCGACCCAGAAUACGCAGCCGGCUAUGACACAUCAAAUGCCACCAGCUUUCACUCAACAUCAAGUCAUCCCGCCGCCAAUAUACCAGCACGUACCAGUUCCUUAGCCGACGGUUUACCAGCAACAGCCGGACUGGUCGGCACGUAUAGCAGAGGUGAUUUAGGAACAAUUCGGCUUGAAGCCGAAGGUGCAGACCUACACAUACAGGACACCGUACCUGCCUACAUACGACUUACUGUCAUUUCCUCAUCGGUAUAAAGUUCCUGAUUUCACCAAGUUUUCGGGGCUGGACGACACCUCAACCGUAGAACACGUGAAUAGAUUCAUCAUCCAAUGCGGAGAAGCAGCGGCGCAGGAUGCUCUACGGGUGCGACUUUUCUCAUCAUCCCUGUCUGGGUCAGCCUUCAAGUGGUUCACAACCAUACUGCCCAACUCGAUAAUUACAUGGGCCGAUCUGGAAAGCGAAUUUCAUAAAUACUUCUACGCCGGGGUACAUGAGAUGAAGCUGUCCGAUUUGACCAGCCUCAGGCAGAGAAGCGACGAGCCGAUAUCCUCAUAUGUACAGAGGUUCAGGGAAAUCAGAAAUAAGUGCUACUCCCUGGCCCUGACUGAUGCACAGUUGGCUGAUAUAGCUUUCCAAGGUCUCCUACCUCACAUCAAAGAAAAAUAUGCCUCACAGGAGUUUGAGAGCUUGAGUCAAAUCGUCCACUGAUUGUCCGGUCAAGAAGUGCGUUCUUUCGAUCCACGGAGGAACUUCCAGAAGAAGGUGGCAUACUUAAAAGAGGUUGAAACCGCAGAAGAAACAGAAAUCGGCCUUGCGGAAUGGGUUAAAGGGAAGAAGCCAAUAUCAUGUCCGUUCGGCAAGAAGGAGCAGGAAACGUUCGGAUUUGAUACAUCAAAGGCCGAUAAAAUCUUCGACCUCCUCCUCUAGGAAGGAUAGAUCAAGCUCUUGCCAUACCAUACGAUUCCUUCCACCGAACAGCUGAAGAAGAUGAAAUAUUGCAAGUGGCACAACGCUACCUCCCAUGACACGAAUGAAUGCAAAAUCUUCCGGCAGCAGAUACAGUCGGCCAUUGAGCAGGGCAGACUCAAAUUUGAAGUGCCAACAAAACCAGCCAAGCCGAUGAAAAUCGACCAGCACCCCUUCCCCACUAACAUGGUUGACACGGGAAAGAAUGCGCUCCAAACCAAGGUGCUGACAUCCAAAUCGGCUAAAAAGAGCGGCGCCGUAGACCCCAGAAAUCAAGCAGCGCCUGAAGAUGUCAAAGGGAAACGGCGGAUGGAGGACAAUGACGGCGGAUUAGGAGAACCACGCAGACCCAUCACUUCCCAAUUCCUGCUCGACAAAUAUCAACGGCAGCAUGAACGUUCAAGGUCUCGGGAAGAGGCGAUGCUACGACAUGAAGAUCAUUGGCGAUGCCCGUUCUUCAUCCACUACUGGGAAAGCAACCUCAGGCUGCCUUCGGCUGAUAAUUGCCCUGAGUGCAACGGCCCGUAUCGUAAUAAUCGGCCGUUCAGCAUGUCUCGCUCUAGAGAUGGGAGAUCAGAGCCGAUCAGCAGGAACUGGCGCGACCAAGAUGACCGGCGCCCUCCAGUACGUAAUUGGCUGGGGGGCAGAAGUGACUGGUAUGACCGGUCGGAAGGCAGGUGCAAUGAUGGGCCGGGGGGCAGAUUUGAUCGACAUGACCAGCCAGAAAACAGGGUCAGCGUCCACAGUCGACUUGAAGAGAUGGCCGAUGCUCGGGGGUCGGACGAGAAGCCUUUAGGACGUGAACCGGAAUGGGAACGCGCCAGGCCUCGAACCAAACCGGUGAACCCUAGGUGGUGCCCCGAUGGAUUGACCAAGUCUCAAAAAUGAAGAAUCCAACGUCUCCGCCAGUGGGAACAGCAGGAGGAAGAGCAACAGUACACGACGGACGAGAAGAAAGGCAGGUCUCAGGUAUGGCGCCCCAAAAGAAACGACAGAGGAGGCGACGAAUCGGCAGGCGACGAAUCGGCAGCCGACAUCGACAUGGUUUUUAUACUGCCGAUGGAAUUCAUGACUCCUGUCGACCGACAGGACAUGUCGGCAAUGGAAGAGCAGAUGGCGCAAUUGGCUUUGGAGCCAAUGACAACCACAUUUGAGAAGCCCGAAGAAGACAAAUGGCAACACCUGAAAGCGUUGUUUCUUAAAGGGCAUGUCAACGGCCGACCCAUCACUAGAUUACUAGUAGACGGAGGGGCUGCAGUCAACAUCAUGCCGUACGCCAUGUUCCGGAAGCUUGGGAAGAGCGAUGAGAACCUGACCAAGACAGAUAUGAUGCUCAAGGACUUCGAGGGCAACGUAUCCCCCGCUCGCGGCGCUCUCUGCGUCGACCUCACCAUCGGCAGUAAGACCCUUCCUACUACUUUCUUUAUUAUUAAUGGCAAGGGGUCCUACAACAUGCUACUCGGCCGAGACUGGAUACAUGCAAAUUGCUGUAUCCCAUCUACAAUGCAUCAAUGCCUAGUAUAAUGGGUCGGCGACAACUUCGAGGUGGUCACCGUCGAUUCCGCAUACAGCAUCGCGGCAGCCGACACGCAGCAGUGGAGCUGCGAAACCGUCAAGUGCAUAUCCGGGAGAGUAUGGGAUACUGACUUCUUGAAGGUGUCCGAUUUUGGCCUAUAGCCGAUCCGAGAAGUCGGCUCCGAAGACUCAGACUAAGAUGGAUCAGUUCGCCCGAGAAGAUGGGAAGCUGGGACACGGGUUCACGUCGGCCGAUUCAUUAGAAAUGAUAGAUUUGGGCGAUGGUACCAAAUCAAGGCCGACAUAUAUUAGUGCAAAUUUAGAUCCGGAAUACAAAUGUAAACUGACAAGUUUGUUAAGAGAAUUUAAGGAUUGCUUUGCUUGGGAAUAUCAUGAGAUGCCCGGAUUAGACCGAUCUAUCGUUGAGCAUCGGUUACCCAUAAAGCCAGGGUAUCGGCCGUAUCAACAACCUGCACGGCGGUGCAAUCCUAAAAUCCUACCAGACAUAAAAGCCGAAAUAACGCGGCUAAUCGAAGCAAAAUUUAUUCGGCAAUGCCGUUAUGCCGAAUGGAUCUCCAACAUUGUACCAGUAUACAAGAAGAACGGAAAGCUACACGUAUGCAUCGAUUUCAGGAACGUCAAUCAGGCCACACCAAUGGACGGAUACCCCAUGCUGACGGCCGAUGUGCUGAUAGAUGCCGCCGCGGGACACAAGGUUAUUAGUUUCAUGGAUGGAAACGCUGGGUACAAUCAGAUACUUAUGGCCGAAGAAGACAUACCCAAAACGGCCUUCAGAUGCCCAGGUCACCUUGGUUUAUUCGAGUGGGUGGUAAUGACUUUCGGCUUGAAAAAUGCCGGCGCCACGUAUCAGAGAGCCAUGAACUACAUAUUUCAUAAACUUAUCGGCAUACUAGUAGAAAUCUACAUCGACGAUGUCGUAGUCAAGUCAAAAGGACACCAGUAGCAUCUGGCCGAUUUACGACAAGUAUUGGAGUGCACUAAGAAACAUGGGCUGAAGAUGAACCCGAAUAAGUGUGCCUUCGGCGUAUCCGUCGGACAAUUCUUAGGAUUCAUGGUGCACGAGCGGGGAAUAGAAAUCAAUCAGAAAACUAUAGCGGCCAUCAACAAAGUCGUGGCCCCGCAGAAUAAAACUGAGUUGCAAUCUCUAAUCGGCAAGGUGAAUUUCAUCAGAAGAUUCAUAUCUAAUCUGUCUGGGCGAAUCCAAGCCUUCACACCAUUAUUAAAGUUGAAGCCCGACCAGGAGUUCAUAUGGGGGGAAGAGCAACGCAAGGCAUUGGAAGACAUCAAGCAGUACUUGGUCUCACCACCGGUAUUGGUCCCUCCUCAAACUGGUAAGCCGUUUAAACUAUAUCUAUCAGCCGAUGAAAGAGCUAUUAGGUCGGCUCUGGUCCAGGAGUUCGAGGGAAAGGAGCGAGUAAUUUAUUAUGUCAGUAGAAGACUUCUGGACGCCGAAACAAGGUAUCCUCCAGUGGAGCGGUUGUGCCUAUGCCUUUACUGUUGGGAUACGAGGUAGGCUACACUAGCGCAAUUCAAAAUUUUCUACCGCGUAUAACCAGGAAGAACUGCCGUAUAAGGAUCACGGGAUUACCACUCGACGCACUACUGGUGCGGAAGAUGUAGAUUUGCGUCGAUGCAGUGAAGACGAUCACGUAGUCGUACGUAGUCGAUCAACGUAGUCGUACGUAGUCGAUCAACGUAGUCGUACGUAGUCGAUCACGUCCAGCAGCUCCUCAGCAGCUCGUCUACGUGCACAGCAAGAUUGCCUCCGGUACCGUGGCUCGUCGUCGGCUCGUCGCGGCUCGUCGGCGGCUCGUCGGCGGCUCGUCCAAGUGCUGCAGGCGCAACACCUCCAAGGUAUCCACACGUGCAGGGAGGAAGCGUCGCAAGCCGGAUUGCUAGAUCCGCGAGUUGCAACAGGCGAGGGCGUGGGAGGCGCGGCAAGUGUGUUCAGCCAAAAGGUGUAAACCCUAGGGCGCCCCCACCCCUCUAUUUAUAGGGGUUCCUGACGGGCCUCUGGAUCCGAGGCCCAUUAGUACUCCUAAACCUAAUCCAACUCGGAUCAGAUCCGAAUUGGGCUUCCAGCCCCUUAAGUGUGUGACCCUAUGGGUUCGGAUACGUAUAGACAUGGCCCGAGUACUCCUACUCGGCCCAAUAGUCGGUAGCGGCCUCUAGCAAGACGUGCCAACUCCUAUACGCACACGAAGAUCAUAUCAGACGAACCAUCACAACAUAAUAUACAUGCUAUUCCCUUUGCCUCACGAUAUUUGGUCUAGCUUCAAGCCGACCGCUCUUUCUCGAUCCUGUGAUUCGGAAUCCCUUUGUAGGUUAACUCUUAACCGUACGUAGCAUGGCCAUGCAUUUUCGGAUCCGAUCACUCGAGGGGCCCAGAGAUAUCACUCUCAAUCAGAGAGGGGUAAAUCCCAUCUUGAUUGACCAUGUCUCAUAGCAUGCUUCUUGACAAACCCGAAACUACCUUUAUAACUACCCUGUUACGGCGUAGCGUUUGAUAGCCCCUAAGUAGGUCGAUCCACAUCUAGAAUACAUGCGACAAUCUCAGGUCUAAGGACAAAGCGUAUAUGUUGUUUAAAGAGAGAACUACUUCUCGUGUUGGGUCAGUCCUAACACAUGUCUCCACAUGUGUCCACAUUAUUAGUUCAACAUCUCCAUGUCCAUGACUUGUGAAACAUAGUCAUCAACUAAUACAUGUGCUAGUCUAAUAUUCAUGUGUGUCCUCACAUGAACUCCGACCAGGGACAACUUUAGAAUAACCAUACAAGUAAAGAGUUUCACAUACAAUUCACAUAAUUGCAAAUCAAUUCAAGUAGCCUUUAAUGGAUAUUCAAUGAACACAAUAUACAAAUCAUGGAUACAAAUGGAAUAUCAUCAUCUCUAUGAUUGCCUCUAGGGCAUACCUCCAACAUUUACUUCUCAUGCACCAAACUCAGGCACUAUUUACUGUCGGCGGAAUGUGUGGUCGUAUGCAAGGACGACGUGGUAAAAUACAUGCUGUCACUACCGAUUUUGAAAGGACGGAUCGGAAAAUGGAUCUUGGCUUUGUCAGAGUUUGACCUUCGAUAUGAAUCGGCAAAAGCUUUUAAGGGACAGGUCAUGGCCGAUUUCGUUGCCCAGCACUGCGGGCUAGAGGCUACCUUCGUAGAACCAGUUCCUUGGACCUUAUACUUCGAUGGAUCGUCAUGUGGGGCCGGAUCAGGAAUCGGCAUCGUCCUCAUAUCGCCUCGGGGGGCAAGCUAUGAUUUCUCUCUGCUAAUAGAAGCAUCCGCCACUAACAAUCAAGCAGAGUACCGAGCUGUACUGAAAGGAUUACAAUUGCUAAGGGAAGUCAAAGCUGAUUCCGUCGAAAUUUUUGGGGAUUCCAUGCUUAUCGUGGAUCAGUUAACAGGGAAGUACGAGUGCAAGGACGAUGUAUUGAGGAUUUAUUACGAAGAUUGCCUGCUGCUUCUGAAAGAAUUCAAAUCGGCAGUUAUCGAGCACAUCCCAAGGAAUCACAACGAGGAUGCCAACAAGCUCGCCCAACACGCAUCUGGGUAUCGGCCGAUUCAAGGCGCUAUGGCUCUAGAGCUCGCGGCCGAUGACUGGCGAAGGGAGAUUGCCGAUAACCUGAAAGACCCGUCUAAGAAAGUGGGUCGGCGGGUACGUUUUCAUGCUACCAAAUAUGUGUUACUGGAAGACGACUUGUUCUACCGAACAAGUGUCUAGGAAAGGAGGAGGCUAAGACUUUGAUGGGAGAAAUCCAUGAAGAAGUGUGUGGAGCCCACCAAUCGGCACAUAAGAUGUAAUGGAUGAUUAGGAAUAAUGGGUAUUACUGGCCGACGAUCCUCGAGGAUUGCUUUAAGUAUUAUAAAGGAUGCCAGGAUUGUCAGAAAUACGGGAAUGUCCAAUGUGCGCCUGCAUCGGCCAUGAAUCCCAUUAUCAAACCAUGGCCGUUCAGAGGUUGGGGAAUAGACCUCAUCGGCCAAAUUCAUCCUCCGUCAAGCAAAGGGCACAAGUUCAUUCUGGUGGCCACUGAUUAUUUCACCAAAUGGGUGGAGGCGAUUCCGUUAAGGGCCGUGACAUUGACUGCUAUGGUUGACUUCGUAAGAGACCAUAUCGUCUACCAUUUCGGCAUUCCCCAGACUAUCACAACCGAUCAAGGGACGAUGUUUACAUCAGGAGAGUUCGAGGAGUUCACGGCCGACAUGGGGAUCAAAUUGUCAAACUCCUCUCCGUAUUAUGCCCAAGAUAAUGACCAGGCCGAAUCUUCCAACAAAGGGAUAAUAAAGUUAAUCAAGAGGAAGAUAGAGGAGCAGCCGAAAAAGUGGCAUCUAUGUCUGACUGAAGCCCUAUGGGCAUACAGGAUGGCUUGCCAUGGGGCCACCAAGAUGUCCCCUUAUCAGUUGGUGUACGGUCAUGAGGCAGUACUACCAUGGGAAUUGAGGGCAGGGUCGAGACGCACUUCGCUCCAGGACCAGUUGGCGGCCGAUGACUACUCCUCACUCAUGAAAAGGGAACUUGAUGACUUGGCAGGCCAACGAUUGAGAGCUUUGAUAAGCAUCGAAGAAAACAAAAAGAAAGUGGCCAGGUGGUAUGAUAAGAAGGUCAAAGUCAAACAAUUCUCUCCGGGGGACCUGGUAUGGAAGUUAGUGUUGCCGAUUGGGUCAAAAGACCCUAAAUUCGGUAAGUGGUCCCCUACAUGGGAAGGGCCGUAUAAAAUCGGCAGAUGUGCUCCAGGAAACGCUUAUAUUCUGGAAACAAUCGAAGGAGAAGAGUUUACUAGGGCUCUGAACGGAAGAUACUUGAAAAGGUACUACCUUAGUAUAUGGGUCGGAGCAUAAGAAUCGACCACGAUGAACAACACACAGCCGAUACAAAAGGAUUCGUUCAGAGAAAAAACGUAAUCAUCCAAAUCGGCCGAUAUAUUUCAUUCGGUACGGACGGUGGGUUACACGGCCGACAAGGUACAAGUCGCCCUUAGAACAAAAAAUAAUUAAUCAUGCUUUUUCUUAAGCUCUCUCUCAGCCCGACCUAGUUCUAUCAGAAGACGGAUGUACUCUUCUUCUAUCUCCUUCAUCGAAGCCUCUGCUUCGACUUGACGGGGGAGAGGGUGACUCCGGUCCAUGGCCGGGCGUGAUGUUCCUACUGCUGCAUCUUCAAGGACGAUUUGAUGAGGAAGCGGAUGACUUCGGUCAACUUGAGGUCGCCGGUGGUCGUUGCUGUCCAGAAAGUCCUAGAUCCGUCGGAUGUCGGCAGGGACGUGCUCUUGGAGUUCGUCGCGAUGAGCUCUGAUUAAAUCCUUGUCUUCUUGCGACAACGGUUUGUCGGAGUGUACAAGUCUGAUGGCUCGUUCGAGUUCAGGGUUAAGGCGCCGCGGCUGCGGAAAACAAAAAUAUACGUAUAGCCGUCGAAAAGGUGAUUCCUUUUAGGGGAGUUAAACUAAGAAAGAGGAUGAAGGUAAAUCAUUUACCUGAUUAACAGAGAAAGAAGUAGAAGAUGAAGAAGACAUGACUGAAAGGCGCACCGAUGAAAACAGAUUGGGAAGGUGAAGCCGAGCUAGGCAGGUGCUCUCGGAACGGGGACCUAGGCCGGCGUUUAUAAGAAAGGAAGGCGUGGAUGUUUGGUAAGACGCAUCCCAUCGGAAGUGAGAAAGGUAAUAAAUAAAGGGGGCGCCGCGAAGGACGGUCAAAGGGGUCAUUAAAUGUUCGUACAAGAAUGGCCAGUACUUUUACAGGUCACCCAGAAGGGCAUCGAUAGCCGUGAUCGCUCGGUGUCGGAUCUGAUCGGCAGUGUCUAGGACCCGUUGGUCAUCCUCUGCCGAUCCGGGGACUUCUGACAUAUGGCGGUGGAGUUUUUGGGCUUCGUGAGCCAGGUGCUACCUCUCCCGUUUCAGAUCGGCGAUGACAGAAGGGAGUUCCUGAAGCCUCUUUUCUUCAGUGUCUAUUGCUUUGGUCACCUGCUCCAUCUCCUUGGCAAGCUCUGCCCUUCGGCAUUUGAGGUGAUCUAUCGUGCCGACGAUCCCUGGGCAAGAGUCUUCCAGAAAGUGAAUCCGUUGAUGCACCUCUUGAGCUUGAUGCUUGUACGUGGCUUCUUCUUCACGAGUCUUGGUCAACUUGGCAUGAUCGACCAUAUGGCGCAGGGCCCUAAAGACCGGAAUCCUCAUUGACUCAAUAUACGCUGCUGGCGCCAAGGCCUCUUUCGCUUCUUCUGGUACUCGCCCGCUGACGUCACCAAAAACUUGCCGAAUCGGCGAGGCGUCUUCUAACAAUCGGCCGAUGUCCUCUUGAAGAAGGGAUCGGAUGCUUGUGAGUUUGGCACGGACGUCAUCAGGGACGGAACUCAAAGUGACCUGGCGAGAGGCGACUUCCUCGUCAUCGGAGAGUGCGACCGCGAAACGGAAGGAUAUUUUCAUUGCGUCUGUUUCGGAUGGGAAGUUGAAAAGAAUUUCGAAGUAAAGACUAUGUUUUACUCCGAAACUGGGGGGCAUGUGUUGACGCCAGAUUUUGACACGAGUAAAAUCGGCGUUAGAAGAGGAAGAGAUUGGAAGAUGCGGCGAGAUACAAGGGCGACGAUUGGAAAUCGGCCGAUUGGUGCUACAGUCGAGGAUAGGUUGAUUGGUGCUACAGUCAAGGAUCGGCCAAUUGAUGCUACAGUCGAGGAUCGGCCGAUUGAUCCUUGGAGUUCCGCCUCGCCCGACCCCUGAGGCUUGGGAUCGGACGCGCCUAACCCUCCAAGGGAGGAUCUCCGUCUCGCCCGACCCCUGAGUUUUGGGAUCGGACGCGCCCGACCCUCCAAGGGAGGAUCUCCGCCUUGCCCGACCCCUGAGGUUUGGGAUCGGACGCGCCCGACCCUCCAGGGGAGGAUCUCCACCUCGUCCGACCUUAGUUCCCAGGGUCGGAAUGGGUUUGAGCCCUCGACAUGUGGGUCCUGAUCGGUUACCCCUUUGCCAAAGAAGUGAUCGGCCAAUUAGGAGGUUGGAAUAGUUGGGCCGAUGUGGGCUUAAAAAGGAUUAUGAAGAUGAAGAGGAGGUCAGCCCAUGAAGCGCGUAAUAAUAGUACGAAUCGUACUUGUAAAUAUUCGUUUUCUAUUUAAAUUUAGGGAUAGAGUUCUAGUCGGAUAAGAAGUCGUUUGUACGGGGUUAUAAAUAGCCACCCUUGUAGAUCUGUAAUCAUCAUCAACUCAAUACAACAAACUAUUACUUCCUCGUACUUACUUUCAAGCAGGCGACUUCGCCACCACUUUUUCUUCUUUUUCACGGGUUCGUAUGGAUUAGCGGGGCUGCAUCAACUUGACCUCCGGCUGAUCUUGUAAGUUCCGUUUAUCGAGUAAAUUCUAAGCUUUAACUUCGGGCACAUCGCUGUCGUUUCGUUUAGAUUUUUUCACCAGUUAUCGAUAUUCACUAGAAUUCUAGGUUUUACCUAUUGUUCUAGUUUUAUCACCAGUUAUCCAGCUAGGAAUCAGUAAUUUCGGCUUUUCUUGUACUUCGCUGUUUACCUAUUUCACGCAUAGCCGAUCAGAUCUGUUCCUAGUGUUGCUAUUGUAGCGUUGUUUAGAUUACUCUAGCAGUUUUCUCUAAAAACGUUGCCUGGUAAUCGGUGGCAUCAUAGCCGAUUCCUUUAUUACUGCAGAUCGGCCGAAUCUCCGAUAAGCUUUCUCAAGAUCGGAACCUUAGCUGAUCGCAACCUCUGGGAACUGACACGUUUAUUUCCUUGCCAAUCAACAGGUCAGAUUGGCUGGCACGCCGCACGAACCGCACCAGGGCAAUCACUCGAACAGGAGCUAAGCAGAUUCUCCCGGGUUGUGUGUCCGACGCUGGGAAUUCAAUCAGCUGAUUUCUAGCACCAACAGGUGCCUAACCUCCUAAAAAAAGGUAAAAAGGGAAGAAGUAAGGCGAAUUGCUUAGGAGAGCAUCUAUGAUAAUUUGGGAUAGGGUAGCAAUGACUAAGAGAUAGACAGUUGAGGCACUAGACAAGACACUGCAAGAUGUAACGGAGUGUACACAACCAUUUGGUGGUAAGGUAAUGUUGGUUGGAGGUGACUUUAGAUAGGUUCUUCCUGUUGUGGCCCAUGGUACAAGAGCACAGAUCACUAAUGCUACUUUGCUCAGGUCAUACAUAUGGCAAAGUGUUCGGCGCAUCCGACUGACCCAGAACAUGAGAGCACAGUCUGACACGUGGUUUGCAGAUUAUCUACUAAGGAUCGAUAAUGGCACUGAGGAAACACUUGGUGAUGACUAUGUGCAGUUGCCUGAUGAAAUUCUGAUUGAUAGCCCUUCAUAAGACAUCUGUAUUGAUAUGCUCACUAGCCACGUAUUCCCGAACCUUCAUGUUAAUUGUACAUCUAGAGCUACAUGCGUGAGCGUGCUAUCCUUUCCACUAGGAAUGAGCAUGUGGAUGCAGUGAAUGCAUUGAUGAUUGAUAGGUUCCCCGGCAGUAAACAGGUGUGCUACAACUUUGACUCAGUAGAGGAUGGCCCACGGAAUAAUUAUCCUUUGGAUUUUCUCAAUUCAAUCACACCAAAUGGGUUGCCUCCACACGAGCUGACGAUAAAGAAGAACUGCCCUGUUAUCCUACUCCGUAAUCUUGAUCCUCACAAUGGCCUCUGUAAGGGCACCCGAUCGAUCAUGAGAGGAUUUCAGAAAAACUAUAUCGAUAAUGAGAUUGUUAAUGGCCAGCAUGCAGGGAAAAGGGUAUUCAUACCAGGAUACCAAGGAUACCAAUGUCACCUUCUAAAGAUCUAUCUCUUCCCUUCAAGUUCAAGCGCAAGCAGUUUUCCAUUCGCUUAAGCUUCGCUAUGACCAUUAACAAAGCGCAGGGUCAAACAAUACCAAAUGUAGGUAUCUACCUCCCCGAGCCUAUUUUUUCACAUGGGCAGCUGUAUGUGGCUCUACCUAGAGGUGUUUCUCGUAAGACAACAUGGGCUCUUGCUAGAAAAAAUAAGGAUAUGGAUCCCACUGGAAAAGGCACAAAGAACAUUGUCUACAGAUAUGUCUUGGAGUCACGAGGCAUACCAAUUCUAUUUUCACAGUUGAUAAUUUAUUAUGUUGUACAUGUAUAGAUAUCUUUGUUCUCAUGUCCUUUGGAUUAACCAUAUAUAUUGUUCUGCAGUUUAUAUAUGCUUCAGGAUUGUGAACUGCUUGUGGUAAAAAGUCUAGGAAAUGCAUGAGACAAUUUAGUGUGCAUACAUCUCUAUAAAAAGGUUUCUAGGAGUGUCAAGGGAUGGGUUAUAUAUGAGAGUGUUGGCGCUAGAAAUCGGUCAACCGAAUCCCAGCGACCGACACACGACCCGGGAGAAUCUGCUUAGCUCCUGUUCGGGUGAAUGCCCUAGUGCGGUUCACGCGGCGUGCCAGCCAAUCUGACCUGUUGAUUGGCAAGGAAGAAUAUGUGUCAGGUUCAGAAAUCGCGAUCGGCUAUGUUCCGAUCUCGAGAGAGUUUAUCAGCAAGUCGGCCAAUUUACUAUGAUAAUGAAAUCGGCUAUAAGACAGCCCGAUUUCUGUAGCCUUGUAGACAGGAAAUUGCUAAAGUAAACGGUACAAAGCUAUGAUAACAACACCAGGAAUAGAUCUAAUCGGCAAUAAAUAAAUUUAACAAUAGAAAACAGAGAGAGCCGACACUACCAAUUCCUAGUUGGAUAACUGGUGAUAAAGACUAGAAAAACAGGUAAAACCUAUGAAUCUAGCAAAUAUCGAUAACUGGUGAAUAAAUCUAAACGAAACAACAGCGAUACGCCCGAAGUCAAAGCUUAGAUAUUACUCGAUAAUCGGAACUUACAGAAUCGGCCGGAGAUCAAGAUGAUGCAGCCCUGCCAACCCGCACGAACUCGUGAAAGGAGAAAAAUAAUGGCGAAGUCGCCUGCUUGAAAGUAAGUACGAAGAAAAAGUAGCUUGUUGUAUUGAUUGGUUGAUGAUUACAGAUUUACAAAGGUAGCUAUUAUAGCCCCGUACAGAUAACUUCUUAACCGACUAGAAUUCUAUCCCUAAUUCAAACAGAAAACAAAUAUCUACAAGCACAAAUCGUGCUAAGUUAGUUACUCCACGCUUCGUGGGCUGACUUCCACCUUAUUCUUCUAUCCCCCUUUCCAAGCCCAUACAGGCCCAAUUAGCCCAUCUUCCAAAUCGGCCGAUUCCUUAUCGGCAAAAGAUUACCGAUCGGGAUCCUGGUGCAUUCGACCCAAAGCAAGACAAAAGUCACCGGCCGAUUUCGCACUAUGGCACCAUUUGGCCGAUUCCCAACUGUGCUUCUCCGAUUCCCCUUCUUCUUGGCGCCGAUUCUUCUAGUGACGAAAUCUGGCGUCAACACAUGCCCCCCAGUUUCGGAGUAAAACAUAGUCUUUUACUUCAAAAUUCUUUAUAACCUCCCUUCCGAAACGGCCGCAGUGAAAAUAUCCCUCCGUUUCGCGGUCUUCCAACUGAUCAUUGCAAUUUUUCGAAACGGGCGCCCACGACAGCCACUACCCCUGAAAAACUCGAAGCGUCGGCGCGGUAAAAAUUCCAUCUUUACCCCCCUUCAGGCAUCCUUUAAAUAGCGCCUCACCCGCAACUCAUCUUCAAGCUCACGUCUCUUUUCCCAGCGCGCGCGCACUCUUCCCCUUUCAACACUUUUCCCUUGCCGCCGAAGCUUUCUAGCUCCACCUCCUGUUACUUCUUCCUUCUUCUCUUCCAAUGGCGGCUCCUUCUGGCAACUCUCCCGCACGCAGUGCCCCAGAGGUAGCACCUCCGGUGGUGGUGGCAACAACCGUCACUCCUUCCACAGAUGAAGGAGCUUCAUCGGAGAUCCCAAUGGCGAUCCCCAUCGCGGCCCCGUCGUCCGCAUCCGCAUCGGCGACCACGCCGAUCAUUCAGAACUUCAUCCCAGAGGUAAAUACCGAAGUCUUCCUCUAUCGGCAACGUAUUCACCUUAGAUCUGUUCCUUACUUUUCCACACUCCCUUUCUUUUUAGGCAGUUUGGCAUAGAAUUACCAUUCACCUCACGGGAAGUCCCGGCCUUGUUUGUCUUGGUCCCAUGGGAAACCCAGAUCCAAUAGAUCUCAUAAAUUUGGAAACCGACCGGAUACCCUUCAAACGGUCUGAUAUGAAUUUAGAUCACUGGGUGGGUACUUUUAGAUCCUGGCCGAAUGAAACCCCAGGUUGGAGGGAGUGGUACCAACGGGUGGCCGCAUCAAAGAGCGUCUCAUGGGACGAGCUCAAAAUCGGCCAGUGCAUCAACCUUUCCUUAUCUCAAAUGGAGAAAAAUGAGCCGUUAGUGAUGGCGGCCUCGUAUUUUUGGUCUGAUGCACUUAAUGCAUUCUUAUUUGGGCACAGUCCUAUGACCCCCACACUGGCCGAUGUAGUCCUGUUGACUGGCCUUGACAUAUCCUCCCCUGACUCACCCUUCCGCCUUUUGACAACAACAUCACAUCGGCUGGAUACAAGGGGAAUCGGCGGUUGGAAGGGCUUCAUCAGAAGUAAUAAGAAGACCGGGACCGUUGAGAACAGGGAGCACACGGCUUUCCUGAUGAUGUGGCUAGAAAAGCACUUCUUUUGCGGAAGAGCCGCCGGUCCAACAACCAACACCCAAGCCUUAGCUGAGGCACUGUCCAGAGGAGACCAUGUCCCCCUCGGGAAACAUUUACUGGGGGCCGUGUACCACAUGCUUCAUCAAAUCGGCACAAGACUAUCCAAGGGAGAACCGAUCGGCAAUCAAGGCGGGCCUUGGUGGUUUGUCAGUCUGUGGUUGAAUCUUUACAUGAGCGAAAUCACCCAGCAGCCAGUGGACCGCAUGACGUUCCCCAAUGUCGAAUCGGCAGAGGACCCUACCGAACGCCGCCGAUGCAUGUCCUUUGGCGAAGCGGCGUCAGCUUUCCCAGGUUGUGCGUAUUCUGCUACAAAGGUAGCCGAGUACUUUCAGUGUUUUUACAAUGGAUUUAAUGAAGACGCAACCAUUUGGUUUCCGUACCAGCGAGACGACCCAGUCUUUGAGCUCCCCACCUGCUUCGAUUCGGCUUCUGGCCGAUUUGAUGAAGAUCUUUAUGAAGGGCUGAUCAAACCAGGACUCCUACCGGCCAACUUCUUUUCAGGGAAGGAUGCCCCUACGUACGAAUUCUACAACCCUUCCACUGCAGCACGACAAUUCGGCAUGGGUCAGUUGCCGAUUCAAGUGUAUUUUGCUGGCCGAAUCAAGUUUAGAGAUGAGCUUACAUCUGGCCUGGAUUAUGGUCGGUUGCGAGACCGAAUUCCGGAUUCCAGUACAAUUAACUUGAACGACUGGCUAUUAGCCCCAUUUGCCGUCCAGCCGUUCAAACUCUGGUGGGCUGAUUGGAAGCAAUUUCUCUUCUGCAACUCAGCAUCGGCAUACUGCAAUCUUCUGGACCCAACCAAUAUUGAUCCAAACGCCGAGGUACUUCCCAUAGCCGAUUCUUAUUCUCCUUAACAUGAUUGAGUACUAAUGACUUUACUAUUUCUUUAGGCCGAGAAUCGGACUCCUCCAACGCACAGCCGCAGCGGUCGGCUGAUAGAGAGCCAUCCAUAUACCACUUACCCCCUUAUCGGCUAUAACGCUCCGUCCGUUGACGUGAUCGCUGGCCGAUCGAAGCAGGUUCAUAAGAGGACCACCAAGAAAACCAGUCGCCGAGUCCGGGCUCGUACGGAAUCGGCGGAUCCUCCUGUGCUUGUAUCGGCAGAAACUUCGACCGCACCACCUUCUCAGGUCAUUCAAAGUGCCGAUAGUCAAGUCAUUACGCAAGCUGGGGCGGCCGCCGCGUCGUUGCUGUUGGGAGCUAUACAGGUAAACCUGAGCCUUACUGCCCCCGAUUGUAAUUCUGUUAUUAACCCUUCUUAACCUUAGUCUACACAGAGCACUCCUAUGGAGGCGCAACAAUCGGCAGCAGCUCAACCAACCAUCGUCGCGCCCUCUCUCCCAUCUUUUGAGGUAUAGUGCUUAUCUUACCGAUUUCCCGCGGGUAUUUGCGUAAUGUACUUAUUCAAUCCUCUGACACAGGCCAUCGGCACACCGAGCGCUUCUCGACCACCGAUCUCUUCUCAGGGGGCUGGUCCAAGCACCGCGCCGAUUGUCGUGGAGUCCUCUUCAUCCGAUGAACCCAUGGCGCCGGCUACUGAGCAAGGCACGACGGCUUUACAAGUGCAGCAUGAGGAAAUUCGCUUCAAAAUGGUAAGUUCCUAACUCGGCUUUCACCCAGCUGAUUUGUUCUCAUUCCCCGCCGACUCAUCCUUUUUCCUUAUUUUCUUCAGGAACAAGACUCCCCCGAUAACAGCCUCUUCUCCUUUGCGGUUGCAUUUUCUGAUGACGAAGAAGUCGCUUCCCGCCAAGUCGCUCUAAGCUCCGUUCCUGAUGAUGUCUGAUCUAAACUUACCAAUAUCCGAUCCCUCCUUCAGGGGGACAUCGGCCGAAUAGUAGAAGAUGCUUCGCCGAUUCGGCAGCUCUUCAGUGACGUCAGCGGACGAGUACCAGAGGAGGCGGAAGAGGCCUUGGCGCCGGCGGCCUUCAUCGAGUCCAUGAGGAUCCCAGUCUUUAGGGCCCUUCGCCACAUGGCCGAUCACGCAAAACUGGCUAAGACUCGUGAAGAUGAAAACGCUUUCAAGCGUCAGGCUCAAGAAGCGCAUCGGCAUAUCCAUGUUCUAGAAGAUUCCCGCCCGGCGAUCAUCGGUGAGAUAGACCGCAUCAAACGUCGAAGGGCGGAGCUUGCCAAGGAGAUGGAGCAAGUGACUAAAGCAAUCAGUGCCGAAGAGAGUAAACUCCAAGAGCUGCCCUCUGUUAUUGCCGAUUUGACACGGGAGAGGCAGCGACUUGCUCAUGAGGCCUUAAGACUUCAUCGCAGCGCAUCGGAGGUCCCUGGAUCGGCGGAAGAAGACCAACGGGUUCUUGACUCUGCCGAUCAGAUCCGGCGUCGGGCCAUCAUGGCUAUCGAUACCCUUCUGGGUAAUAUGUAAAACACUGACCGUUUUGUACGAACAUUUACUGUCUUCUUUGACCGUCCCUUGCGACGCCCUUUCUAUUUACUGUCUUCUUAUUACCGAUGGGACGUGGCCUCACCAGAUUUCCACGCAUUUUUUUGCAUAAAUAUCGACCUCGGCGCCUACUCCCGAUAGCAUUAACUUGGCUCUCAUUUUACUUCUCUUCUUCUUCUCAUCGGCGCGACUGCUUCGUCAUGGCUUCAUCGUCCUCUUCUUCUGUUAACCAGGUGAAGCCCUGACCUUUACCUUCCCUUAGAUCUUAGGAAAAGAAUGUUCCUUCUUAUCCCUUCUUUGUUUCAGCCUCAACGUCUCAGCCCGGAGCUCGUGCGUGCCAUCGAGUGCAUCCACUCUGAGGACCCAUUGUCAUCGGAGGACAAGGCGCUGAUCUUCGCCCACCGAGAGGAACUCCAAGACCAUGUUACCGCGGAAGCCCGUAUGGUUCUGGACUCCAUGGUGAGCGAAAGUAGUCGCCGAUCCCCAACCGUCAGGGGCCAUCAUCGUGACGUUCUUGAAGACGACGUCGCUUCGGCGGCCCGCACGAUCUUGGAUUUCGUGGAGGGGAACGGCAGCCGGUGAACCCCUACUGAUAGGAACCGUCUGAUCCCUCGGCCAGUCAUCCUCGCGGCGGCAGGAGCUUCGCGUCCCCGUGUCGUGAACGAGUUGGAGCGGAACGGGAAGGUGACCAAGAAGAACAACUAGUUUGUUUUUCGUAUUUUUUGUUCUAAGGGCGACUAAUGUUUUGUCGGCCAUGUAAUCCGUCGCCCGUACCGAAUGAACGUAAUCGGCCGAUCCGGUCGACUUAUGUGUUUUGAACCGAUUUGUAUCGGCUUCGUGUGAUCAUGUUAUGGUCGGUUUCUUACGCUCCGACCCAUAUGCUAGGGUAGUAUCUUUUUAAGUACCUUCCAUUUAGAGCUCUAGUGAAUUCUUCUCCUUCUAUUGUUUCCAAAAUGUAAGCAUUUCCCGGAGCGCAUCUGCCAAUUUUAUACGGCCCUUCCCAGGUAGGGGACCAUUUUCUGAAUUUAGGAUCUUUCGACCCGAUCGGCAACACUAACUUCCAUACCAAGUCUCCGGGGAAGAACUGUUUGACUUUGACCUUCUUAUCGUACCACCUGGCUACUCUCUUUUUAUUUUCUUCAAUGCUUAUCAGGGCCCUCAGUCGUUGGCUGGCCAAAUCGUCAAGUUCCCCUUUCAUAAGUGAUGAAUAAUCGUCGGCCGAUAACUGGUCCUGGAGCGAAAUGCGUCUCGAUCCUGCCCUUGAUUCCCAUGGUAGCACUGCAUCGUGACCGUACACCAACUGGUAGGGAGACAAUUUGGUAGCCCCAUGACAAGCCAUCCUGUAUGCCCACAGGGCCUCAGUCAAACAUAGAUGCCACUUCUUUGGCUGUUCUUCGAUUUUCCUUUUGAUCAACUUGAUUAUCCCUUUAUUGGAGGACUCUGCUUGACCAUUGGCUUUUGCGUAAUACGGAGAAGAAUUUAACAAUUUGAUUCCCAUGUCGGUCGUAAACUCCUCAAAUUCCCCCGAUGUGAACAUUGUUCCUUGAUCGGUUGUUAUAGUUUGAGGGAUGCCGAAUCGGUAGACGAUAUGGUCCCUUACGAAGUCGGCCAUGAUAGCUGAUGUCACGGCUCUCAACGGGAUUGCCUCCACCCAUUUGGUGAAGUAAUCAGUAGCCACCAGAAUAAAUUUGUGCCCCUUGCUUGAUGGUGGGUAAAUUUGGCCAAUAAGGUCUAUUCCCCACCCCCUGAACGGCCAUGGCUUGAUGAUGGGAUUCAUGGCCGAUGCGGGUGCACGUUGGACAUUCCCAAACUUUUGACACUCCUGACAACCUUUAUAGUAUUUGAAACAGUCUUCGAGGAUCGUAGGCCAAUAGUACCCAUUGUUCCUGAUCAUCCACUUCAUCUUAUGUGCCGAUUGGUGUGCUCCACAUACCCCUUCAUGGAUUUCUCCCAUUAGAGUCUUGGCCUCUUCUGUCCCAAGGCAUUUGAGAAGGACUCCGUCAAUCGUUCGGUAGAACAGAUCAUCUUCGAGCAGUACAUAUUUGGUGGCAUGAAAGCGUACUCGUCGCUCCACCUUUUUGGACGGAUCCUUCAGGUAAUCGGCAAUCUCUUUACGCCAGUCGUCGGCUGCGAGUUCUAAAGCCAUAGCGCCUAGAAUCGGCCGAUACCCAGAUGCAUGCUGGGCGAGUUUGUUUGCUUCUUCGUUGCGGUCCCUUGGAACAUGUUCGAUUACUGCCGAUCUGAAUUCUUUUAAGAGCUGUAAGCAAUCUUCGUAAUAAAUUCUUAAUACGUCGUCUUUGCACUCAGCCCUUCCGGUCAGUUGAUCCACAAUAAGCAUAGAAUCUCCGAAGACCUCAACAGAAUCGACCUUGACUUCCCUCAAUAAUGGUAACCCUUUUAAUACAGCUCGAAAGUCAUCACCACCCACUCGAACAGACCAAGAUGGCCUGGGCAUCUGAAGGCCGUUUUGGGUAUAUCCUCUUCGGCCAUCAGUAUUUGAUUGUAUCCAGCGUUUCCGUCCAUGAAGCUAAUGAUUUUAUGUCCCGCGGCGGCGUCGAUCAGUACAUCGGCCGUAGGCAUGGGGUAACCAUCCAUCGGUGUGGCCUGAUUAAGAUUCCUAAAAUCAACGCAAACGCGUAACUUCCCAUUUUUCUUGUAUACUGGCACGAUAUUAGAAAUCCACUCGGCAUAACGACAUUGCCGAAUAAAUUUUGCUUCGAUUAGCCGAGUUAUUUCAGCUUUUAUGUCUGGUAAAAUUUUAGGAUUGCAACGCCGUGCGGGUUGUUGGUACGGACGAUACCCUGGCUUUAUGGGUAGCCGAUGUUCAACAAUAGAUCGAUCUAAACCGGGCAUCUCGUGAUACUCCCAAGCAAAACAAUCCUUGAAUUCUCUUAAUAAAUUUGUCAAUUUACACUUGUACUCUGGAUCUAAAUUUAUGCUAAUGAAAGUCGGCCUUGGUUUGGUUCCAUCACCUAAGUCUAUCAUCUCUAAUGAAUCGGCCGACGUGAAUCCGUGCCCUAGCUUCCCAUCUUCUCGGGCAAACUGAUCCAUCUAUUCUGAGUCUUCGGAGCCGACUGCUCGGAUCAGCUGCAGGCCAAAAUCGGUGACCUUCAGGAAAUCGGUCUCCCACACCCUACCUGAUAUGCAUCUGACAGUUUCGCAGCUCCACUGCUGUGUGUCGGCUGCUGCAAUGCUGUACGCGGAGUCGGCUUUGACCACCUCGAUGUUAUCGCCGACCCAUUGUACGAGGCACUGAUGCAUAGUUGACGGGAUGCAGCAGUUUGCGUGUAUCCAGUCUCGGCCAAGAAGCAUAUUGUAGGAUCCCUUGCCAUUAAUAACGAAAAACGUGGUAGGAAGGGUCUUACUGCCGAUGGUGAGGUUGACGCAGAGAGCACCGCGAGCGUUUGACACCUUGCCUUCGAAGUCCUUGAGCAUCAUGUCCGUCCUGGUCAGGUCGUCGUCGCUUUUCCCCAGCUUCCGGAGUACAGCGUACGGCAUAAUGUUGACAGGAGCUCCUCCGUCGACCAUCAAUCUAGUAAGGGGGCGACCGUCAACAUGCCCUUUAAGGAACAACGCCUUCAUAUGUUGUCGUUCAUCAUCUUCGGGUUUUUCAAACGUGGCCAUCAUUGGCUCCAAAGCCAACUGUGUUGUCUGUUCUUCUAUCGCCGAUACGUCCUGUUGAUCGGUGGGAGUCAUGAACUCCAUCGGCAGUAUGAAAACCAUGCCGAUCUCGGCUGCCGAUUCGUCGCCCGCCGAUUCAUCGUCUCUUUUAUCGUUCCUUUUGGGGCGCCACACCUGAGGCCUUCCUUCCUUCUUGUCUGCCGUGCUCUGUUGCUCUUCCUCUUGUUGCUCCAAUUGGCGGAGACGCUGGAUUCUCCGUUUUUGUGACUUGGUCAAUCCGUCGGGGCACCACCUGGGGUUUAUUGGCCUCCCCUCUGUCCUGGCGCGUUCCCACUCCGGUUCGCGUCCUAACGGGUUCUCGUCCGUUACCCGAGCAUCGGCCAUGUCUUCGAGCCGGCUGUGAACGCUGGCUUUGCUGUUUGACUGAUCAUGUCGAUCAGCCCUACCCCCCUGCCUAUCAUGGCGUUUAUCUUCCGACCGAUCAUAUCGGUCACUUCUGCCCCCCAGCCGAUCACGCACGGGAGGGCACUGGUCAUCUUGGUUGCGCCAAUUCCUACUGAUCGGUUCUGGCCUUCCGUCUCUAGAGCGAGACCUGUUGAACGGCCGAUUGCCUCGAUAGGGACCGUUGCACUCUGGGCAAGUAUCGGCCGAAGGUAGCCUGAGAUUAUUUUCCCAACAAUGAAUGAAGAACGGGCAUCUCCAGUGCUCCUCGUGCCGACGCAUCGCUUCUUCUCGGGACCUUGAGCGUUCAUGUUGUCGUUGGUACUUUUGGAGCAGGAACUGGGAAGUAAUGCGUGGCCCUUCUGACUUACCAUCAUCGUCCUCCAUUCGCCGCUUCCCCUUGACAUCUUCAGGCGUAGCUUGAUUUCUGGGAUCGACAGCGCCACUCUUUUUGGCCGAUUCGGACGUCAGCACUUUUGUUUGGAGAGAAUUCUUCCCCGUAUCGACCAUGUUGGUAGGAAAGGGGUGUUGGUCGAUCUUCAUUGGUUUGGCCGAUUUUGCCGGCACUUCAAAUUUGAGCCUGCCUUGCUCAAUGGCCGACUGUAUCUGUUGCCUGAAGAUCUUGCACUCGUUGGUAUCAUGUGAUGUGGCAUUGUGCCACUUGUAAUACUUCAUCGUUUUUAAUUGUUCGGCAGAAGGUAUUGUAUGGUAUGGGGAGAGUUUAAUCUGCCCUUCCUGGAGGAGAAGAUCGAAGAUUUUAUCGGCCUUAGUUGUAUCAAAACCGAACGCUUCUGGCUCCUUUUUGCCGAAUGGGCAUGAUAUCGGCUUCUUCCCCUUGAUCCACUCCGCAAGUCCAAUUUCGACAUCUUCCUCAUCCUCCAAUUCUUCCAGGAAUGCCACUUUCUUCUGGAAAUUCCUCCGUGGAUCGAAUGGACGCACCUCCUGUCCGGACAAUCGGUGAACAAUCUGGCUCAGGCUCUCGAACUCCUGUGAAGCAUAUUUCUCUUUAAUGUGUGGCAGAAGGCCUUGGAAAGCUAUAUCGGCCAACUGCGCAUCGGUUAGAGCUAGGGAGUAGCACUUGUUUCUGAUUUCCCGAAACCUCUGUAUAUACGAGGGUAUCGGCUCAUCACUCCUUUGCCGGAGGCUAGUCAAGUCGGACAGCUUCAUCUCAUGGACCCCAGCAUAGAAGUACUUGUGGAACUGUCUUUCUAAAUCGGCCCAUGUGAUAAUCGAGUUUGGUGGCAAAGUUGUGAACCAUUGGAAGGCCGAUCCGGAAAGAAAUGACGAGAACAACCGUACCCGUAGGGCAUCUUGCGUAGCUGCUUCUCCGCAUUGGAUGAUGAAUCUAUUCACAUGCUCCACGGUCGAAGUAUCAUCCAUCCCCGAAAAUUUAGUGAAGUCAGGAACUUUAUACCGAUGGGGGAACGGCAAUAGGUCAUAUGUGGACGGGUAUGGAGUUCUGUAGGUAUAAGUUUGCAUUUUCGGCUUUAAGCCGAAUUGUUCUUGCAUCACCUCCGCAAUUCGUGCCGACCAAUCUGGUUGUUGCUGGUGAACUGUUAGCUGAGGUAUCGGCACGUGCUGGUAAAUUGGAGGCUGAAUAAAAGGAGAUUGAUGAAAGGGUGGUAUCUGAGUGUAAUCCGGUUGUGUAGUAAAGGUCGGCUGUCUGAAUGAACCACUCGUUUCAUCAUAUAGCAUGAGUGCUGCUGUCUUGUUGACCUCCGGAGUGACAGGCUGGUAUGGUGGUAUGGUUGGCCGAAUGGCCGCCUGGGAGGAUGCCUGGAACGGAGGGUUUCCUUGAUUGGCCGAUUGAUUCAGACCGGCCGUGGCUAAAGGUGCCCCCCAGGGUGAUGAGCUGACUGGAGGGAACGGUGCAGAGGACAGCUGGAUGGAGCCAUAUCCCAACGGAGUUGAUGAUGCAGAUGCGCCUGAACUCCCAACAGAAAAUUGAAUCGGCUGUGAAGCCGAAUACGGAUAAGUCUGAUUUGGUGGGAUCGGCUGAAAAUAUGUAGGUCCUCUGUAUCCUUGAGGUAUGCCCCCGGUGAAGGAGUUAACAACGGCGUUGUGCACCAUGUUUGAGAGCACCGGGGACUGGUCGAUGAAGGUGUGAUGAAUAGACUGUUGAAUCAUAUCGGACAUUUUAUCCGAAUCCUCAGAAAUUGUGAUCUGACGGGGAGCAGGGAAAGGAGUCUUCUUAAUAGUCUCCCCGCUCCUGGAGCGACUGAAAGACUUCAGGCAAGCUUUCCGGAAUUGUUCCAUAUACUUGUCCAGAUCUUCCUUCUGGUCGUCCUUCAGAUCUGCUUCCAUCACCUCGAUGACGUUAUCUUCAGAGACUUCAGCAGCUUUCGACAUGACGGCGGUUGUAUUGGUCCCACCGGGCGUGCCAAAAGUGUGUUGGCGCUAGAAAUCGGUCAACCGAAUCCCAGCGACCGACACACGACCCGGGAGAAUCUGCUUAGCUCCUGUUCGGGUUAAUGCCCUGGUGCGGUUCACGCGGCGUGCCAGCCAAUCUGACCUAUUGAUUGGCAAGGAAGAAUACGUGUCAGGUUCAGAAAUCGCGAUCGGCUAUGUUCCGAUCUCGAGAGAGUUUAUCAGCAAGUCGGCCGAUUUACUAUGAUAAUGAAAUCGGCUAUAAGACAGCCCGAUUUCUGUAGCCUUGUAGACAGGAAAUUGCUAAAGUAAACGGUACAAAGCUAUGAUAACAACACCAGGAAUAGAUCUAAUCGGCAAUAAAUAAAUUUAACAAUAGAAAACAGAGAGAGCCGACACUACCGAUUCCUAGUUGGAUAACUGGUGAUAAAGACUAGAAAAACAGGUUAAACCUAUGAAUCUAGCAAAUAUCGAUAACUGGUGAAUAAAUCUAAACAAAACAACAGCGAUACGCCCGAAGUCAAAGCUUACAUAUUACUCGAUAAUCGGAACUUACAGAAUCGGCCGGAGAUCAAGAUGAUGCAGCCCUGCCAACCCGCACGAACUCGUGAAAGGAGAAAAAUAAUGGCGAAGUCGCCUGCUUGAAAGUAAGUACGAAGAAAAAGUAGCUUGUUGUAUUGAUUGGUUGAUGAUUACAGAUUUACAAAGGUAGCUAUUUAUAGCCCCGUACAGAUAACUUCUUAACCGACUAGAAUUCUAUCCCUAAUUCAAAUAGAAAACAAAUAUCUACAAGCACAAAUCGUGCUAAGUUAGUUACUCCACGCUUCGUGGGCUGACUUCCACCUUAUUCUUCUAUCCCCCUUUCCAAGCCCAUACAGGCCCAAUUAGCCCAUCUUCCAAAUCGGCCGAUUCCUUAUCGGCAAAAGAUUACCGAUCGGGAUCCUGGUGCAUUCGACCCAAAGCAAGACAAAAGUCACCGGCCGAUUUCGCACUAUGGCACCAUUUGGCCGAUUCCCAACUGUGCUUCUCCGAUUCCCCUUCUUCUUGGCACCGAUUCUUCUAGUGACGAAAUCUGGCGUCAACAGAGAGGAAAUAUUUGUGUUGUAUUUUCUAGCUGAGCUACAAACGAGCUUCUGCUUAAUCAUUAUUGCUCAACGACAAGUUUCUGAUUGUUUGAAAAUUUCCCAUAUUUCUAUGGUAAUAUGGCCCUGUUUGGUUCCUCUUGCUAAAGUUUAGUUGCUAAAAGUUGCUAAACUUUAGUUGAUAAAGAUUAGCCAAGGCUAUUUGGUUGCCUUUUCUAAAAGGUAUUCAAUGAGAAGGAUAAAGACUUGUUUGCCCCUUCUUUUCUCCCUCCUCCCAUCUUUUUCUCCGUCCUCCCUGGUUCCCUCCUCCCUGGUUCAACCGCCAAGGUCCUUGGCGCCAGUUUCCUGAAGGUUGCGCCAGGGGAGUUAGCGCCAUUUCUUCCUGGCGCCAUGCGCCAUUUCUACCUUGCGCCAAGGAACAAAAUGGCUUGCCACGGUGCUGGCAGCCAUUUAUUUUUUAUUGAAGCCAAAAAUUGUUGUGCAUCCCAAAAAUUACAUUGUUACAAAAAAAAUAAAGGUAUCUAUGACCUAUUGAACAAUCCAUCGGCUAUCCAAUCCCGAAACUGGUUCAUGCUUUGAUCUUCAUCUCCAUGUUGGGUAGUACCUUCAUUUGCUUGAGAUGAUGCUCCUUCUGAAGGUGUAGCAUAGUUUUCUUCAUGAUCCGCACUCUCAAAAUCAACAUCAGCAAUAGCACUCUCUCUAAUGAAAUUAUGAAUUGCCAUGCAAGCAAUAAUUAUUUGACUUUGCUUUGCCAUUGGAUAAGCUAGUAAAUCGCGCAAAAUACACUAUUUGUUCUUCAAAACUCCAAAAGACCUCUCGAUGACAUUUCUUAAUGAUGAAUGUGCAUAAUUGAACUGCUCCUUUUUACCUCUUGGAAGUGGUCCGGCUCGGAAUUCUAGUAGAUGAUAUUUUGUACUCUUGUAUGGGGCAAGAUACCCAGGUCGGUUUGCGUAUCCAGAGUCCACAAGAUAACACUUUCCUGCGCAUCAAUAGUACCCGUGUUACAUAUAUGCAGAAACAUUCAUACUACGCGAAGAAUUGUAUCAUAGAAGAUGUAAGUACCUUCGGGGGGAUGUGGAAAUUUAUCGCCAUACUUGUUCAAUGCAUCUUUGAAGACCCUCAUGUCAUGAACCGAUCCAGGCCAUCCCGCAACGACAAAAGUAAAUCUCAUGUCGAAGUCACAUAUGACUAACACAUUCUGGCUAGUGUACCCAUGUCGUCCCGUAUGUUGGACAACCUUCUCUGCUGGUACAACAACAGGCACGUGUGUCCCAUCUAUAGCUCCAAUGCAAUUAUCAAAGUAUGGAGAGAAUCGUGGAGAUUUCAACUUCUGAUGCCCAGUACUAAAUGUUGUGUCAACUAGUCUAAUGAUAUCCCCUACUAGUUUGGAAAUAUUGUGCAAUACUUUAUCAAACUUCCUACUACAUGUCCAAGUUGACCUAACAAAACGAUCUUCAGCUUGCCUCAUGCUUUGAGGGGCACCACACAUCCAUAGGAAUAAAGCUAAAGACUCUACUGAUAUCAUUCUCCUUGUAGACUUUAAUCCAUAAGAUUGGACAAGGAGAUUAUGAAGCCUAUCAAAUACAUCCCUAUUCAUCCUGAACAUGUUGUAGCAAGAUGAUCUAUUUCCUAAAAUUUUGAUAACCCAUUCAUAUCUAGAUUAUGUAGGCACCCUAUAUUGUGAUCUGUUCAAGUAUGUGCCAUAAUAGUACAUUGUAACGACCUCGGUUAAAAUCCUUCACGUUAAUCUUAAUCCGAGUCCCUGAUCCCCUGUUUCCGUUUUUCCCGAGUUUAAGUACUCCACCUCCAGUCCGAUCCCGACCCCUGUGAUCCGGCCCCUCCCUGCCAUUUCCCCAGUCCCGACCCCGCCGACCCCAACUCACCACCGGAUCUAUCUAAGUCCUCCCACAAUGCUUCCCUUCAAUCUGAGCAGUGGACCACCGAGACUGACCGGUGGACCCACGAGAUAUUUCUCCCCGAUCUCCCGCGACAGACGCACUCGUGUUGCACGCCCGCUUCAGAGUUCUCUUGCCGCGUGGCUCAACUUCUUCGACGCCCGCCGCUCCGCCCCAUCACUGGCCACGACCGGAUGGAUUCUCGCGCCCCCUUCCCCAAUCGCAACGGAAGCUCCUCUGCUACCCUUUCUAUAGCACCUCGCCACCCGCGCCCAUCAUCACCUCGCUAGAUCCCGGCUACAGAGCCCGAUGCCGCUCGUCUUUUCCGUUGCCCCUCCACAGUCGCGCCGCCCCGGUCCUCGCUACGCGACGAUUCCUCCUCUGCCAACCCAGACCACGGCAGCGACAGCUCCUUUUCCCGCCCUGUCAGAGCUCCGCCCCAAUAAUCUGUUGCUCCACGCUCACCCGCACGACCGCAGUCGCCUGUCUUCUCACCUGUGCGCCCUCGUUUCUAGCGCCGUUCCCGCGGUCACUUCCAUCAGAUCCACCGCACGACGACGCCCGCCUCCGCCAAAUCUCAACCACCGGCAAACCCGCGCCUGCGCCGCCCUGUCAUCGGUGCCCAAUGACCACCGGUGUCAUCCCCAAAGCCCUGCUCCACCGCCCUCGUCGCUCAAUCGCCGCCCCAGCAGCGCACUCCAUCGUUUCUUCCCCGGUCCUUGCACCGCUCCAACCUUCUCUCUUCCGCGCAGCUAUAAAAGGGAAUGCCGGAGCCCCGCCGGAGUUUCCCUUCGCCAUCGCUACCCUCCCGCUUUGCUCCUGGUUCGUGCUCACAGCGCCACCGCCUAAGUUCUGAGGAACUCUCCUCUCCACUCCACACCGCUCUCUCAAUCUGCCCAAGCCUGUUCUUUCCCGACCCCAAGCUUCACCUGUAAGACGAAGGUAAGCUACCGACCCUUUGUUCGUCUCGUCCGACCCCUCCUAUCUGCCCGACCCUGGUUCCGUCUCGCCCGACCCUGUCUAUUCCGCCGACCUUUCUCCGCCUCGCCCGAGGGUUCGGCUGUAUCUUUUUCCUUGAACCGAGGGUGUAUGUGUAAAACUUGGGGACUUUUCAGCGUUAAGUCUGAGGACCCCUAGCACAUCUAUUCCUCUAGAUGAAGGGUCUGAUCAUAAGUUCCUUUCCAUCCGACCCUUAUAUCUUGAUCUCCAUCAACUCAAGCGAACCUCCCCACCCUCCUGUAACUUGCCGCAAGUUUCUGGGCUCAAACUUGUAGGUGUUGUUGUUGAAAUAACCAUCAAAAUGCUGACCCAUGCAUUGCAUUCGUGUAGAGCUACGUCUCGUCGACGGCUUCUACGAGCUGCACCCAGCGCCAGAAGACGAAGGUGUGGUCAAGCUCCCGCCUCCAAAAGCCAAAGCCGUCCAAGCAGAAGAACAGUUUUCCUCCCCCUUGUUCGAAGGCAAGCCCCGGAUGCAUGAAAUCCCCUGUGUUUUACCAAACUUGCGCAUGCCUUCUUUAUCAUGCUUGUGCAUUUACGUAUAGGAGUUGUUUGGAACCAUAGAUGCAUAACUUAGAUCCCUUUAUCUGAUCACUAGCUGUUGGACCGAGUAGAUGCUUUGCUUAAAUAGGAAACGGUAAAAGCCGAGUGAUUUCCUGUCACUCGUGAGUUGUAGGAGUUGGCUGUUCCUCUUCUGUUACAACUAUAAGGACGAUGGACGGGGCAAGGUUUUGGGUAACUCUUUGGUGGUCGGUUGAUCGCCCCGUCUGUCUAUGGAACUUGCUAAGGCCCGACAGUGGUGGUGUUCGUGAUCAAGUGUUUGAAAGUACUAAUCUCAUACCUAGUAUGGGAUGGGGAAGCCUAGUACCUGAUUGAACUAGGGCGUGGCUUAUACCCCUGCUGUCCCGGGUGCAAGUGCGGUCACAGUACGGUAGAGACCGGGACUGUGGAGCAUUGCAUGCCAAGGGAAGUUUAGACCUGACACACGCCUGGGAAUUGAUGGGGACGGCCGACACGGGAAGCGACCCUUGUGGUGCGCGGAUGUCGUGAGAUUAGGUUUGCCAUGCAUGGUUAAGAAACCCGAAUCGAUUCGUCUGCCUCUCACAGUUUGAGACUGCUUGAUCGCUAUGUCACCCUAAGUAACAAAGGAAUAUGAUGAUAACAUGGUCUUGAUGAAGUUAUCUACAUAUACCUUUUGGUUGGUUCUAUGGUUGCUUAGAAUAGGUUGCAAACUUAGACCGGAUAAUGAACUCAGAACCAGAGCUAAAACUUGAAAGUAGGGAUACACAUAGCGCUUUUGGGCAAACAAACCCCUCAGCCAAAAAGGCCUUGCAUGUCUAGAAGUGGUGGAGUAGCGUACUCCCUGUCGGUUAAGUCUUGUUGAGCUUAGUAGCUCAGCCUUGUUGUGGCUCUUCUUUUUCAGGUGAAGUUGCUGCCCUUGAGCCCUCCUCUGUUGGCACUUGGCCGCCCCAACUCCCUCCGGGUUGGACGGUUGAGUGGUAUCCCUCCUUGGACGGCGAGGAGAGGGAUCACUGAUGUCCCGGUUGGCCUCACCAGGGAUGUCCGACCCCGACGAAGUAGCUUCCGCUUGUUGUUUUACUUUCUGUUGUUUUCUUAUAAACAGUGUAAAACUCAGAUGUUGUUUUCGGAAUUGGUCUAAAUGGUUAAGUUGGUUAACCGGUGGACUUAUUGUAUUCUCUGGAACCGCUCACCUUCGUGUGAGUUUGCUAUUCGGUCCUGUUCAAAUGGUUAAAUCGGAUGAAAUCCGACGGCACUUCGUGUUUACUUGGUUAAGGCAUGAGUGUCGCAUAUCAGGCGGCUUAAUCAUGUUUAGUCAAGCAAAUCCGAAGUGGAUCUGCCACAUACAUACUGAGCAAAGCACCAACGGCAACAAGUUCUCUUCUUAUCCUUUUCCUCUUAACCAGCCAGUCAUCAACAUAAUCAAACAAGUCAACCUGUACACACAUUGAAAUGCCAUGGAUCAGCCAUGAAAUAGUUCUCAACAAGGCAGGAAAUCAUAUCUCACAUGACAAUCAAAUAGUCCACAGAAGAUAGUAAAUCAGUUCUCACACAACAACUAAAUAGUCCACACAUGACAGAAACAUAGUUCACACAAAUUUCUUAAAUAGUUCUAACUAUCUAAUGACAGAGGCAACACUUCAUGACAGCUACUUGUUGUUGCCUACACUUCAUGACCUACCAAAGUACUUCCCACACUUAAUUUGCAACCAUUUCAACCUUGCUUCUUUUAUCUUCAAUGUGCCAAAAGCUUUUCUGUUUAGUCUAAUGGUAAACAACUCCAUAGCAACAAAGUACUCUUCUGAUGCUCCACACUCCUGUGCCAUAACAAGGCUUUCUUUGAACUCCUCUUUUUCUUUAUCCUAAGAAUGCCUUCUAAAUUCCAACUACAUCUCCUUCUGCUUCAAUUGUUGUUGCAGUUCCAUUUCCCUCUGCUUCAACUGUAACUCCAUCUUAACCCUCAUGGUAUUAUUAUCUUCAGAGCUGCUAGCUUGCAUAGUGUCUAUGAGGCCCUUGAACAUGCUAAAAAAUGGACUUUUACUCUUCUUUGGAGGGCUUGAUGCUGUAUCAUUUUUACUGGUACUCCUUUUUUGGAUGCCAUUACUCAUAGGGCUCUCUUGAGGGUAGUCGUCCUCAUCCACCCGUAAGUCAUCUUCAUCAGGGAACUCCUUAUCCUCAUCCACAUCUCCAUCUAUGCUAGAUGUUGAUCCAGAAACAACCUUUUUGUGGAACAUCUCAUGCAAUAGCUCAACAUAGUGAGGUAUGAAUCUGCUAAAUUUACUGCAUUCUGGCGACUGCAAUCCAAUGACAGAGGAAUUCAGAAACUAUGUACCUUGGAACAAAAAAAAGUAAAUAGCACAAACAAAAAAAACUAUCUACCUUGCUGUUAUCUUUCCACCAUUUCUUCAAAGCUAAAAUUGCUCCAUUACUUUUUCUACCUAAACCUGAUUGUUUCAUCGCCAAAUUAUAAAAUUCAUAUAAUUUCCUGCUUUGUGUCCACCUAUUUCUAAAUUGCUUGAUUUCAUGCUUGAGGUUAGUCCUUUCCUUGAAUUUUGCAGCUAUUUCCUUGAAAUCUCUAGAAUUCACCACCCCACCUGUUGCAUUGCCUAAACAGAUUUGUUCCACAGAUAAUUCACAAAAAAUGCCUGUGUUUUUUCCUCCAGUUUGCUUUGUCAUAUUUGUUCUAACACAAAAUGCAAAACAUAAAUACUCUAACAAAACAAGAGAUGCAUACUACUCUAGGAGCACAGGACGCUUACAUAAGGUUCGUUCCCAGUUUCGUCGCCCAAUUCUUCAACAUCCUCUAUGUUCAUGGAUGAUGAAAAGGCGGCAGGGGCUGGGCCUCGUCCCAACCUCCCCCGAAUAGGUUGCUGGAUAGGAGGACUAGCAUCUGAAAUGUAAGAGGAGCAACAAUCAGAACCAGCAACGACAAAUCACCAAGAACAAACACCAAGAUGAACCAAGUCAACACAAAAAAAAGAGGUAAACCUGCACGUGGCGAAAGUGAAGCAGUAGCACUCCUUCCACGGCCACGGCGACCAUCACGUGCGGUGACACCCCUUCCCCGACCGAUGGAAACACCACCAUCGCUCUGACGGGGAGGUUGAAACGAGCCGAGAUGAUCACCAUCGCCGCGUCCUCUUCCAGACUCUAGAAUAUCGGAGUACUCAUCGAGGUAGGGGAAUGCCUCAUCCUGGGAGUUGAGGUCAAGAUCCUGCAUGUUAACCCUCCCAACCGAGAGAGAUGGAGCCGCCCGAGCACGCGACGGGUCUUGGGACAGGAACUCCAACUCGUUUGGAUCGGGUAUGGCAGCAGGAUUAGGGAAAGAAGGGGCCGCCGAGGAUGAAGCACCCUGCGAUAACCAAUCACGGUAUCCAUCCAUCUGCUCGGAGCGGUUGCGGUGGGGAUGGGGCAAGGGGAGGUGGCGGCGGCGAUAGGGAUGGUGCAGGGGGACGUUGGUGGCUGCGGUGGGGAUGGGGCUGGGGAUAUUUGCACCGGCAAUGGAGAUGGAAUAGGGAGAGGCACCGACGGGGAGGAGGAUGGAGAAGAGGCUGUUGGCGGCGGCGAUAAGAAUGGAUCCGGGUGUUGCGGCGGCGAGGAUGGCGGAUACGGGGUGUGGCAGCGGGACAGAUCCGGGGUGGGGGUGGGGGGAGGGGGAAUAUGGGAUGCGGAGAUGGGGAUGAAUCCGGGACCUACGGCGGAUGGGGUGCGAGCACCGGCGGCGGGGCUAGACUGCAGGAGCCGGCGGCGGUGGAUGCGUGGUGGCGGCGGCGGCGGAUGCGAGGAGCAGAGGAGUGCGAGUGCGAGUGCGGGAGGGGUAGGGAGGAAUGGAGGAUGCGGGUGGGGUGCGAGUGCGCACCAGACAACAAUAAAUGAGGGUAUAGGGUGUCUAGCACCACCUUUUAGCAAGUUUAGCAACCAAAAUCUUGCUAAAGUGCUAAACUUUAGCAACUAAACUUUAGCAAGUUUUAGUAAGGGUGUUUGGCAGUUUAGCAAGUAAAAGUUGCUAAACUUUAGCAACUAAAGUUUAGCAAGGUGGAACCAAACACCACCUAUGCCAAUCAUCCCAUGAGAACAUUAUUGCUUACUUGGAUUCCUAUAAUAAUUGUUUAUCUUAUUUUAUUUAUAAAUUAUUUAUCAUGUUUUAAUUAUACACGUGCCCAGCACAUCACUGGUGUUCCGAAGGAACCUUACUGUAAAUUUGAUUUCCGCAGCAAGCAUGACCCAAAAUUACAUGAAACGGGACGCUAAAGGCGUUUGGUUACUUUUUGCUUAUUUUUUAGCACAUGUCACAUCAAAUGUUUUAGGUACUAAUUUAGGAGUAUUAAACGUAGAACUAUUUUACAAAAACCUAUUGCAUAAGUGGAGGCUAAACGGCGAAGACGAAUCUAUUAANNNNNNNNNNNNNNNNNNNNNNNNNNNNNNNNNNNNNNNNNNNNNNNNNNNNNNNNNNNNNNNNNNNNNNNNNNNNNNNNNNNNNNNNNNNNNNNNNNNNUCCCAUGAGAACAUUAUUGCUUACUUGGAUUCCUAUAAUAACGGUUUAUCUUAUUUUAUUUAUAAAAUUAUUUAUCAUGUUUUAAUUAUGCACGUGCCGAGCACAUCCACUUGUGUUCCGAAGGAACCCUUACUGUAAAUUUGAUUUCCGCAGCAAGCAUGACCCUUACACGAACGGGACGCUAAAGCCUAAAUGAUUUUGUUGGCCCGUAUGUUCCGGAUCCGAAAUUAGGUACGGAGCAUCCGCUUUGUGCGUCCCCACCGUCCCCCUUCCCUAAUGUUUGAAUGUUUGAACACUGAUUAGAAGUAUUAAACAUAGGCUAAUUACAAAACCUAUUUCACAACCCCUAGGCUAAAUCGCGAGACGAAUCCAUUAAGCCUAAUUAGCCCAUGAUUUGACAAUAUGAUGCUACAGUAAACAUUCGCUAAUGAUGGAUUAAUUAGGCUUAAUAGAUUCGUCUCGCGAUUUAGCCUAGGGGUUCCGCAAUUAGUUUUGUAAUUAGCUCAUGUUUAGUCCUCCUAAUUAGCAUCCGAAUAUCCGAUUUGACUCGGCCUAAAUUUUAACUCCAGGAUCCAAACACCCCCUUAUCUCUUUCCAACACCAAAACCACCAUUUUCCCUUUUUUUUUCCCUCUUCGUCACCAUCACGGCAGCACCACUGCUACGAACCCUAUAUAGCUCGGCUCCGCCAUCCCUCCCCUACGGGCUACGGCCCCUACCGGCCAGAGUUCAUCUCACAGCCAGACUUCUCGUUCGUGCUCUCAACAGCUCUCUCUUCUCUCUCGACGAUUCGUGCUCGUCAACUCUGGUNNNNNNNNNNNNNNNNNNNNNNNNNNNNNNNNNNNNNNNNNNNNNNNNNNNNNNNNNNNNNNNNNNNNNNNNNNNNNNNNNNNNNNNNNNNNNNNNNNNNNNNNNNNNNNNNNNNNNNNNNNNNNNNNNNNNNNNNNNNNNNNNNNNNNNNNNNNNNNNNNNNNNNNNNNNNNNNNNNNNNNNNNNNNNNNNNNNNNNNNNNNNNNNNNNNNNNNNNNNNNNNNNNNNNNNNNNNNNNNNNNNNNNNNNNNNNNNNNNNNNNNNNNNNNNNNNNNNNNNNNNNNNNNNNNNNNNNNNNNNNNNNNNNNNNNNNNNNNNNNNNNNNNNNNNNNUGCCGGCGGUAGCAGGGCAGUCCAGUUCAUUGAACCUGGACUGUGGAUGCCGUCGCCCCAAAUCUUGCAUGCGCAGGCGUUAGUAAAGUCCUUGAUUUAUUUACAUGUCGAAGCUGCGCAUCAUGGCGGGCACGCCUUUCUCCUUCACCUUUUUGUCAUGUGAUGAUUUAUUUUAGCAACAGGAAAAUAUGAAUUAACUGAUUUGUUUUUCAAAUCGAAAAGGUUUGGUUCGUUUAGCUCUUGGAUCCUGGUUUGUGUUGAAUUAAUGAAUUAUAUUAUGACUUUGCUACCUUUUUAUAGGAGGUACCAUCUUAAUAUUUAAACAUAAUUUAUUAAUGUUUGUACUCUUAUUUCUGUGAUUUACAGUGUGCUCCGCCACUGCUAUUCAGAGCUGUCAGCAGAGCCCCAUUGAAGCCCGCAGCCCCAUGGAAGUCCAAUCGAAUCGUCUCUUUUCCAUCCCUGACUGGGUGGUUCUGGAUCAUCAAAUCUUCCCCAAGGACCUCGACUCCUUUCGCAACAACGCGGUGACAUCUGCAGAAGUAUGCGCUAGCAAUAGCGAACUGGUUCGCGUCUCCUUCAUUCUUAGUGCGCUGCCGGGUACAUCCCGUCUAUGCGUGCACCUCAAGGAGGGGCACGAGCUGUCCUGCUUGGACACUGUGGUGGCGGCCCACGGCAAGGCCGUCCUCUUCCGACUGAAGGUCGACUUUGAGGGGCUGACGGGCAAGGCGAUUGACUACUUCAUCUACUGGGCCUACACCUCUGGCCCCAAGCUCUCACUGGUCCCGCGCUACUACUCGACAGUAAAGGAGAUUGCAGCAGCAGAGGAGGGAUCCUGGAGGAGAAGGCUACGGUAUCGUAUGGCAAACUAUAGAGGUAUUGGCCUCUUGCUCACUGGCGAUUCAGAAGAAUUCGUGGUGGCUGAGCUCCGUCUUAAUCUUUCCAAGCUUGAAGACGAUGUAGAUGCACCUCUGGAAGGUGAGCUAUUCAGGCUCCGCUCGGAUGGGGCAGGCGCUGCUGGCGAGUGGGAGGUUAAGAACACGAGCGUCCGUGAUGGCAAGCCUACAUUUCGUGACAUUCAUGGUUGGUGGGAAGCUCACAAGGUUGUUCCUUACGCCAGGUACCUGUGCUGGGUGGACUACUACAGGGGUGUGAUCUUUUGCGAUGUGAACAAUGAUAACCCUGAGCUUCAGUACCUCGCGUUGCCUGUGGGUUAUGUUUUGCCUGGCUACCCUGUUCCCUUCCGCAGCGUAUUGCCACAGGUAUUCCGGGCUGUGUGCAUCACCAAGGAUGAAACAAUGAAGUUCAUCAAUGUUGUCCAUGAUGACAGUUUCCCAAUGGUAUCUGCUGGUUCUAGUUUCACCAUUGUUAUCUCGACAUUGGUGCAUGACUAUGAUGAAAUGAGGUGGCAGGAGGAUCUCAAGAUAGAGUCGCAUGAGCUCUGGGAGAUGGAAGGUUACGAUGAUCAGCUUCCACGCAUUGCGCCGCUGUUCCCACUGAUGAGUGUGGACAACCCCAACAUCAUCUACUUCGUGUUGAGGGAGAGGAAAACUCUUGAUGCUGGUGCAAAGACUUGCGUGGUUACCCUGGACAUGGUUAACAAGAAGGUGUUGUCAUAUAAAGAUAUCAAAGCCAUCCCUGAAGAGGAUCCCGUGAUGGCCUCUUACAAUAUCUUCUUAAAUGUGCCUUUCUUUCCUAGUGAAUUCUCCAAGCACUUGCAAAAGGCUGCUCCAAUGUAAGUUUGUGCUUCCUGUUUGCACAUUCUCAUUAAGUAGUUACUCCCUCCAUCCCAAAUUAUAAGUCAUUCCAAGAAUCUUGGAGAGUCAAAGUAUCUCAAGUUUGACUGAAUUUAUAUGAUAAUAUAAUAACAUUUAUGAUGUCAACUAAGUAUCAUUAGAUUCUUCAUCAAUUAUAUUUUCAUAGUAUACCUAUUUGAUGUCAUAAAUCUUUAUAAUUUUCUCUAUAAUUUUGGUCAAACUUGAGAUACUUUGACUCUCCAAGAUUCUUGGAAUUACUUAUAAUUUGGAAUGGAGGGAGUAUUUGUUAUGUUUUCCAUUCUUUUUACAUGCAUAUAAUUCGUGUUCUGUGUACCCUUGUUGAUAUGUUUAUCUACUUCUCUAGUUCUUGGAUAAGGUAAUGAAUCAUGAUGAAAUAAAUAGGAUUAUCCAUUUUGAAGUACAACAAAGUAACAAUGCUAAUGCACUUUCGCGGCCUGUUUAUAUACGGAGGUUGGGAUCCAAAUCCGUAGGUUCAGUACAAAAUUGAACUAAAUCUCAAAAUUUCCUAGAGCCAUCUUCCCUAUCCAUGCAGGUCUGCAAUGUUUCAUCUAUUCACCUCUUCCUUUUCCCUUUCAGUCCAUCCAUUUAGUUUACUCCCACUCUCUGAAACAACUACUGUGCUGAUUGUUGUUCAGCCAUUGAGUGUUUUUUUGUUUGUCUGUUCAGGUGUUGUUCUUUGGUUUUAACACAUUCCUGUGUCCAUCUAUUUUCUAAACCUGUUUUCUGGACGGUUCUUAGCAGUCACGUUAAAAGAAUAUGCAUGUAGGAGCUAUUACUCCACUGUUAUUUAUGAUGCUUCUUUUUGUAUUUGUUAACUUAAGUUUCUUGCUGUGUCAUGAAUUAUAUAAAUAUUUUGUAUGGUAAAAUCCUUAUUACUCCUGCUACAACAGUCUCCCAAAAGCCUCCAUAUAUGCUUUUAUCAAUAAACUCAUGUUCCAGUUUUACAUUAAGUUGGGGAAAUGCAAAAUGUAUCUUCCACAUUCUAUACAAUGUUAUCAAUCUAGUUAGUAUAUUAUUUAAAUUAUGCUAGAGAAGACAUGGAUCUAUUGUAAAUUGACUUUGUAAAGAACAUAUUUAGCAGAUACAUUUUUUUAUAGAUUACUUUUAUAUUGGUCAUCGAACUAAAUUUAGAAGUUCCAUAUCUAUGUCCAUAUUCUAAUUAAUCUGAUCGAGUAGCUUUAUUGAAGACUUAUUGAAAUAAGUUUACCGUGAAUUGUGCUAAGUUCUAUUGAUUUGGCUGGCCUGAAUUUUACCCAAAAACAUACUUAAAGGGCAUGAAGUUUAAAUUAUGAUCACACCAUCUUCAUUAUCGUUCUUGAUCAUUAGGGUUGAAUAUAAGAUCUGUCCUGCCAUGUUGAAUUUCUGAUUCAGUUAUUUCAUAUUUUGAUGCCCCUCUGAUGUUCAAAUCCUCAAACGUGUAUGAUGUUUGCCUAAAUGAUUGGAUCAUUGCUAGGAGUUAAAGACCAUGAGGACAAGACUGAAUUGAAGUACGAAGUUUGUCCAUUCUAUAUGUGUGGCGCUCCCUGGCAAAUAAAUUAUUUCACAAUGAUGCGUCGUCACUAUGUUACUAUGAGAUCAAAAUGUCACAUGUUGUUAAUGUCACUUCUGAAACAAAUAUAUCUUCAAAUUGAUAGGAGUAGAAAUCAGUUGCUGUUAUUAGGGAGAAAUCAGUUGUUGCAGAAAUGUUUUGGCCUUACAAGGUCUACCAUGUAUUUUGCUUUUUGUCAUCACGUUUUCCUUUAUUAAAAUGUUCUAGGAAAAAAUUGCAAAAUAUAUUGCAUUCCGGUACAUGAUAAGUAGAGUUUAGGAUGUCAUAUUUGUGUUACUCUACUCUCUUUUGACAUGUGCAGUUUUACGUUUCUUAAUAAAACACACAACUUUUCUAGAAAAUUCCAAACUUUCGUGUAUAUUACAUAAUAAUGUGCUACAGCUGAACAUGGAAUGUACUGUUUUCUCCAUCUCAGGUAAGGAGUAACAAUUUGGUUCAGUUCUAGUAGCUUGAAAAGGUCCCCCUUUUGAAGUAGUUAGGGCCCUUUGCAGUUGCAAUUGCAGUGGUGUGCAAUUGAAUUAGUUAAAGCUUUUUGAAAUUCUUGUCAGAUUUUGUUGUUCCAACAUCAAUUUUUUUCACUCAGCUAUCUGAUGCAACCAAAGAUAGAAACAUGUUUUUUUUAAAAAGAAAAACAACACACUGGUGAAUGGAUAUUUAGUAUUAUGCCUCUUCUAGGUUGUUUGGAUCUUUCGUUCUAAAUUAUAUGUUAUUGAUUAGGGUUAAAUGGUUUUCUUAAGAGAGCGUACUUACAUGUUUGUGUGUUUUUACCGUAAAGUUUCGAAAGGCCAGGACAGAAGGUGCUGGGUGGACAGCCUCUGCUUGCCCACCACCUAGAUACAGUUAACACUGGCGUUAACCGCAUCUGUCUGGAAAGCAUUUCUGAGGAUAUCCCCUUACAAGCAGAUUUGUUCUUCCCUCUGAGUUUAAUUUGAUCUGUUGUUCUUGAUGCUCAGUUUUUUUGUUCCCACACGUAUGUUGAAAUGCAGAACAGACCUUUAUUUUUGUGUUAGGUUAAGAUCCGUCCUGCUUAUUCUUUACUGAUACUUGCAAUAAGGUUAAUUGCUCCUGGUCAUUAUUAGUUCACUUCAGAUAUUUUCAACGAAGCUCACUCCAAAUACUUUCUUAUUUGUGUAGGAAGAAGAAAGAGAGCCAGGAAGUAAUUGGCUGUUGAUGGGCUGUCUGCUAGCACUGCGUCUGAUAUCAAACGGCAGCGGUUCACUUUCUUAUACUGUCAGUUGAUCCACUUGCUUGCUUUUGUGGGUUGCCAUCUGUCCGAGUGACUUAAAGUUUAGCUCAAGACCGUCAAUCUUACCAUCUGGUUUAGACGUUUGUACUGAUGUUUUUAUAGUCGAAACUCGAAAGGAUGUUUCUGCUGGCAUAUUUGUGUUGCCUCUGUGUAUACGAGGCACGACAUUUGCCGUACCUACUUAUGUUGUGUAUCAUGCACUUUAGCACUUAUCUAUAUAUAAAUUAUAGACGGUAGUAAUAGAUGGUGCUGAAAAAUGUCGAGAAACCUAAUAUACACGGAGAAAACAAAAACAUGAUUAUUUUUGGAAAGUAGAAAUCACAGCGCUGAUCAUAAUAAUCAAUACUCUCCGCUUGAAAAAUAAAAUAUUUUAAUUUUAUCUUAAGCUAUUUUUUCUAACUUAAAUAUAAUUUAUGUAAAAUAUAUUAACACCUAUAAUACCAAAUUAAUACAUUAUCAAUAUACAUAUUAUGAUCGAUUUAAUUGAUUUAAUGCUGUAUAUGUUGGUAUAUUCUCUUUACAAACUUAGUCAAAAUCAGAGGAAGUUGACUUAACAAAACUAAAAAAUUGAAUUUUGAAAUGGAUAGAAUAUAAUUACGUCGGUGUUGCAAACAGAGGAAACACUUAUUAUAGCACAUCAUACUACAUCAUCGUGUUAAAGAAAAAGAGAGUCUACCUAACGUCCAACAUAUCGAAGGUUGGCGUAUCUCAAUUAUAAAAUUGGAUAUUUGGUAAUUUCUAAAAUUUGGGAAAUUAUUGAAAUGACCCUGUUAGGUGAUUUUGCCACGCUGGUGGACCGAUUGACACGUGAUCCCUACCUUCUAGAUGAGCCGGUAGUAACUUUGUAUGGGAUCAAAAACUUAAGAAUUUGAUGGAGAAAUAGUAUAUAAAUUUUGUCUUCGAGGCCACAGUACAUGUAGUCAUAGUCGGCGCAGCGAUGCAUCUCAUCUGCCUGAUGACGACGGUCCUCGCGUUCAAUGUUGUGGUUGAGUCCAGGAGCGUUGUAGUCACAGUCGAUAACGACGGUCCUCUCAUAGUGGCAGUUGUUGAGAUUGGGACGGAUGUCACACUGCUGGCGAAGGUCGCGCAGCUCUUCACGAAGAUCAUGUUGCUGUUCUAGUCAGCCACGAUCGCCAUCAUCGCCUCUCGCGCAGCGACGGCGAUUGUCAUUGUUGUUGUGGUGACGGCGUUGUUGGCGUUGUCGUUGGUAGGAGGGUUGACGUUGUUGUUGACUGGUGGGUGGGCUGGUGGGUUGGCAUUCUGGUCCACCACUUCUUCACAAAUUGGCUCCAGCCGACCUCCCGCGCGGUCACCUCGUCGAUGGUCGGAUUUGCUAUGCCUGGAUCAGCUCUGAGAAUGCCUAGAGGUUGCGGAUCGAGAGUGGGCUUGUCGAUUGAUCUGAGUCUCGAUCUAGGCGUUGGUGACCUGAAGUCGAGCCGGGAUCCUUCGAAUUUGGUCGGAUUCUGGGAGAUUUUCUAGGUCAGCAAUGACAACACCCAGAAUGGCCUGAGGUGUGGUGAAGACGUUGUGGUCGGCCUGCUCGAGGUCGGCUAAUAGGUUGCGGGCAUGUACGGGGCGCCUGCCACUGUACCGAGCACCACCUUGGUCGGCAUCGUCAUAGUCAUUGUGCGGCUGUUGGCGCUGGUCACCCGUUGCAUCUGCGUUAGCAACAGUUUGCUGGUGAGCAUUGGCUUGCUCCUGUUGGCGCCGAGCUGCGCGAUCCCAACUCCUAGCGUUACGACCUUCAUCUUGAGAUUUUGUUUCGCCAUCACGGGGUGGCUCAUCAGCGGAGAGCAUGUAAGCUUCGCGAUCUGGCGUGGAGGAGUUGCUCUCAUCGUCACUUCCAUACGGAUUUCGCGAUAGGACGAUGCGAGGCACCUGGAAUUCACCACAGUUCAGAAACUGGGCAGGUUCGGGUGGGUUUCUAGAUUGGAUCUGGAAGACUUGGUCAAUCUUAGCAGAAUACUCGGCGACCGAGUUUCGUCGACCAAAAGGGACGCGGGACGGACCCUACCGCCGACCUUGUUGAGUGUAGCGCCACCUCAGAUAACUCUAUGCACUCGGCAAUAGUGCUGCUGAUCGAUCUAGCCCCGCGAUUAGGUCGGAGGGCAUGGGUGGGCGGGUGCUAACGAGUAGAUCUGGAUCCUUCUCGGAAAGAGAAAGUUCACCGACUUGCUAGGCAAGCGGCAUGACGAUCCUUGGGUGAAGAAUUUGUUCUGUCAGAACGGAUCUGAUGGAAGCCGAGCUGGUUGCGGACGCCGAGUCGGCGGGAGACGCCGAGUCGACAGAAGAAGCGGUUGGAUCGAAAUCCGCCCGCAUGGUCCCAAAUUGAAUCUGGACUGGGUUGGCGAGGAAGUCCUUCAUGCUCUCAAGGAAAACGACGCCGGGAGAGAAUGCUAUCGAGGUCACCGAACGGAUAUCGCAACCACCCCUACCUGGUGCACCAACUGUCAGAUUUCUAAGCCCAGUAGUCCAUCAGGGCGUUACCUAAGUGGUUGAUUUGUAGGUGAGGGUGAUUGUGAAACCAAGAACUCGAAGGUGAUCACGAGAACAGACAGGGGACACGAGGGUUUUUGACAGGUUCAGGCCUCUGGAGAGUAAUACCCUACGUCCUAUAUGUGUGGAUUGUAUUGCUUCAUACGAGAUGAGUUGUCCCUAUGGGGUGCCCUUGGUCGCCUUAUAUAGGCUGAUGACCAAGAAUUACAAGUCGGUUUGAAUCUAAUCUACUCGAUAUUGCAUGGAAAACAAUCUGAGUCGGACUACAAAACGCGUCCCUCAAUGUCCGGGUAGAUUUGGGCUAUCUAGUUGCCUUGUCAUGUACUCCAAGUAACUUCAUAUCCUCAGCCCGCACGCCCUAGUCUGAUGGGCCCACUUGCCAGGGCUAGCCAGUAUCCUAGUCGGUGGGGACGCAUAGGGUACCCAUAUCCCUCAUGGGUACCCUAUGGGUCCCCACCGACCAGGAAACUGGUCGGCACUAACAAGUGGGUCCGCCCGACCAGAACGUUUAGGCCAAGGACGUGAAGAUACUUGGAGCGCAAGUCAAGGAGGCCGUGCGAUUCAAAUCAGCCUGGAUAUUGUGGGAUACUUGUUGUAAUCCGACUCGGGUUACUUUCCAUGUAACAGCCGACUAGAAAAGAUUCAAACCGAUUUGUAACCCUAGGUCGUCAACCUAUAUAAAGGCGGCUAAGGGAGCCUCCCAUGGGCAUCCGAUCUAUUUUUCGCACCCGCACAAAGCAAUACAAAAUAGCAAAACACAUGAUGUAGGGUAUUACUCUCCGGAGGCUCAAACCUGUCUAAACCUUUGUGUUUUCAUGAUUACCUUCAAGUUAUUGAUCUUGCAAUCCUCCCUAACUACAAAUCUAUCACGUGGGUAAUCCCUUGGUGGACUAUUGGGAUACUAAAUCUGACAGACAGGUUCAGGUAGCUCGGAAGAGUAACACCUUACGUCCUAUAUGUUGUGUACAAGAGCCGGCCUUUUAUAGGCGAGAUCCAUGGGAGACUGAUAGGGGCGAGCCUUGGACCCUAAUCCAUCCCUUUACACUGAGUGUGUGAACGCAGCGGCCCAAUGGCUGCCCUCCUUGCUACAGUUCCUCUGACAUGUCAUCCACUUGCCCUGACGCUUCCUUACCUUGGUACACACGGUGCCGGAGCACCCCGCCUAAGUCCUUUGUAUGUCAAUCUCACAUUUUACCAUCUUACUUUGGUAAUCCUUUAUUUUGUCAUCCCGAGCCCGCCGUCCUGGGACGGGGAGCACUGAACCUGACUUCCAAGGACCUUCCCGGGAGCCCUUUGCCGUUUACCGGGUCUCUAGUGCAGGGUCCACCCUUCUGACAGAGUCCUCGGGAGGCCUUUUGCAACCUCUUGAGUCCUCGAUGUGGGCCUGCCUCCUUGGUAGAGGGUGGCCGAGAGCGUGGCAGGGCGCUCUUGACACGAGGGUGGUGCCAGCCACCUGUGGGACGGGACAUGUGAUGCCUUCGGUCCCCGAGAAUCUCAAAUGCGUCCCAUCAACCAUGAUGAUGAUGUUUUUACGGGGACGAGGCACCUGCUGAGGGUCUGCCUUGGCUGCCACACCUUUCCCAUGUCAGGAUACGCCACCGCUUGCUUCACCUCGAAGGGAGCCUCAUCGGGGGCCUCCUGGGCCUCCCCGAGUGCGUCCUGCUUGUGGCGGAACCGCUCGGAUUAACUUGGUUAAAGCACACUUAAGUUGCCUAACACGUGAUGAUAUGCUUUAAUCAAGUUAACUCAGAAAUUCGUCGGAUUUCAUCUGGUAAACCACUAUACAGGACCGAGUUAGCAUAGCUCACACGAAGGUGAGUGGUUCCAGAGAAUACAACAUGUCAUCCAAAGUUAAACCAGUUCAACAAUUUAUUACAACACUAGUUCGAAAAUCAGAGUUUUACAAAGUUAUUGAGCAGCGGAAAAAGAUAAAAUAGAACAGCGGAAGCUAGCGCCGGGGUCGGAUGUCCCUGAUGAGGUCGAUUAGGACAUCAAUGGUCCCUCUCCUCGCCAUCCGAGGAGGGAUCCCACUUGACCGUCCACCCAGGAGGAAGCUGGGGAGGCCAAGUGCCAACAGCAACACACUCAGAAGCUUCAACAUCACCUGAAAGAGAUGCCAUAAGCAAGGCUGAGCUGCUAAGCUCAACAAGACUUAACCGACUGGUGGGAAAACUACUCCAUCAACUUCUAGACAUGCAAGGCUCUUUGGCUGAGGGGUUUGUUUUGCCAAAAGCGACUACGUUAGGUCCUUACAUUCAAUAUUUUAGCUCCGAUUCUAAGUUCAUUAACCAGUCUAUAUCUGCAACUUAUGCUAAACAAACAUAGUUUCCAAACAAUAUGUAUAGAACAAGCAUCAAGGUUCAUAUCAUCAUCAUGUUCCAUCUUUACUCAGUGUAGCAUAGCGAUCAAGAAGUCUCAAACUGUGAGAGGCAGACGAAUCGAUUCGAAUUUCUUAACCAUGCAUGGUGAACCUAAUCUCACGACAUCCGUGCACCACAGAGGGUCGCUUCCUGUGUUGGCCAUCCCCAUCAAUCCCCUGACCUGUGUUGGGCCCACUUCUCUUGGUGCAAUGUUCCACAGACCCGACCUCUGCCGUUCUGUGACCACACUUGCCACCACAUGCGGCCGCAAGGGAAAACUCCGUUCCAAAGACAGUGAAUCGAACUGCUCACGUCCAGGUUCAAUCAGGUACUAGGCUUCUCCAUCCCAUACUAGGUAUGAGAUUAGUACUUUCAAACACUUGAUCACGAACACUAUCACAUCUCGACCUUAGUCCAGUUUCAAGUAGACAGACGGGGCAAUCCACCGACCACCAAAAGAGUUCACAAGCCCCGACCCUGUCCACCGUCCUUAUAGUUGUAACCAGAAGGAAAACAAGCAACUCCUAUAACUCGCGAGUGACAGGGAAUCACUCGACUUUUACCGAGUCCUGUUAAGCACUACCACUACUCGGACUUAUAAUGCUAGUGUUCAGAUUAAGGGAACUAAGUCAUGCAUCUAAGGCUUCAAACAACUCCUAUAACGUAAAUGCACAUACAUACAACAGAAGGCAUGCGCAAGUUUAGAAAAGUUGGGUUAUGCUCUGGGGCUUGCCUUCGAUUGGGGCGGAGGCAAACUGGUCUUCUGGGUGCUCUGCUUCAGCUCCUGCGGUCGGUAGCUCAGCUACAGCUCCAUCUUCAAUCACCGGGUGUAGCUCGUAUGUGCCGUUGGCGAGAUUUAGUUGUACACGGAAAUGCAAAUGCAGGGGUUAAACACUUAGACGGUUAUUUCAACAACACUUGCAAGAUUUAGCUCAGAAACUUGUAGCCAAACUAUAGGAAAGGUGUGAAAUCCCAUGCCUUUGUUGAUAGAGAACCUGAUAAGGAGUCAGAUCUGGAAAAACUUGUGAUCUGACCCUCAGACCUAAGGAUUAACUGCACCGGGGUCCUCAGACUUAACACAGAGAAGUCCCUAAAAUUUUACACAGAUACCUUUGGUCAAAGGAAAAGGAUAUAACCGAGCCCUUGGGUGAGGCGGACAAGGGUCGGCGAGACAGACAGGGUCGGGCGAGACGGAAAAAGGGGUCGCAGCUUACCUUUGGGCCUACUGACGAAGUCUUGGGGUCGGGAAGGAACAAGCUCUGGCGGAAAGACUAAGGCGCUUAGGCUGGGGUGGUGGUGAGGUCCGGCGGUGCUCCGGCGGUGGCGGUGCUUCUUGUGGAAACAAGCGGGCGCUAGCUUAGCACGUAGGAAGCCAGCGGCUGGUGGGUUUGGAAAGGCGGGUGUUGCGCGGAGAGGGGAGUUCCUCAAAGAGCUUAUGCGAUAGCGCUUGAGCAUGAAACAGAGGAAAGUGCGUCAAGGAAAUGAUGGUGAAGGGAACUUCGGUAGAGGCUCUGGUACCUUUUUUAUAGCUGCACGGACAAGGAAGAGUUCGAGCAGCGCGAGGAUAAGAUCGAAGAGGAUGGAGUGCUCUGCCGUGGUGGCGAUUGGGCGAUGCCAUGCCAGCGAAGCGAAGCUUCGGGGACAGGGUCUUCGAUCAUUGGGCAUUGGAGACAGCGCUAUGCAGGCGCAGGUUUGCCGAAAGGAAGGAUUGGUGAGGGCGGGCGCGAGUCUGGUCACGUCAAGCGACGGAUUGGGUGCGGUGGCUCGGCUAGCGUGCGGCAGGAAGGAAGGAAGGGCACUGCAGGCGAGGUGACAGGGCGAGCGGCGACGCUAGCAAGCGCAGAACCAGCGGCUUUGCCGUGGCACGCUACUGGCGAGGCACAGGAAAGGAGUUGUCACUGCCAGUGCAGUGGUUGGCGGAGGCAGUAUCGUCGCGGGGCGCGCGCGUGGGCAGCGCGACUGAGGUGCGACGGAAAAGCCGGAAGGCGUUAAGGCGCGCGAUCGGGGAUCCUGGUGAGGAGAUGUGCAUGGGAGGCGAGGCAGACUGGUGCGGCAGCGGCCAAUCCUUGGUCGCAGCGGCGACAGGGCGCCUGGCGCAGCCGGCGAGAUUGCGGGUGAGACGAGACGAGGUGGAAAAGGGCUGUAGGGCGCUUCUGCGCGCAAUUGGGAAGAGGGCACGCUGAUCCAUCGUGUCGCGGCCGGCGACUGGCGAGGCGGGGCUCGUCGGGGUGGUUAAGCCACACGGUGGAGAGACUCUAAGACAGGGCGCACGCUCGCUCUCUGGCGCGCUUGACCCGAGAGAUCCGUGGGAUUUGUCUUCUGGGUCCAUCUUCCAGUCUCUUGUUCUCCAGAAAACUGAACUGCACCACUUCUGCUACCUUAACAAAAGUUGUAGAACUCAGGCCAAGGUCCAACUCUUGUGAUUGGACCGAGUCCAAAAACGCAGUGGAUUUGGGGAUCCAAAGCUCCAAAGUUCAGAAGAACACUGGUUUCGGGACUUAGAGAUAAACUGCGGUUUGCUGGGUUUCUGGGGUUAGGGCUGGUUAAAAUUGUAGAUUUGGGAACUUUUGGAGACAAAAAGGAUUACGGUCUAUCUAAGAAAGUUGUAGUUGAGACUUCGUUCUCCAACUUCCAUAAAGGAAAUUUCUUAGCGUCCUGCUCAACUUUCCAAAGAUAAACCCUCUCUAAGGCUCUAGGUUGGGUUGAAAACCUUAUUUUAGCUGAUAUAGCUCAAGAAGAAAGAGUCAACCAGAUUAGGGCUCAUCUUAAGGUUAAGCUCGGCCGAUUUAAAUCUAGGUCGUUACACUGCUAUUGCCAUGUGGACCGCUUGUGGGUUCCAUUGGGCCGGCACGAUAUUUUCCUGAUCCUUCCUAGGCCUGAGGUUCCCUGACCUAUCUCCUUAUUUAGGCUUCUCAAGGAGGGAAGCCCCAUUUAAGCAGGUGGGCUCCGCUUGUAAGUGACUUCUCAGGGGAUCUGUUCCCUUGGGAUUAACAGGUUGAAAACAAUAAAUGUUGGUGUUCGCGUAAGAAAGUGAACCACGGGCUGUCUGGUACCUAUGGGAGGACACUUCAUCGUACAAACAAUUAUAAUGGCGGGUUAUCUGACCCAAAAGAACCACAUAAAAUUUUGGUUGCACCACUGCAGAGCUUCGAGUUGAUCUCGCGUGUGUAGAAAAAUGACUUAACAGUCGACUUUGCUACAUGUUUACUUGCUAGCCUCCUUUGGAACGGAGGAUUUCCAAAGGAAAAACUCAGGAAUCGGCAAUCAAUAGGAAUGGGUACCGUAGAGUCCUUUGGUUCAUAGGAUUGACGCACAGGAAAAGUGUAGGAAAUUUUUCUUUGCUACCCAUUUUGGAGAAAUUCCAUAGGAAUGGAAACAUCUAGUCCAACUACAUUUUUUUCCCGAUCUUGCGUAGGACAAAGGCACGGUUCAUCGUGAGCCCACACUGAUGAAGAUUAGAACAUAGAACAGGAGCAACAGAAGCUUGAGAACGAGUGGAUUAAAUUGUUCGGACUUUCGAAAGGGUUAAGGUCAAAGCUCUGCUAACCCACCUGUAUGUGCCAUUUUUUCUUUAACAAAUUAAUAAAUAAAUCAAUUUUGAUUUUUUUCUUUAUGUCUAAAUAUGAUGUAUUGUUUCUCACUAGAAAAUAACGCAUUGUGACGCUAUUAGAACAAAUACCAUGGAGGAUUAAAUGCUUCCUAAGAUUCCUAUUCAUAUGAAUUUCCUAUAGCCAUCCAAACACUACCUUUUACAGUAUUUCUCUGUUUUCCAAUCCUCCGUUUUACAAUUGUACAGAAUUCCUAUUCCUAUAUUUUCACAAUCCUAUCUAUACUAUAAAGAACGAGCAAAUUGAAAACAAUUCACACCUAAAAUUACACCCCAGUACCCCUCACAGAGGACCCAUAUGCCAUGUCAGGAGGGAGACGAAAAGGUGUGACGAAGGGUGGGAGGAUAAAAAAACUAGAUGACAAAAAAUGAUUCUGCCAAAAACCUCUGUUUUUCCUCACCUUUCUUUUCUCCUUACCCGCCUGCUCGUACCCUCCCGCGCGCCAAUCACGUUCCUGAUUUUUUAACCGAGGUCUCCUUCCUUUUCCAUGCUCUGUCGUUCCGCAACUCCAUGAUUUUCUCCAUAGUUUCCUUCCUUUUACAUGCUCUUGAGAGAUUGGUAGCCUUCCUAUUGAGAGCCUUCCUUUUGAGAGCCUUUAAUUUAAUUUCCUUCCUAAUUUUUCUUCAUGGUCUCCUUCCUUUUCCAUGCUAUGCUGUCCUGCGACUCCAUGAUUUUCUCCGCAGUUUCCUUCCUUUUACAUGCUCUUGAUUGAUUGGUAGCCUUCUGUUGGUGCUGAAAAUCGACCAAUGACCCUCAGCGUCGGACACAUGACCCGGGAGAAUCUGCUUAACUCCUGUUCGGGUUAUUGCCCUGGUGCGGUUCGCGCGGCAUGCCAGUCAAUCUGACAUGUUGAUUGAAAAGGAAAGAAAAAUAUUAAAUUCUAGGGGUUUCGAUCGGCUAAAGUUCCGAUCUGUCUUGAAAAGUGUAUCAGCGAAUCGACCGAUUUACUGUAGAGAGGAUCGGCUAUAAAACAGCCAAUAUCCACGUAGCGAUUGCAAAGAAAUUACUAGAGUAAGCUAAAAUAACACUACAAAUGCAACACUUGUGACAGAUCUAAUUGGCUAUAUGGAGAUAAACAAGAAUAACAGUGACGAAGCUGACAGUUCGAAUCUCGAGCUGGAUAACUGGGGAUAAAACUAGAACAAUAGAUAAAACCUAUAAUUCUAGUAAAUAUCGAUAACUGGUGAAUAAAUCUAAACGAAACGACAGCGAUGCGCCCGAAGUUAAAGCUUAGAUAUUACUCGAUAAGCGGAACUUACAAAUCGACCGGAGAUCGUGUCGAUGCAGUCCUACCAACCCGUACGAACUCGUGAAAAGAAAAGGUUUUUGGCGAAGUCGCUGACUUAAAUGUAAAGUGCAAGGAAUAAGUAGAUUUGUUGUAUUGAUUGAUGUAUAUUUUACAAACCUCAAGGAGGUGGCUAUUUAUAGCCUGUUACAACUGAUUUCCUAACCGACUAGGAUCUAUCUCUAAUUUAAAAUAACAAUAAAUAUUCACAAACACAACUCGUAUCGGAGUUGGUUAUCAUAUCCCACGGGCCAACCUUCUUCACUAGCUUAAUCUUUUCUCUGGCCCACUUUAGGCCCAUACCGGCCAAGCCACUCCAACUUCCAAUCAGCCGACCUUCAUCAACUCUGUUCGCCAAUCGGCCGAAAAUACUGUAGUGCCAAUCGGCCGAUUCCCAACUGUAGCUCUUAACCUGCUAUGUCGGCCAAUCUUUUCCUCCCUUGAUGCCGAUUCAAAACACGUGUCAAAAUAUGGCGUCAACACAUGCCCCCUAGUUUUGGAGUAAAACAUAACUUUUACUUUGAAAUUCUUUUUAACUUUCUCUCCGAGACAAGCGCGGCAAAAACUCCUUUUGGUUUUUGCAGUCUUCUACCUGAUGAUUGCAAUCUUUUUAAACUGGGCGCCUGAGACAACUGCUCCUCCGAAAUCCGUGUAGACGGUGCGGUAAAAAACCCGCCUUUACCCCUUCUCUCGAACCGUCUUUAAAUACCAGCAUUCUCCGCUACUUCUUCUCCACGAGCUCAAUAACUCUCCUUUCCCCGGUGAAUCAUCUUCCAUUACAUCCCAGCGCCCCUUUGCCUCCCAGUCGCAUCUCUCUGGCGAUCUUUCUCUCAUCUUCAUCCCGCUUCAUUUUCUUCAAUGGCGGCUCCAUCGGCGGCCAUGAGCUUUAUCCCAGAGGUAAACAUCUGAAGCCUUCCCCUUUAAUUUUUACUGCUCAUGCAUCUUUUAGAUCUAUUCUUAGUUCUCCCUUUUUAUCUUCUCUAGGCGGUCAGACAGCAAAUGACCAUUCGCUUUUCUGAUGCACCCGGCCUCAUCGGCCUAGGCCCCAUGGGAAAUCUAGACCCCACUGAUCUGAUCAAUCUAGAAACCCAUAGGAUUCCCUUUAAGUAGUCGCCCAUGGAUUUGAACCAGUGGAUAGGUGCAUUUAGGUCUUGGCCGAACAAAACUAUCAACUGGAAAGAAUGGUUUCAAAGAAUGUCCAACUCCAAAAGAGUUCUCUGGGACGAACUGAAAAUCGGCCAAUGCAUAAAUCUGUCCUUGUCCUAGAUGGAGAAGAAUGAACCUCUAGUGAUGGCUAUUGGAGGUAUGCCCUAGAGGCAAUCAUAGAGAUGAUGAUAUUCCAUUUGUAUCCAUGAUUUAUAUUGUGUUCCUUGAAUAUCCAUUAAAGGCUACUUGAAUUGAUUUGCAAUUAUGUGAAUUGUGUGUGAAACUCUUUACUUGUAUGGUUAUUCUAAAGUUGUCCCUAGUCGGAGUUCAUGUGAGGACACACAUGAAUAUUAGACUAGCACAUGUAUUAGUUGAUGACUAUGUUUCACAAGUCAUGGACAUGGAGAUGUUGAACUAAUAAUGUGGGCACAUGUGGAGACAUGUGCUAGGACUGACCCAACACGAGAAGUAGUUCUCUCUUUAAACAACAUAUACGCUUUGUCCUUAGACCUGAGAUUGUCGCAUGUAUUCAAGAUGUGGAUCGACCUACUUACGGACUAUCAAACGCUAUGCCAUAACAGGGUAGUUAUAAAGGUAGCUUUCGGGUUUGUCAAGAAGCAUGCUAUGAGACAUGGUCAAUCAAGAUGGGAUUUGCCCCUCUCUGAUUGAGAGUGAUAUCUCUGGGCCCCUCGAGUGAUCGGAUCCAAAAAUGUAUGGCCAUGCUACAUACGGUUAAGAGUUAACCUACAAAGGGAUUCCGAAUCACAGGAUCGAGAAAGAGCGGUCGGCUUGAAGCUAAACCAAAUAUCGUGAGGCAAAGGGAAUAGCAUGUAUAUAAUGUUGUGAUGGUUCGUCUGAUAUGAUCUUCGUGUGCAUAUAGGAGUUGGCACCUCUUGCUAGAGGCCGCUACCGACUAUUGGGCCGAGUAGGAGUACUCGGGCCAUGUCUAUACGCAUCCGAACCCAUAGGGUCACACACUUAAGGGGCUGGAAGCCCAAUUCGGAUGUGAUCCGAGUUGGAUUAGGUUUAGAAGUACUAAUGGGCCUCGGACCCAGAGGCCCGUUAGGAACCUCUAUAAAUAGAGGGGUGGGGGCGCCCUAGGGUUUACACCUUUUGGCGAAACACAUCUGCCGCGCCUCCCAUGCCCUCGCCUAUUGCAACUCACGGAUCUAGCAGUCCGGCUUGCGAUGCUUCCUCCCUGCACGUGUGGAUACCUUAGAGGUGUUGCGUCUGCAGCACUUGGACGAGCCGCCGAUGAGCCAUGACAAGCUGCCGACGAGCCACGACGAGCCGACGACGAGCCGCGGCACGAGGGCGAUCUUGCUGCACGUGGACGAGCUGCUGAGGAGCUGUUGGACGUCGACGUGAUCGACUACGUACGACUACGUUGAUCGACUUCGCUACAUCGACGCGAAUCUACAUCUUCCGCACCAGUAGUGCGUCGAGUGGUAAUCCCGUGAUCCUUAUACAAUAGUUUUCCUGGUUUACACGGUAGAAAAUUUUGAUUUGCGCUAGUGUAGCCUACCUCGUAUCCCAACAAUGGCAGCUUCUUAUUUUUGGUUAGACGCGCUUAAUGCGUUUCUUUUUGGACACGGACCCAUGACCCCAACCUUGGCCGACAUCGUGAUGUUGACCGACCUCGACAUCUCCUCCGAUUCCCCUUUUGAUUUUCUGAUCAAACCGACCCAUCGGCUGGAGACAAAUGGAAUUGGCGGGUGGAAAGGAUAUAUCAAUAAAAACAUGAAGACUGGGCCGAUCAGCGACAUAGAAUAUACGACCUUCUUAAUGAUGUGGUUAGAGAAGCAUUUCUUUUGCGGCAAAGAAGUCAGCCCUUCUUCUAAUACACAAGCUUUGGCCGAAGCCCUGGCAAGAGGAUCCACUUUGUCCCUCUAGGAAAACACUUGCUAGGAUCAGCGUACCACAUGAUGCAUCAGAUCGCCGUCAAACUGUCAACUGGAGAGCCGAUUGGUAAUCCUGGUGGCCCCUGGUGGUUCAUUACCCUUUGGCUCAACUUAUACAUGAGUAAGGUUUCUCGGAAGGAAAUAGAGACCAAAACAUUCCCCAAUAUCGAGUCAGAGGAAAACCCAACAAUACGACGAUGCUGCACCUCUUUUGGCGAAGCAGCAUCCGCUUUUCCUAGCAGCUAGUUUACUCCCACCAAGACAGCCGAGUAUUUCAGAUGCUUCCACGAUGGCUUUAGUGAAUAAACCACGAGUUGGUACCUAUACCAAAGGGCUGAGCCACUUUUUGAGCAUCCCUUCUACUUCGACUCAACGACCAACUCUUUUGAUAAUGAGCUCACAGAUGCCUUGAUCAAACCAGGGGUCUUACCAGCGAACUUCUUUUUCGGGAAGGAUUCUCCAACUUAUGAGUUUUAUAAUCCAUCGGUUGCAGCACGACAGUUUAGCCUUGGUCAAUUGCCGAUUCGGAUUUACUUUGCCGGCCGCGCAAAGUUUCGGGACGAGCUCACCAAAGGUCUUGAUUAAAAUCGACUAUGUGGAUUGAUCCCAGACUCCAGUAGCAUUGAUUUAAACAACUGAAGCUGAAGAUAACUUCUUAAAAGAAGACGAGCCGCUGGGUGCGCCCCCGUAUAGAAUUGGCCGAUCAAUCGGCGGUGGCAUCGGCUGAACCUUUAGCUGCACCGACUCCGCCGGCUAUCGAAGAAGUCGACCCCCAGGCCGCUACAGAAGCUGGAGCAGCAGCUGCGUCAUUGCUGCUAGAAGCUGUUCAGGUAACUUCAUACACCUUGCAUUUUUUCUAAGUAUUAUGUCAAUAUUAACUUCUUCUUUCUGUUAGGCUGUGCAAAUCAUCCCAGAGCAAUCUCCGCAGCAAUCGGCCACACUCCAGGCAGAGACCAAGGCACCAGCAAUUCCUCCCACUGAGGUAGAGAAUAUUUAUUUAACUCAAAUUUCUUAAUCCUUAAUCAGAAUCUGACCGAUUUUUGAUGCAGGCUACUCUGGGUAUGUCGAUUGUGCCCUUUCAACAACCAUCGGCUGAACGACUUGCUGAGGUAUAAUAGUCAUUAUCUACCGGUAGACUUAAUCAUCUGCCUCAUACUCAUAAAUAUCCAUUCCCUGUACCUUUCCAGGAGGCUGGCCCAAGUACGGCGCUGAUAAUUGUCAAAUCUUCUUCCUCCGAUGAGCUAGCCGUGCUGAUUCCCAAAAUGAGGGUGGCACUCCCACCGGCACAAGCAGAAAAAAUCCGUUUCAAAGAGGUAAGAAACUUGAUGUCCAAAUCGGCCGAUUUUCUAUUACCAUCGACUAAUCUAUCUCUUUAUUAUUUAUCUUUUCUCAGGAGCAGGAUACUCCCAAUAACAGCCUCUUCUCUUUUGCGGUCGCAAUCUCUGAUGACAAGGAGGUCGCCUCGUGCUAGGUCGCCCUAAGUUUACUUCCUGAUGAAGUCCGCGCCAAGCUCCAGAGUAUACGGGCCCUCCUCCAAGAUGAUAUCGGCCGAUUGGUGGAAGACGCCUCGCCGAUUCGUCAACUCUUUAGUGAAAUCAGAGGCCGAGUUCUAGAAGAAGCAGAAGAAGCCCUGGCACCCGUAGCAUAUAUCGAGUCAAUGCGGAUCCCGGUUUUCAGAGCUUUACGACACAUGGCCGACCAUGCUAAAUUAGCAAAAGCACGCGAAGAGGAGGAUUCCUACAAACACCGAGCUCAAGAAGUGCACCAACGAAUCAGCGUCCUUGAAAAUUCUCAUCCAGACAUCGUCGGCACCAUAGAACGCAUCAAACGAUGAAGGGUAGAACUCGCCAAGGAAAUGGAGCAGGUGAUUAAAGCUAUAGCCGCCAAAGAGAAAAAACUCCAAGACCUCCCCCCUAUCAUCGCCGAUCUGAAGCAGGAAAGGCAAAACUUGGCUCAUGAAGCGAUCAAGCUCCAUCGUCACAUGCUAGAAGUCCUUGGAUCGGCCGCCGAUGACCAAAGAACCUUGGAUUUAGCCGAUGAGAUUCGGCAGCGAACGAUUGCGGCAAUUAAUGCUCUUCUUGGGUGAACUGUAGAAAACUCUGAGUGCCUUUUGUACAAACAUUUAAUGUUCUUUUACCGUUGCUGUGUGAAUUCAAACUUGGACCGUCCUCUAUUGUAGCUUUUCAUUUAAUAGUCCUUUACUUCGAUGGGACGCAUUUCACCAACUGUUACCCUUCAUCCUUUUCCUCCUAUAAGUAUAAGACCCUUGAAUCGCUUCUAAGGGCAUUCAUUCCUGGCCCAGCCUUCUUUCCUCAAGUCAUCUUGUUUCCAUAUUCUUAGACCAGGCGCCGAGAUGUCUUCCUUUUCCUCCAUCAAUCAGGUAUGAAAUCUCUCUUCGUCCCUCCGCCAGGCGUUAACAACGGGUGACUGUUCUUUACCUUCCAGCUGAAACACCUUAGUCCUGGCUUAGAGCGAGCCAUCAAAAUCAUGCACUCCGAGGAACCGCUUAUGCAGGCGAACAGAGAUCUGAUUGAGGCCCAUCGUGAAGAACUCAAAGAUCAUAUCCCCGCUCAUGUCUAGAAGAUCCUGGAUCACAUGGAAGCCAACUGCUCCAGGCGGCCGCCAAUCGAGAGGAGCCACCAGCUUCCUCAUCAGGUUGUUCUCGAGGACGCCACGGCGGGGACAUCCCAACCGCCUGUUGACAGAAGCAACCAACUUCCUUGCCAGGUUGCUGUUGAAGCCGCUAUGGAGGACUUAGAGGAGAAGAGUAUCCGCCUCCUAAUAGAACUAGGCCGGGUCGAGAGAGAGAUUAAAAAGAACAAAGCUCAGCCGAAACGUGAUUAUAAAUGUAUUGGUACUUUUGGUCUAAGGGUGACUUGUACCGUGUCGGCCAUGUAUCCUAUCGCUGUACCGAGUAAUAAAUCGGCCAGGCUAGUGAAAUGUUCCGUCCUCAAGGCGAUGUUAUCUUUGCAUCGGCUAUAUGAACAUGAGUCAAUAGGAGUCGGCCACGUCAUCUCAACACGCCAUAUCAUUUGCUACGCGUCCACCCAUAUGCUAGGUAAUAUCUCUUCAAAUACCUUCCGUUGAAAGCUCUUGUGAAUUCCUCUCCUUCGAUAGUUUCCAAUAUGUACGCAUUUCCCGAAGCGCAUUGGCCGACUCUAUACAACCCUUCCCAAGUAGGUGACCAUUUACCGAAUUUGGGAUCUUUAGACCCUAUCGGCAGCACCAACUUCCAUACCAAAUCUCCUUGGGAGAAUUGCUUGACCUUGACCUUCUUGUCGUACCACCUGGCCACCCUUUUCUUGUUUUCCUCGAUGCUGAUCAGGGCCCUUAAUCACUGACCCGCCAAAUCGUCGAGCUCCCCCUUCAUGAGGAGGAAUAUUCAUCGGCUGUCAACUGAUCUUGAAGUGACGUGCAUCUGGACCCUGUCCUUAAUUCCCAAGGCAGUACUGCCUCGUGAUCGUACACCAACUGAUAAGGAGAUAUUUUAGUAGCUCCAUGAUAGGCCAUCCUGUAUGCCCAUAAAGAUUCAGUCAAGGAUGCGUGCCACUUUUUGGGCUGCUCUUCUAUCUUCCUCUUGAUCAACUUGAUUAUUCCCUUAUUGGAUGAUUUGCCUUGACCGUUAGCUUGAGCAUAAUACGAAGAAGAAUUCAACAUUUUAAUUCCCAUAUCGGUGGUGAACUCUUCAAACUCUCCUGAUGUGAACAUUGUCCCUUGAUCAGUUGUGAUGGUUUGAGGGAUACCGAACCGAUAAACAAUGUGGUCUCUCUCAAAAUCGUUCAUAGCAGCCGAUGUUACGGUCUUCCUGUGGAGGAUCCACUUCGGAUUAGCUUGAUUAAACAGGGUUAAGCCGCCUAACAUGCGACACCCAUGCCUAAGCCAAGCUAACACGAAGUGCCGUCGGAUUUCAUCCGAUUAACCACUUGAACAGGAUCGAGUUAGCAACCUCACACGAAGGUGAGUGGUUCCAGAGAAUACAACGAGUCCACUGAGUUAAACAUUUUAACCAUUUAGUUCGGCCAUAAAAACCAACAUUAGAGUUUUACAAGGUUCAAAAGAAAACAACAGAGGUAAACACUAGCGGAAGCAAUCGUCGGGGUCGGAUGUCCUGGUGAGGCCAGCCGGGACAUCACUGAUUCCUCUCCUCACCGUCUGAGGAGGGAUCCCACUCGACCGUCCAGCCAGGCGGGAGCUGGGGCGGCCAAGCACUAGCAAGAGAGGGGUCGGGAGCGGCAGCUUCACCUAAAAAACAGGAGCCACAACAAGGCUGAGCUACUAAGCUCAACAAGACUUACUCGAUAGGAGUGAAACCACUCCACACUUCUAGACAUGCAGGGCUUUUUGGCUGAGGGGGGUUUGUUUGCCAAAAGCACUAAGUAAAACCCUAUUUUCAAGUUUUAGCUCCGGUUCUAAGUUCGUUAGCCGGUUUAGGUUUUGCAACUUAUUCUAAGCAAUCACAGAGCCAAACAAGAUGUGUAGAUAUAUCAACAAACAUGUCAUCAUCAGGUUCCUCAUUUACAGGGUGACAUAGCGAUCAAGCAAUCUCAAACUGUGAGAGGCAGACGAAUCGAUUCGAGUUCUUUAACCAUGCAUGGUGAACCUAACCUCACGACAUCCACGCACUGGAGGUCGCUUCCUGUGUCGCCUUCCCCAUCAAUCCCCUAACCCGUGUUGGGCCCAUUUCCUUUGGUGCAAGGUUCCACAGACCCGGCCUCUGCCGUUCUGUGACCACUCUUGCCACCACGUGCGACAUCCAGCAGGGGAAACUCCGUUCCAAGAACAAUGGGGCGACCGCUCACGUCUAGGUUCAAUCUGGUACUAGGCUUCCUCAUCCCAUACUAAGUAUGAGGCUAGUACUUUCAAACACUUGAUCACGAACACCACCACUGUCGGGCCUUAGCAAGUUUUCAUAGACAGACAGGGCGACCAUCCGUCCACCAAAGAGUUACCAAAACCCUGCCCUGUCCAUCGUCCUUAUAGUUAUAACAGAAAGGGUAGACAUGCAACUCCUACAACUCGCGAGUGACAGGAAAUCACUCGGCUUUUACCGUCUUCUAGUUAAGCAAGGCAACUACUCGGUCCAACAGCUAGUGCUCAGAUCAUGGGGAUAACUAAGUCAUGCAUCUAGGGUUUCAAACAACUCCUAUACGUAAAUGCACAAGCAUGUUACAGAAGGCAUGCGCAAGUCUGGUAAAACACACAGGGUUUUCAUGCAACCGGGGCUUGCCUUCGAGCAAGGAGGAAUGAAACUGCUCGACUUCGGGGGCGACUUCGGCUUCAGCGGGUAGGAGCUCAGCUACAGCUUCGUCUUCUGGCGCCGGGUGUAGCUCGUAGAAGCCGUCGGCGAGGUGCAGCUCUCCACGAAUGCAAUGCAAGAGUUAGCAUAGACGGUUAUUUCAACAGCAACACUGGCUCGCCUGAGCCUAGAAACUCGCGACAAGGAGCAGGAGGGUAGGGAGGUUCAAGAGAGCUGGUGAUGAUCAAGAGACAAGGGUCGGACAAUAACUUAUGAUCUGAUCCGUGAACUAGAGGAUGUGGUAUACUAGGAAUCCUCAGACGCAAGCGCUGAAGGGUUCCUAAGUUUUACACAUACACCCUCGGGUUAAAGAAAAAGAUCACAGCUGAGCCCUCGGGCGAGGCGGAUAAGGGUCGGCGGAUUAGAUAGGGUCGGGCAAGAUGGGACCGGGGUCGGGCGGAUAAGAGGGGUCGGGCGAAACGGACUGGGGUCGGCAGCUUACCUUCUUCUUGAAAGGAAGGCUUGGGGUCGGGAAGAGGUAGACUUGGGCGGAGGGACUAAAGCUUUGAACAACGGCUAGGACCGGCAAUGCUCCUUCGGCGGCGAUGCUUCUUGCAUAUCACAAGUAAGCUUUUUGCGCAGCACGGAGGAGCAAGCGGCUGGGUGACUUGGAGAAAACUGAGGGAGAAGCUGAGAGAAGAGUUCCUCAAGGAACUUGGCGUGUGGCGCUAGGAGCUUGAGCAGGGAGCGAGAGAAUGGCUAAAGGCAACAAUGGCGGAGGGAACUCUGACGGCUGGUGCAUUCCUUUUAUAGCUGCUGGAACGGAGAAAGGAAGCGGCGUGGGAGAGAGAGUAGGGGAGCGGCGUGAAGGCCGGGGAGAAGCAAUGGAGUGCUCUGCCGAGGCGGCGAUUGAGCGAAGAGGGCGGUGGUGCAGGACUCCGGGGGUGACGCCAGCGGUCAUUGGGUUCUGCCGUCAGGGCGGCGCAGGAGCGGGUAUGCCGGUGGUUGAGCUUUGGUGGAGGCGGGCGUCGUCGUGCGGAAGAUUUGAUAGAAGCGACCAGUUUAACGGCGCUAGAAUCAAGGGCGCACAGGUGAGAAGACAGGUAGCCGCGGGCGCGCGGGCGAGCGUGGAGCAACAGAUUGUCGGGCGGCUUCUGACAGGGCGGGGAAAGGAGCUGUCACUGCCGCGGUCGGGGUUGGCGAUGGAGGAAUCGUCAUGUAGCGGAGACCAGGCGGCGCGACUGUGUUCGAAGUGACAGAAAAGACGGGCGACAUCGGGCUCUGCGGCCGGGAUCUGGCGGCGUGAUGAUGGGCGCGGGAGGCGAGGCUCUGCAGAAAGGUUGCAGAGGGGCUUCCGCUGCCAUAGGGGAAGGGGGCGCGAGAAUCCACUCGGUCGCUAGCCAGAGACAAAACUGAGCGGCGGCGUCGGAGAAGACGAGCCACGCGGCAGGGAGACUCUGAAGCGGGCAUGCAACUUGAGUGCGCCUGUCGCGGAGGAUCUGGGGAAAAAGAUCUCGCGGGCCCACCGGUGGAUAGAACAGACGUUUGAGGGAGACUUAGAAGGAUCCGACGGUUAACUGGAUUUGCCGGGGUCGGGAUCGGAGCGAAGCGGGGAGGGGUCGGGUCUUAGGGGUCGGGUUUGGGCUGAAGGCUGAGCACUCAGGCGCGGUAAAAACAAGGCAGAUGACUAUGAUCAAGGGCUCCGAUUAAGAUUAACUCGGGAGAUUAGGGGUCGGUCGUCACACUUCCGUUCCAAUGCACUUGAGCAGAACCCCAUCAAUCGUCCGGUAAAACAAAUCAUCCUCAAGUAACACAUAUUUCGUGGCCUGAAAACGUACUCGCCGAUCCACUUUCUUGGAUGGAUCUUUUAAGUAAUCGGUGACCUCCUUUCGCCAAUCAUCGGCCGCAAGCUCCAGAGUCAUGGCACCUUGAAUCGGCCGAUACCUGGAAGCAUGUUGAGCAAGCUUGUUGGCUUCUUCAUUGUAAUUUCUGGGAAUAUGCUCAAUAAUCGUAGACUUGAAUUCUUUUAACAACCGAAGGCAAUCUUCAUAGUAAAUCCUUAAGACAUCAUCUUUACAUUCAGAUUUCCCCGUCAAUUGAUCGACGAUGAGCAUGGAAUCCCCAAAAAUCUCCACUGCAUUGGCCUUGACCUCUCUCAAUAAUUGGAUACCCUUUAGGAUAGCUCGGUACUCUUCUUGAUUAUUAGUAGCGGAUGCUUCUAUCGGCAGAGAGAAAUCAUAACUUGCCCCCCGAGGCGAUAUGAGGACGAUACUGAUUCCUGAUCCAGCCCCACACGAAGAACCGUCAAAGUACAGAGUCCAUGGAGCUACUUCAAUGACAGCGAUUUCCGGUCCACAAUGCUGAGCCACGAAAUCGGCCAUUACUUGGCCUUUGACAGCUUUGGCCAUUUCGUACCUCAGGUCAAAUUCUGACAGAGCUAGAAUCCACUUCCCAAUCCUUCCUUUCAAAAUCGGCAAUGACAGCAUGUACUUCACCACGUCGUAUUUGCAUACGACUAUGCACUCUGCUGAGGAAAACAUGUAAGGCGAUGUUGAGGGCCUAGGUACGAGUUUCAGAUCAUCUACAUCUAUUAUAAAAUGCUGAAAAAGUUUUAAGAUGGAUUGUUUUACCUAACAAAUAUGUUCACAUAUAUAUUUGUGUUGAUGCCAGAUUUUAACACGUAUGGAAUCGACGUCAAAAAGGGGAAAGGAUUAGCCGAUGCAGCGGGUUGAAAAAGUCACGAUUGGGAAUCGGCCGAUUGGUGCUACAGUUGGAGAUCGGCCAAUUGACGCUGCAGUGUUUUAGCGGACGGAGUUGGUAGGAAUCGACCGAUUAAGAGGCUGGAGCAAUUGGGCCAAUAUGGGCUUAAAGUGAGUCGCAAAAGAGAAGAUGAUGGGGGAUUGGCCCGCAGGAGGGCAACAACCAACUCCGAUACGAAUUGUACUUGUAAAUAUUUGUUUUCAUUUAAAAUUAGAGAUAGAUCCUAGUUGGUUAAGAAGUUGGUUGUAACAGGCUAUAAAUAGCCACCUUUAGAGAUCUGUAAACAACACAUCAAUCAAUAUAACAAUCUACUAUUCUCUCGUACUUUACUUUCAAGUCGGCGACUUCGCCAAUACUUUUCUUCUUUCACGAGUUCGUACAGGUUGGCAGGGCUACAUCAACACGAUCUCCGGCCGAUUAUGUAAGUUCCGUUUAUCGAGUAAUAUCUAAGCUUUAACUUCAGGCACAUCGUUGUCGUUUCAUUUAGAUUUAUUCACCAGUUAUCGAUAUUUACUAGAAUUCUAGGUUUUACCUAUUGUUCUAGUUUUAUCACCAGUUAUCUAGCUUGAGAUGAGAACUUUCGGCUUAUUUAUAGUUAUUUUUGUCUAUUACUUUCGCACAGCCGAUUAUAUCUAUUUCAAGUGUUGCUCUUGUAGCGUUAUUUAGUUUACUCCAGUAGCUUUCUUCAUAACCGCUGCCUAGUUGUCGGCUGUAAUAGCAAAUUGGCCAAUUCGUUGAUACGCUUCCUCGAGAUCGGAACUCUAGCUGAUCGCAACCCCUGGAAUUUGACACAUUUUAUCCUUGCCAAUCAACAGGUCAGAUUGGCUGGCACGUUGCGCGAACCGCACCAGGGCGAUUACCCGAACAGGAGCUAAGCAGAUUCUCCCGGGUCGUGUGUCCGACGUUGAGAGUCAAUCGGCUGACUUUUAGAGCCAACACACUUUUGGCACGCCCGGUGGGACCAAUACAACUACUACCAUGUCGAAAGCUGCCGAAAUCUCCGAAGACAACGUCAUCAAAGUGAUGGAAGCAGACCUCAAGGACGACAAGAAGGAAGAGCUGGAAAGGCAGAUAGCACAAUACCGGAAGACAUGCCUGCAAUCUUUCAGUCGUACCAGGGGCGGGGAGACUGUCAAGAAAGCUCCUUUUCCAACUCCCCGCCAGAUCACAAUUGCCCAGCAUUCGGGCAAAAUGUCCGAGAUGGUUCAGCAGUCUAUCUACCAGGCUUUCAUUGAUCAAUCCCUGGUGAUAACUAACAUGGUAUACAAUGCCGUCAUCAGCUCCCUGACCAAUGGCGUAUCUCAAGGGUACCAGGGGUCGGCGUACGCCCCACCUAUUACAGCCCCAGUCAGGAGUUUUCCAAGCGCAUCCCACUCGGCUCCUCAGCUGAUCCAAGCUCAACAUGGAGGACCCGAGGCUUCUUUGCCACCAGUGCACCCAGGAUACAACGGUCCACCGUACCUCCCAUCGCAAGUGCUACCUUAAUCCGUUCAAAUUUCCUCCGCGCAAUCGUCACCAUUAAAUGCAGUGCCUUGGGGGGCACCAUCAACGAUGGCCGUCCAAGAUCAAUCGGACGGUUCUGGGGGCUCUCCGAUCCAGGCACUAUUCCAAUCGGUCGUUCGGCCGACGAUCCCGCAGUAUCAACCGGCCAUGCCUGAAGUUGGCAGGGGAGCAGAUACUGCUGAGGCGCUCUGAGGUGCUGCGCCGAUUAUACUAUAUGAUGAAGCAGCCGGUUCUCUGAAACACUAGACGCUGACCACGCAGCUGGCCACAUCACCGCAGAACCCGCCGCACGCUUUCGUCCAUCACUCAGUCAUCCCACCGCCGAUCUACAAAAAUGUGCCGGCUCCCCAGCCAGUAGUUCAUCAACAUCAAGUAGACUGGACGGCAAGGAUAGCAGAGGUGAUCCAAGAUCAAUUCGGUUUGAAGACGAAGGUACAAACUUACACGUACAGAACACCGUACCCACCAGCCUACGACCUACUGCCGUUUCUGUUGGAGGUAUGCCCUAGAGGCAAUCAUAGAGAUGAUGAUAUUCCAUUUGUAUCCAUGAUUUGUAUAUUGUGUUCAUUGAAUAUCCAUUGAAGGCUACUUGAAUUGAUUUGCAAUUAUGUGAAUUGUAUGUGAAACUCUUUACUUGUAUGGUUAUUCUAAAGUUGUCCCUAGUCGGAGUUCAUGUGCGGACACACAUGAAUAUUAGACUAGCACAUGUAUUAGUUGAUGACUAUGUUUCACAAGUCAUGGACAUGGAGAUGUUGAACUAAUAAUGUGGAGACAUGUGCUAGGACUGACCCAACACGAGAAGUGGUUCUCUCUUUAAACAACAUAUACGCUUUGUCCUUAGACCUGAGAUUGUCGCAUGUAUUCUAGAUGUGGAUCGACCUACUUAGGGGCUAUCAAACGCUACGCCGUAACAGGGUAGUUAUGAAGGUAGCUUUCGGGUUUGUCAAGAAGCAUGCUAUGAGACAUGGUCAAUCAAGAUGGGAUUUGCCCCUCUCUGAUUGAGAGUGAUAUCUCUGGGCCCCUCGAGUGAUCGGAUCCAAAAAUGCAUGGCCAUGCUACGUAUGGUUAAGAGUUAACCUACAAAGGGAUUCCGAAUCACAGGAUCGAGAAAGAGCGGUCGGCUUGAAGCUAGACCAAAUAUCGUGAGGCAAAGGGAAUAGCAUGUAUAUUAUGUUGUGAUGGUUCAUCUGAUAUGAUCUUCGUGUGCGUAUAGGAGUUGGCACGUCUUGCUAGAGGCCGCUACCGACUAUUGGGCCAAGUAGGAGUACUCGGGCCAUGUCUAUACGUAUCCGAACCCACAGGGUCAUACACUUAAGGGGCUGGAAGCCCAAUUCGGAUCAGAUCCAAGUUGGAUUAGGUUUAGAAGUACUAAUGGGCCUCGGAUCCAGAGGCCCGUCAGGAACGUCUAUAAAUAGAGGGGUGGGGGCGCCCUAGGGUUUACACCUUUUGGUGAAACACACCUGCCGCGCCUCCCACGCCCUCGCCUGUUGCAACUCGCGGAUCUAGCAGUCCGGGUUGCGACGCUUCCUCCCUGCACGUGUGGAUAGCUUGGAGGUUUUGUGCCUGCAGCACUUGGAUGAGCCGCCCACGAGCCGCCGACGAGCCACGACGAGCCGCGGCACUGGAGGCGAUCUUGCUGCACGUGGACGAGCUACUGAGGAGCUGCUGGAUGUGAUCGACUACGUACGACUACGUUGAUCGACUACGUACGACUACGUGAUCGUCUUCACUACAUCGACACAUAUCUACAUAUUCCGCACCAGUAGUGCGUCGAGUGGUAAUCACGUGAUCCUUAUACGGCAGUUCUUCCUGGUUAUACGCGGUAGAAUUUUUGAAUUGCGCUAGUGUAGCCUACCUCGUAUCUCUAUAGUGGUAUCAGAGCCGUAGGCUCUUAGUUUUGGAUUCGGGAUGUGUGCAUAUGGAGAUAUGCGAGUUUUCCGUUUGAUCUAUGUCCUGUUUUCGUGCCCUUGCUGCAAUGGUAGUGUAACGACAUACUCCUACCGGUCGGUUUCCGCCAUCGGAGUUAAGUGAUACACGUAAAUCCAGUUGCAGUGAGUGAAGAUCAAUAUUAUUGGUCGAAUCGAAAUCCAGGGUCAUACGCCAGGCGCAUUAGAUGUGCAAUAGUAGAUGGGAUCUACUGCCGGGGUCGGGAUUUUUGCCGUAUGCGUAUGCUUCGGUAAAUCAGCCAUAACUUUUCGGUACGAUCUCGGAUCGGGGCGAAUUUUAUAUGAAAAUUGAUCUACAAAAAAAGUUACACAUGAAAUUCAACCGCUUCGCCGUUUUCGGCGAAAUUAUAUUUCCCAAAUUCGGCUUGGAAGAUGGAGUUUCGGGCCUCCGAAGUUUGGAACGUUAGGGCGCCUAACUCUGUUUUGCAGGAUGUAUGUAUGUAUCUUGUGAUUAGUAUGGCCCCGUUGUGUAUGUGAUGCAUGUGUGUAACUCAUUCGUGACCUGCGUGUCACGCGUACGGCAACACGGCAGGAGCCAUAUGUGUUGUCACUUUAUUGUAUUUAAUGGUCUGCGUACCAAUCUGUGAUGAUCCAAGCAACUAUGUAAUCUUCAUUACUAGAUUCUUUACUAGCUAUUAGGCGUAAUAGCAUGUUCUAGUUCUUGGAGGACUCAUCACCAGGAGGAUGGCACACAUGGAACAUGGAGAUGGAGAUCACCAUGGUGAACAGGUUCUAUGGAGAUGGAGAUCACCAUAUGAAAACGGGCCAUACUGUGUCACAGCUGUGUGAAUGCUAUUCUGUUUAUGUUUUACUUUCUGCAUGUUGUGAUGUUAGAAGUAGAACGAUCCCUCACAAAGUUUAAGUUAGUAUGCCCUCCCAACUAAAACUUGCACCGUCCCAUGUCUUGUACAAUUAGUGGUGGGUCUAUGAAAUUAGGGUGCCACUAGUUUUCCUUGACUAGACGGGUUUGUGUCGGACACUUACACGCAUAAGGGUUGGUUUGCUUAACAAGGUUAUCUUAACGGUUAAGGACCUUGGGGCAUAAAGGUUGGGCGCCGAGACAUAGAGAUGUCACCCAACAACAGGAGUCAUAUGUGAUAUGAUUAGCAAAAGUUGCUUACCGAUCUACCUCGUUUGCUAGCGGUGAUGCUAAAGCUCACUAGUAGACUUGUUAGUUGUGGAUCCUGAAUCACUAAGUAGAGGGAUAUUGACUUUAGUGGGAGUAGAUUCUGUUAAAAUAGUUUAAUGUAAUUUGCUCUAUCAUGGAUACGUUUGUCUUAGUGUAUUUUGCAUUACUUUUGUUGUAGAUUAAAUGGCACCUAGCAACACCACCACAUCGUUUGCUUUGCGUUCGGUCCUUGAGAAGGACAAGUUGAAUGGAACAAACUACUCGGAUUGGAUCCGUAACCUGAGAAUUGUUCUCAGGGCCGAUAAAAAGGAAGAUGUUCUAGACACCCCACUACCACCAGUACCUGCUAAUGAUGCAUCUGCCACCGUUAAGGCUGCUUACAAGAAGGCAUUUGAUGCUAAUCUUGAGGUAAGCUGCCUUAUGCUUGCUUGCAUGGAACCCGAGCUGCAGAUGCAGUUCGAAACAAAUCAUGAGGCACACGAUAUGAUCGUGGUGCUCAAGGACAUGUUCCAGACACAGGCUAGGACCGAAAGGUUCAAUGUGUCCAAAGCCUUUCUGGAGUGCAAGUUAGCAGAAGGCGCAGCAGUAGGACCACAUGUAAUCAAGAUGGUUGGUUACACUCAGCGAUUGGAGAAGCUGGGCUUCCCAAUGGGCAAAGAGUUGGCCACUGACUUCAUUCUUUCAUCUCUUCCGCCUAGCUAUGGGAACUUCAUCUCGAACUACCAUAUGCAUGGGACGGAGAAGGGUUUGAAUGAACUGUGUGGUAUGCUCAAGACAGCAGAGGUAGACAUCAAGAAAAGCGUUAGUACCAGCCAUGUGAUGGCUAUACAGAACAAGCCUAGAUUUAAGAAGAAGGGCAAUUCUUGGAAGAAGAAGGGCAAGGCUGGAACGUCCAAGCCAAACCCAGCGCCCAAGGUUAAAGCUGGACCUUGACAUGCUCCAGACAAAGAGUGCUUUUACUAUUAUGAACUUGAUCACUGGAAGAGAAACUGCAAGCAGUACCUAGCUUCGUUGAAGAAUGGCGGAAGUAAGAGUACUUCUACCUGUUGGGAUACGAGGUAGGCUACACUAGCGCGAAUCAAAAUUUCUACCGCGUAAAACAAGGAAGAACUGCCGUAUAAGGAUCACGGGAUUACAACUCGAUGCACUACUGGUGCGGAAGAUGUAGAUAUGCGUCGAUGCAGUGAAGACGAUCACGUAGUCAUACGUAGUCGAUCAACGUAGUCGUACGUAGUCGAUCACGUCCAGCAGCUCCUCAGCAGCUCGUCCACGUGCAGCAAGAUCGUCUCCGGUGCCGCGGCUCGUCGUCGGCUCGUCGUGGCUCGUCGGUGGCUCGUCCAAGUGCUGCAGGCGCAACACCUCCAAGGUAUCCACGCGUGCAGGGAGGAAGCGUCGCAAGCCGGACUGCUAGAUCCGCGAGUUGCAACAGGCGAGGGCGUGGGAGGCGCGGCAGAUGUGUUUCGCCAAAAAGGGUGUAAACCCUAGGGCGCCCCCACCCCUCUAUUUAUAGAGGUUCCUGACGGGCCUCUGGGUCCGAGGCCCAUUAGUACUUCUAAACCUAAUCCAACUCGGAUCUGAUCCGAAUUGGGCUUCCAGCCCCUUAAGUGUGUGACCCUAUGGGUUCGGAUACGUAUAGACAUGGCCCGAGUACUCCUACUCGGCCCAAUAGUCGGUAGCGGCCUCUAGCAAGACGUGCCAACUCCUAUACGCACACGAAGAUCAUAUCAAACGAACCAUCACAACGUAAUAUACAUGCUAUUCCCUUUGCCUCAUGAUAUUUGGUCUAGCUUCAAGCCGACCGCUCUUUCUCGAUCCUGUGAUUCGGAAUCCCUUUGUAGGUUAACUCUUAACCGUACGUAGCAUGGCCAUGCAUUUUCGGAUCCGAUCACUCGAGGGGCCCAGAGAUAUCACUCUCAAUCAGAGAGGGGCAAAUCCCAUCUUGAUUGACCAUGUCUCAUAGCAUGCUUCUUGACAGACCCGAAAGCUACAUUUAGAACUACCCUGUUACGGCGCAGCGUUUGAUAGCCCCUAAGUAGGUCGAUCCACAUCUAGAAUACAUGCGACAAUCUCAAGUCUAAGGACAAAGCGUAUAUGUUGUUUAAAGAGAGAACUACUUCUCGUAUUGGGUCAGUCCUAGCACAUGUCUCCACAUGUGUCCACAUUAUUAGUUCAACAUCUCCAUGUCCAUGACUUGUGAAACAUAGUCAUCAACUAAUACAUGUGCUAGUCUAAUAUUCAUGUGUGUCCUCACAUGAACUCCGACUAGGGACAACUUAACAAUAACCAUACAAGUAAAGAGUUUCACAUACAAUUCACAUAAUUGCAAAUCAAUUCAAGUAGCCUUCAAUGAAUAUUCAAUGAACACAAUAUACAAAUCAUGGAUACAAAUGGAAUAUCAUCAUCUCUAUGAUUGCCUCUAGGGCAUACCUCCAACAAUAUCUCAGGUACGCUUGUUGUUAAUGUUAUAGACAACAUAUUUCUCGCUGAUACAAUUAUUAAUUCUUGGGUAUUUGAUACCGGAUCGGUUGCUCAUAUUUGCAAUUCGAUGCAGGGAAUGAUAAGAAGUAGAAGCGUGGAAAGAGGAGAAGUUGAUUUCCACGUGGGCAAUAAUGCAAGAGUUGCUGCGUUGACCGUCGGGACGAGGCAACUCCACCUCCCGUCAGGAUUUAUUAUGGAGUUGAAUAAUUGUUAUUUUGUUCCUAGUUUAAGUCGAAACAUUUUGUCUCCUUCAUGCUUGAUGAAGGAUGGUUAUUCAUUUGCGAGUGAAAACAAUGGUUGUCUGAUCUCUAAGCAUAAUAUGUUUAUGGCUUUUGCACCCAUUGUGAAUGGAUUAUUUGUUUUAAAUCUUGAUGGUUCACCUGUCUUUAAUGUAAGUGCUAAAAGGCCUCGGCCUAAUGAUUUGAGUCCUACCUACUUGUGGCAUUGUCGUUUGGGUCAUAUAAGUGAAAAGCGCAUGAAGAAGCUCUAUUCUGAUGGACUUCUAACUUCGUUUGAUUUUGAAUCAUACGAGACAUGUGAGGCUUGCUUGCUAGGCAAGAUGACCAAGACGCCUUUCACAGGAUUUCCUGAGAGAGCAGUAGACUUGUUGGAACUCGUACAUAGUGAUGUAUGCGGACCAAUGAGCACGACGGCUAGAGGAGGAUUCCAAUACUUCAUAACUUUCACUGAUGAUUUUAGUAGAUAUGGCUAUGUCUACUUGAUGAGGCACAAGUCUGAAACCUUUGAAAAGUUCAAGGAAUUUCAGAAUGAAGUUGAAAAUCAGCGUGCCAAGAAAAUUAAGGCCUUACGAUCUGAUCGUGGAGGCGAGUAUUUGAGCCACGAGUUUAGCAAUCAUCUAAAGAGUUGCGGAAUUGUUCCACAACUUACGCCGCCUGGAACACCUCAGAGAAACGGUGUGUCCGAGCGACGUAAUCGAACUUUGUUACACAUGGUUCGAUCAAUGAUGAGCCAGUCGGACCUACCGUUGUCAUUUUGGGGAUACACUCUAGAAACAGCAGCUUUCACACUUAAUAGGGUACCAUCUAAAUCCAUAGUUAAGACACCAUAUGAGAUAUGGACUGGAAAGGUUCCUAGUUUGUCUUUUCUAAAGAUUUGGGGAUGUGAAGUGUUUGUCAAGCGACUUCAGUCGGACAAGAUCACACCCAAGUUGGAUAAGUGCAUUUUCGUGGGAUAUCCAAAGGAAACUUUGGGAUAUUAUUUCUACAACCGAUCAGAAGGCAAAGUGUUUGUCGCCCGGAACGGGGUUUUCCUAGAGAAAGAGUUUCUCAAAGGAGAAAAGAGUGGAAAGACAGUGCAUCUUGAAGAAGUUCAAGAUGAGCCGAUCGGGCAAGAAUCAAUGAAUGAUGCUAACGUAGCAGAACAAGUUGAGAUACCCAUGGCAAGAGAAGCACCGCCACAACCACGAAGGUCGGCAAGGCUCCGCGAAAUGCGGGAAAUAUUAUUGUUGGACAAUGAUGAGCCUGCGACAUAUGCAGAAGCAAUGAUGGACCCAGACUCCAAAAAAUGGCAGAGUGCCAUGCAAUCCGAAAUAGAGUCCAUGGGAGACAAUCAAGUUUUGAACUUGGUUGACCCGCCUGAUGGUGUUGAAGCCAUAGAGUGCAAGUGGAUCUAUAAAGCACGACUUGUCGCAAAAGGUUUUCGACAAGUUCAAGGAGUUGACUACGACGAGACCUUCUCGCCCGUAGUGAUGCUUAAGUCCAUUCGGAUUAUUCUAGCUAUAGCUGCAUAUUUCGAUUAUGAGAUAUGGUAGAUGGAUGUCAAGACAACUUUCUUGAAUGAAAACCUAGCUGAGGACGUGUAUAUGAUACAGCCCGAGGGUUUUGUCGAUCCGAAAAAUGCUGGAAAGGUAUGCAAGCUUCAGAGAUCCAUUUAUGGAUUGAAGCAAGCAUCUAGGAGUUGGAACAUUCGUUUUGAUGAAGUGGUCAAAGGGUUUGACUUCACCAAGAACGAAGAAGAGUCUUGUGUUUACAAGAAGGUUAGUGGGAGCUCUGUAGUAUUUCUAAUCUUAUAUGUGGAUGACAUAUUACUGAUUGGAAAUAACAUUCCUAUGCUUGAGUCCGUAAAGACUUCACUGAAAAAUAGUUUUUCGAUGAAGGACUUAGGGGAAGCGGCAUAUAUUCUGGGUAUUAAGAUCUAUAGAGAUAGAUCGAGAAGGCUUAUAGGUUUAAGCCAAGAUACUUACAUUGACAAAGUGUUGAAGCGGUUCAGCAUGGAAGAGGCAAAGAAAGGGUUCUUGCCUACGUCACAUGGCAUACAUCUCAGCAAGACUCAGUGUCCUUCGACUGCUGAUGAGCGGGAUCGCAUGAGUAGAGUGCCAUAUGCCUCGGCUAUUGGAUCUAUCAUGUAUGCAAUGAUAAGUACUCGCCCAGAUGUUUCAUAUGCGCUAAGUAUGACAAGCAGACACCAAUCUGAUCCAGGUGAGAGUCACUGGACAGCGGUGAAAAACAUUCUUAAGUACUUGAGAAGGACUAAAGAUAUGUUCCUCGUCUAUGGAGGUGAGGAGGAUCUCGUUGUAACAGGUUACACCGAUGCUAGUUUCCAAACCGACAGAGAUGAUUCAAAGUCACAAUCAGGAUUUGUGUUGACGCUAAAUGGUGGUGCUGUUAGUUGGAAGAGUUCCAAGCAGGAGACGGUGGCCGAUUCUACGACAGAAGCUGAGUACAUCGCGGCUUCAGAAGCCGCGAAGGAAGGUGUUUGGAUAAGGAAUUUCCUCAUUGAGCUUGGUGUGUUCCCGAAUGCGUCGAGCCCAUUGAAUCUCUACUGUGAUAACAAUGGGGCAAUUGCGCAAGCAAAGGAGCCAAGGAACCACCAGAAGAACAAACACGUAAUGCGGCGAUUUCAUCUCAUUCGAGACUUCGUUAACCGGGGUGAGAUCAAGAUAUGCAAAAUACACACGGAUCUGAACAUUUCUGAUCCGUUGACAAAACCACUCCCGCAGUCUAAGCAUGAUGCGCAUGUUAGAGCUAUGGGUAUUAGGUACCUUCUAGAUUGACUCUAGUGCAAGUGGGAGACUGUUGGAGGUAUGCCCUAGAGGCAAUCAUAGAGAUGAUGAUAUUCCAUUUGUAUCCAUGAUUUGUAUAUUGUGUUCAUUGAAUAUCCAUUGAAGGCUACUUGAAUUGAUUUGCAAUUAUGUGAAUUGUAUGUGAAACUCUUUACUUGUAUGGUUAUUCUAAAGUUGUCCCUAGUCGGAGUUCAUGUGAGGACACACAUGAAUAUUAGACUAGCACAUGUAUUAGUUGAUGACUAUGUUUCACAAGUCAUGGACAUGGAGAUGUUGAACUAAUAAUGUGGACACAUGUGGAGACAUGUGCUAGGACUGACCCAACACGAGAAGUGGUUCUCUCUUUAAACAACAUAUACGCUUUGUCCUUAGACCUGAGAUUGUCGCAUGUAUUCUAGAUGUGGAUCGACCUACUUAGGGGCUAUCAAACGCUACGCCGUAACAGGGUAGUUAUGAAGGUAGCUUUUGGGUUUGUCAAGAAGCAUGCUAUGAGACAUGGUCAAUCAAGAUGGGAUUUGCCCCUCUCUGAUUGAGAGUGAUAUCUCUAGGCCCCUCGAGUGAUCGGAUCCAAAAAUGCAUGGCCAUGCUACGUACGGUUAAGAGUUAACCUACAAAGGGAUUCCGAAUCACAGGAUCGAGAAAGAGCGGUCGGCUUGAAGCUAGACCAAAUAUCGUGAGGCAAAGGGAAUAGCAUGUAUAUUAUGUUGUGAUGGUUCGUCUGAUAUGAUCUUCGUAUGCGUAUAGGAGUUGGCACGUCUUGCUAGAGGCCGCUACCGACUAUUGGGCCAAGUAGGAGUACUCGGGCCAUGUCUAUACGUAUCCGACCCAUAGGGUCACACACUUAAGGGGCUGGAAGCCCAAUUCGGAUCAGAUCCGAGUUGGAUUAGGUUUAUAAGUACUAAUGGGCCUCGGAUCCAGAGGCCCGUCAGGAACCUCUAUAAAUAGAGGGGUGGGGGCGCCCUAGGGUUUACACCUUUUGGCGAAACACACCUGCCGCGCCUCCCACGCCCUCGCCUGUUGCAACUCGCGGAUCUAGUAGUCCGGCUUGCGACGCUUCCUCCCUGCACGUGUGGAUACCUUGGAGGUGUUGCGCCUGUAGCACUUGGACGAGCCGCCGACGAGCCGCCGACGAGCCACGACGAGCCGACGACGAGCCGCGGCAUCGGAGGCGAUCUUGCUGCACGUGGACGAGCUGCUGAGGAGCUGCUGGACGUGAUCGACUACGUACGACUACGUUGAUCAACUACGUACGACUACGUGAUCGUCUUCACUGCAUCGACGCAUAUCUACAUAUUCCGCACUAGUAGUGCGUCGAGUGGUAAUCCCGUGAUCCUUAUACGGCAGUUCUUCCUGGUUAUACGCGGUAGAAUUUUUGAAUUGCGCUAGUGUAGCCUACCUCGUAUCUCUACAGUUUCCACAUCGGUACAAAGUUCCCGACUUCACCAAGUUUUCGGGGCUUGAUGACACCUCAACUGUGGAGCACGUGAACAGAUUCAUCAUCCAAUGUGGAGAGGCAGCUACACAGGAUGCCCUGUGGGUGCAUCUUUUCUCAUCAUCUCUGUCUGGUUCAACCUUCCAAUGGUUCCCUACGCUACCACCCAACUCCAUAGUUACUUGGGCUGACUUGGAGAAGCAGUUCCACAAGUACUUCUAUGAGGGAGUGCAUGAGAUGAAGCUCUCAGACCUGACUAGCCUCAGGCAAAGAAGCAAUGAGCCAGUGUCCACAUAUGUGCAGAGGUUCAGGGAGGUCAGAAACAAGUGCUACACCCUAAUCCUAACCGAUGCACAGCUGGUCGAUAUAGCCUUCCAACGUCUCUUGCCACACAUCAAAGAGAAGUAUGCUUCCCGAGAGUUUGAAAGCCUAAGCCAAAUUGUGCACUGAUUGUCUGGUCAAGAGGUACGCCCUUUUGAUCAACGGAGGAAUUUUCAGAAGAAGGUGGCAUACCUAGAAGGAUCUGAAUCCAAAGAGGAGGCGGAAAUCGGCCUAGCAGAGUGGGUUAAGGGGAAAACACUGAUAUCAUGUCCUUUCGGGAAAAAGGAACCAGAGGCAUUCGGUUUUGACACGUCAAAGGCCGACAAAAUUUUUGACCUACUCCUCCAAGAAGGAUAGAUCAAGCUCUCACCCUACCAUACGAUUCCAUCGGCCGAGCAACUGAAAAAGAUGAAGUAUUGCAAAUGGCAUAAUGCCACGUCCCAUGACACAAAUGAGUGCAAGAUCUUCCGUCAAUAGAUACAAUCGGCCAUUGAGCAAGGCAGGCUCAAAUUUGAGGUCCCGACAAAGCCAGCAAAGCCAAUGAAGAUUGAUCAGCAUCCUUUCCCCACCAACAUGGUUGAUACAGGAAGGAACGCGCUUCAAACCAAAGUGCUGACAUCGGAAUCGGCUAAAAAGAACGGCGUUGUGGACCCCAGGAAUCAAGCUGCACCUGAGGAUGUCAAAGGGAAGAGACCGAUGGAUGAUGAAGGCGAAGGAUCGGAAGGACCACACAGACCCCUCACUUCCCAAAUUUUACUCAACAAAUACUAGCGGCAACAAGAAAGUUCAAGAUUUCGCGAAGAGAUGAUGUGACGACACGAAGAUCAUUGGCGAUGUCCGUUCUUCAUCCAUUGUUGGGAAAAUAACCUCAGGUUGCCAUCGGCCGAUAAUUGCCCAAAAUGCAACGGUCCAUAUCGCAACAACCGCCCUUUUAGAAGGUCUCGUUCCAGAGACAGAGGAUCAGAGCCAUUCAGUAGAAACUGGCACGAGCAGAAGGAUCGGCGCCUUUCAGUGCGUGAUCGGCUGGGGGCAGGAGUGACCGAUAUGAUCGGCCGAAGGACAGACACGAGCGAUACGAUAGGCCAGGGGGUAGGACCGACCAACAUGACUGACCAGAGGGCAGAGUCAGUGCACACGAUCGGCUGAAAGAGAUGGCCGAUGCUCGGGUGUCAGAUGAAAAUCCCUUGGGGCGAGAGCCAGAAUGGGAGCGUGCCAGACUGCCGGCCAAAACAGUGAACCCCAGGUGGUGCCCUGACGGGUUGACUAAGUCCCAAAAAAGAAGAAUCCAGCGUCUGCGCCAAUGGGAGCAAUAGGAGGAAGAGCAGCAACGGAUAGUGGAUAAAAAGAACGACGAAUCUCAGGUUUGGCUCCCCAAAAGAAACAACAGGGAAGGCGACAACAACCAAGAAUCGGCAGCCGAUGUCAGCAUGGUUUUCAUCUUGCCGAUGGAAUUCAUGGCUCCCGCCGACUGGUAUGACACAUCAGAGAUGGAGGAACAGAUGGCGCAAUUGGCUUUGGAGCCAAUGACGGCCACUUUUGAGAAACCCGAAGAUGAAAAAUGGCAACACCUUAAGGCGCUGUUCCUCAAAGGACAUGUCAACGGUCGACCUGUCACCAGACUACUAAUAGAUGGAGGCGCUGCAGUCAACAUCAUGCUGUACGCCAUGUUCCGAAAAUUGGGUAAAAGCGAUGAAGACCUAACCAAGACGGACAUGAUGCUCAAGGACUUCGAAGGCAACGUGUCUCCCGCCCGCGGUGCUCUUUGCAUCGACCUCACCAUUGGCAGUAAGACCCUCCCCACUAAUUUUUUAUUAUUAAUGGCAAAGGGUCCUACAAUAUGUUACUCGGUCGCGAUUGGAUACACACAAAUUGCUGCGUCCCGUCCACAAUGCAUCAAUGCCUCGUACAAUGGGUCAGCGAUAACGUCAAAAUAGUCACCGCCGAUUCCGCUUACAGCAUUGCUGCGACCGACGCGCGACAAUGGAGCUGCGAACACGUCAAGUGCAUAUCCGGAAGGACUUGGGACACCGAUUUCCUGAAAGUGUCCGAUUUUGGCCUACAGCCGAUCUGAGCAGUCGACUCUGAAGAUUCAGAUUAAAUGGAUCAAUUCAUUCGAGAAGAUGGAAAGCUGGGGCACAGGUUUAUGUCAGCUGAUUCAUUAGAAAUGGUAGAUUUAAGUGAUGGCACCAAGCCAAGGCUGACGUACAUUAGUGCUAACUUGGAUCCAGAAUAUAAAUGUAAAUUGACAAAUUUAUUGAAAGAAUUUAAAAAUUGUUUUACUUGGGAAUAUCAUGAAAUGCCUGGUCUGGACCGGUCCAUUGUUGAACACCGGUUGCCCAUAAAGUUGGGGUAUCGGCCGUAUCAACAACCCGCACGACGGUGCAACCCUAAAAUUCUACCUGAUAUAAAGGCCGAGAUUACAAGGCUGAUUGAAGCAAAAUUUAUUCGGCAGUGCCGUUAUGCCGAGUGGAUCUCCAAUAUUGUGCCUGUAUACAAGAAAAACCGAAAGCUGCGCGUGUGCAUUGACUUUAGGAACCUUAAUCAGGCUACACCGAUGGACGGGUAUCCAAUGCCGACAGCCGAUGUGUUGAUAGAUGUCGCCGUAGGACAUAAAGUCAUCAGUUUUAUGGAUGGAAACGCCGGGUACAAUCAAAUAUUAAUGGCUGAAGAAGACAUUUCAAACGGCUUUCAGAUGCCCGGGCCACCUCGGUUUAUUCGAGUGGGUGGUAAUGACCUUUGGAUUGAAGAACGCCGGUGCUACAUAUCAACGGGCCAUGAAUUAUAUAUUUGACAAGCUUAUCGACGUACUGGUAGAGAUUUACAUCGACGACGUCGUGGUCAAGUCAAAAGGACACCAGGAACAUCUGGCCAAUCUGCGGGAAGUAUUGGAAUGCACGAGGAAGCAUGGGUUGAAAAUGAACCCGAACAAGUGCGCUUUCGGCGUAUCCGCUGGGCAAUUUUUGGGAUUCAUGGUUCAUGAGCGUGGGAUAGAGGUCAACCAGAAAAUCAUAGCGGCUAUUAAUAAAGUCGUGGCCCCACAGAAUAAAACCGAGCUACAGUCCUUGAUCGGCAAAGUCAAUUUCAUCAGAAGAUUCAUAUCCAACCUGUCCAGGCGUAUUCAAGCUUUCACACCUUUACUAAAGUUGAAACCCGACCAAGAGUUCAUGUGGGGAAAAGAACAACGCAGGGCACUGGAAGACAUCAAGUAGUACCUCAUCUCACCACCUGUGUUGGUCCCACCGCAGGUUGAUAAGUCGUUCAAGCUAUACUUAUCGGCCGAUGAACGAGCUAUUGGAUCGGCGCUGGUACAGGAAUUCGAAGGAAAGGAACGGGUGAUAUAUUAUGGUAGCAGAAGACUUCUAGACGCCAAAACAAGAUAUUUCCCGGUAGAGCAACUGUGCCUGUGUCUUUACUUCUCAUGCACCAAGCUCAGACACUACCUGUUAUCGGCAGAAUGCGUAGUUGUAUGCAAAGAUGACAUAGUAAAAUACAUGUUGUCGUGGCCAAUUUUGAAAGGACGAAUUGGAAAGUGGAUCUUGGCUUUGUCAGAGUUUGAUCUAAGAUAUGAAUCGGCCAAAGCCUUCAAAGGUCAAGUCAUGGCCGAUUUCGUCGCCCAGCACUGCGGACCAGAAGUUGCUGUCGUGGAGCCGGUUCCGUGGACUCUAUAUUUUGAUGGAUCAUCUUGCGGGGCCGGAUCAGGAAUCGGCAUCGUUCUAAUAACCAGGCGGAAUACCGAGCCGUCCUGAAAGGGAUACAAUUAUUGAGGGAGAUCAAGGCCGACGCUAUGGAAAUUUUUGGGGAUUCCAUGCUCAUCGUAGACCAAUUGACAGAAAGGUCCGAAUGCAAAGAUGAUGUUUUGAGAAUCUACUAUGAAGAUUGCCUCCGACUUUUGAAGGAAUUCAAGUCCGCAGUUAUUGAGCAUAUUCCCAGAAACUAUAAUGAGGAGGCUAAUAGGCUCGCUCAACACGCAUCCAGGUAUCGGCCAAUUCAAGGCGCCAUGACUCUGGAACUCGCAGCCGACGACUGGCGAAAAGAGAUCGCCGAUUACUUAAAGGACCCUUCCAAGAAAGUGGAUCGGCGGGUGCGUUUUCAAGCCACAAAAUAUGUACUACUAGAAGAUGAUUUAUUCUACCGAACAAUUGACGGAGUUUUGCUCAAAUGCCUAGGAACAGAGGAGGUGAAAAUCCUGAUGGGAGAGAUCCAUGAAGGGGUGUGCGAAGCCCAUCAAUCGGCCCAUAAGAUGAAGUGGAUGAUUAGGAUCAACGGAUAUUAUUGGCCAAAGGUUCUUGAAGAUUACUUCAAAUAUUAUAAAGGGUGCCAGGAUUGUCAGAAAUUUGGAAACGUGCAGCGUGCACCCGCAUCGGCCAUGAAUCCGAUAAUCAAGCCAUGGCCGUUCAGAGGUUGGGGAAUAGACCUCAUCGGACAAAUUUAUCCUCCAUCAAACAAGGGGCAUAAAUUCAUCGUAGUAGCCACGGACUAUUUCACCAAAUGGGUGGAGGCGAUUCCAUUAAAGGUCAUAACAUCGGCCGCUAUGGUCGAUUUCAUGAGAGACCACAUUGUCUACUGCUUCGGCAUCCCUGAAACUAUCACAACCGAUCAGGGGACGAUGUUCACUUCGGGAGAGUUCGAGGAGUUCACUGCCGAUAUGGGAAUCAAAUUACUAAAUUCUUCUCCAUAUUAUGCUCAAGCUAAUGGCCAGGCCGAAUCUUCCAAUAAGGGGAUAAUUAAGUUGAUCAAAAGGAAGAUUGAGGAACAGCCUAAAAAGUGGCACUUAUGUUUGAUCGAAGCUUUAUGGGCGUACAGGAUGGCCUGCCACGGGUCUACUAAGAUACCCCCUUAUCAACUAGUGUAUGGUCACGAAGCAGUGUUGCCGUGGGAAUUGUGAACGGGGUCGAGACGUACAUCGCUUCAGGAUCAGUUGGCGGCCGAUGACUACUCCUCGCUUAUGAAAAGGGAACUCAAUGAUCUGGCAGGUCAACAUUUGAGGGCCCUGAUCAGCAUUGAGGAAAAUAAGAAGAAGGUGACCAUGUGGUACGACAAGAAGGUUAAAGUCAAGCAAUUCUCUCAAGGGGAUCUGGUAUGGAAGUUGGUGUUGGGAUACGAGGUAGGCUACGCUAGCGCAAAUCAAAAUUUCUACCGCGUAAAACCAGGAAUAACUGCCGUAUAAGGAUCACGGGAUUACCACUCGACGCACUACUGGUGCGGAAAAUGUAGAUAUGCGUCGAUGCAGUGAAGACGAUCAUGUAGUCGUACGUAGUCGAUCAACGUAGUCGUACGUAGUCGAUCACGUCAACGUCUAGUAGCUUCUCAACAGCUCGUCCACGUGCAGCAAGAUCGCCCCAGGUGCCGCGGCUCGUCGUUGGCUCGUCGUGGCUCGUCGGUGGCUCGUCCAAGUGCUGCAGGCGCAACACCUCCAAGGUAUCCACAUGUGCAGGGAGGAAGCGUCGCAAGCUGGACUGCUAGAUCCGCGAGUUGCAACAGGCGAGGGCGUGGGAGGCGCGGCAGGUGUGUUUCGCCAAAAAGGUGUAAACCCUAGGGCACCCCACCCCUCUAUUUAUAGAGGUUCCUAACGGGCCUCUGGGUCCGAGGCCCAUUAGUACUUCUAAACCUAAUCCAACUCGGAUCAGAUCCGAAUUGGGCUUCCAGCCCCUUAAGUGUGUGACCCUAUGGGUUCGGAUACGUAUAGACAUGGCCCGAGUACUCCUACUCGGCCCAAUAGUCGGUAGCGGCCUCUAGCAAGACGUGCCAACUCCUAUACGCACACGAAGAUCAUAUCAGACGAACCAUCACAACAUGGUAUACAUGAUAUUCCCUUUGCCUCACGAUAUUUGGUCUAGCUUCAAGCCGACCGCUCUUUCUCGAUCCUGUGAUUCGGAAUCCCUUUGUAGGUUAACUCUUAACCGUACGUAGCAUGGCCAUGCAUUUUCGGAUCCGAUCACUCGAGGGGCCCAGAGAUAUCACUCUCAAUCAGAGAGGGGCAAAUCCCAUCUUGAUUGACCAUGUCUCAUAGCAUGCUUCUUGACAAACCCGAAAGCUACCUUUAUAACUACCCUGUUACGGCGUAGCGUUUGAUAGCCCCUAAGUAGGUCGAUCCACAUCUAGAAUACAUGCGACAAUCUCAGGUCUAAGGACAAAGCGUAUAUGUUGUUUAAAGAGAGAACUACUUCUCGUGUUGGGUCAGUCCUAGCACAUGUCUCCACAUGUGUCCACAUUAUUAGUUCAACAUCUCCAUGUCCAUGACUUGUGAAACAUAGUCAUCAACUAAUACAUGUGCUAGUCUAAUAUUCAUGUGUGUCCUCACAUGAACUCGGACUAGGGACAACUUUAGAAUAACCAUACAAGUAAAGAGUUUCACAUACAAUUCACAUAAUUGCAAAUCAAUUCAAGUAGCCUUCAAUAUAUAUUCAAUGAACACAACAUACAAAUCAUGGAUACAAAUGGAAUAUCAUCAUCUCUAUGAUUGCCUCUAGGGCAUACCUCCAUUAGUCUCCCACUUGCACUAGAGUCAAUCUAGAAGGUACCUAAUACCCAUAACUCUUACAUGCGCAUCAUGCUUAGCCUGCGGGAGUGGUUUUGUCAACGGAUCAGAAAUGUUGAGAUCCGUGUGUAUUUUGCAUAUCUUGAUCUCACCCCGGUUAACGAAGUCUCGAAUGAGAUGAAAUCGCCGCAUUACGUGUUUGUUCUUCUAAAAUUCCUUGAACUUUUCAAAGGUUUCAGACUUGUGCCUCAUCAAGUAGAAAUAGCCAUAUCUACUAAAAUCAUCAGUGAAAGUUAUGAAGUAUUGGAAUCCUCCUCUAGCCGUCGUGCUCAUUGGUCCGCAUACAUCACUAUGUACGAGUUCCAACAAGUCUACUGCUCUCUCAGGAAAUCCUGUGAAAGGCGUCUUGGUCAUCUUGCCUAGCAAGCAAGCCUCACAUGUCUUGUAUGAUUCAAAAUCAAACGAAGUUAGAAGUCCAUCAGAAUGGAGCUUCUUCAUGCGCUUUUCACUUAUAUGACCCAAACGACAAUGCCACAAGUAGGUAGGACUCAAAUCAUUAGGCCGAGGCCUUUUAGCACUUACAUUACAGACAGGUGAACCAUCAAGAUUUAAAAUAAAUAAUCCAUUCACAAUGGGUGCAAAAUCCAUAAACAUAUUAUUCUUAGAGAUCACACAACCAUUGUUUUCACUCGCAAAUGAAUAACCAUCCUUCAUCAAGCAUGAAGGAGACAAAAUAUUUCGACUUAAACUAGAAACGAAAUAANNNNNNNNNNNNNNNNNNNNNNNNNNNNNNNNNNNNNNNNNNNNNNNNNNNNNNNNNNNNNNNNNNNNNNNNNNNNNNNNNNNNNNNNNNNNNNNNNNNNNNNNNNNNNNNNNNNNNNNNNNNNNNNNNNNNNNNNNNNNNNNNNNNNNNNNNNNNNNNNNNNNNNNNNNNNNNNNNNNNNNNNNNNNNNNNNNNNNNNNNNNNNNNNNNNNNNNNNNGUCUAUACAUUAACAACAAGCGUACCUGAGGUAGAAGUACUCUUACUUCCGCCAUUCUUCAAGGAAGCUAGGUACUGCUUGCAGUUUCUCUUCCAGUGACCAAGUUCAUGACAGUAAAAGCACUCUUUGUCUGGAGCAGGUCCAUGUCCAGCUUUAACCUUGGGCGCUGGGUUUGGCUUGGACGUUCCAGCCUUGCCCUUCUUCUUCCAAGACUUGCCCUUCUUCUUAAAGCUGGGCUUAAUCUGUAUAGCCAUCACAUGGCUGGUACUAGCGCUUUUCUUGAUGUCAGCCUCUUCUGUUUUAAGCAUGCCACACAGCUCAUUCAGACCCUUCUCUGUCCCAUGCAUAUGGUAGUUCGAGAUGAAGUUCCCAUAGCUAGGCGGAAGAGACGAAAGAAUGAAAUCAGUGGCCAACUCUUAGCCCAGUGGGAAGCCUAGCUUCUCCAACCGUUGAGUGUAACCAACCAUCUUGAUUACGUGUGGUCCUACUGCUGCGCCUUCUGCUAGCUUGCUCUCAACAAAGGCCUUAGACACAUUGAACCUUUCGGUCCUAGCCUGUGUCUGGAACAUGUCCUUGAGCGCCACGAUCAUAUCGUGCGCCUCAUGAUUUGUUUUGAACUGCAUCUGCAGCUCGGGUUCCAUGCAAGCAAGCAUAAGGCAGCUUACCUCAAGAUUAGCAUCAAAUGCCUUCUUGUAAGCAGCCUUAACGGCAGCAGAUGCAUCAUCAGCAGGUACUGGUGGUAAUGGGGUGUCUAGAACAUCUUCCUUUUUAUCGGCCCUGAGAACAAUUCUCAGGUUACGGAUCCAAUCCGAGUAGUUUGUUCCAUUCAACUUGUCCUUCUCAAGGACCGAACGCAAAGCAAACGAUGUGGUGGUGUUGCUAGGUGCCAUUUAAUCUACAACAAAGUAAUGCAAAAUACACUAAGACAAACGUAUCCAUGAUAGAGCAAAUUACAUUAAACUAUUUUAACAGAAUCUACUCCCACUAAAAUCAAUAUCCCUCUAUUGAAACUUAGUGAUUCAGGAUCCACAACUAACAAGUCCACUAGUGAGCUUUAGCAUCACCGCUAGCAAACGAGGUAGAUCGGUAAGCAACUUUUGCUAAUCAUAUCACAUAUGACUCCUGUUGUUGGGUGACAUCUCCAUGUCUCGGCGCCCAACCUUUAUGCCCCAAGGUCCUUAACCGUUAAGAUAACCUUGUUAAGCAAACCAACCCUUAUGCGUGGAAGUGUCCGACACAAACCCGUCUAGUCAAGGAAAACUAGUGGCACCCUAAUUUCAUAGACCCACCACUAAUUGUACAAGACAUGGGACGGUGCAAGUUUUAGUUGGGAGGGCAUACUAACUUAAACUUUGUGAGGGAUCGUUCUACUUCUAACAUCACAGCAUGCAGAAAGUAAAACAUAAACAGAAUAGCAUUCACACAGUAUGGCCCGUUUUCAUAUGGUGAUCUCCAUCUCCAUAGAACCUGUUCACCAUGGUGAUCUCCAUCUCCAUGUUCCAUGUGCGCCAUCCUCCUGGUGAUGAGUCCUCCAAGAACUAGAGCAUGCUAUUACGCCUAAUAGCUAGUAAAGAAUCUAGUAAUGAAGAUUACAUAAUUGCUUGGAUCAUCACAGAUUGGUACGCAGACCAUUAAAUACAAUAAAGUGACAACACAUAUGGCUCCUGCCGUGUUGCCGUACGCGCGACACGCAGGUCACGAAUGAGUUACACACAUGCAUCACAUACACAAGGGGGCCAUACUGAUCACAAGAUACAAACAUACAUCCUGCAAAACAGAGUUAGGCGUCCUAACGUUCCAAACUUCGGAUGCCCGAAACUCCAUCUUCCAAGCCGAAUUUGGGAAAUCUAAUUUUGCCAAAAAUGGCGAAGCGGUUGAAUUUCAUGUGUAACUUUUUCUGUAGAUCAAUUUUCAUAUAAAAUUCGCCCCGAUCCGAGAUCGUACCGAAAAGUUACGGCUGAUUUACCGAAGCAUACGCAUACGGCAAAAAUCCCGACCCCGGCAGUAGAUCCCAUCUACUAUUGCACAUCUAAUGCGCCUGGCGUAUGACCCUGGAUUUCGAUUCGACCAAUAAUAUUGAUCUUCACUCACUGCAACUGGAUUUACGUAUAUCACUUAACUCCGAUGGCGGAAACCGACCGGUAGGAGUAUGUCGUUACACUACCAUUGCAGCAAGGGCAUGAAAACAGGACAUAGAUCAAACGGAAAACUCGCAUAUCUCCAUAUGCACACAUCCCGAAUCCAAAACUAAGCAGCUACGGCUCUGAUACCACUGUAGAGAUACGAGGUAGGCUACACUAGCGCAAUUCAAAAAUUCUACCGCGUAUAACCAGGAAGAACUGCCGUAUAAGGAUCACGGGAUUACCACUCGACGCCCCUUAAGUGUGUGACCCUAUGGGUUCGGAUACGUAUAGACAUGGCCCGAGUACUCCUACUCGGCCCAAUAGUCGGUAGCGGCCUCUAGCAAGACGUGCCAACUCCUAUACACACACGAAGAUCAUAUCAGACGAACCAUCACAACAUAAUAUACAUGCUAUUCCCUUUGCCUCAUGAUAUUUGGUCUAGCUUCAAGCCGACCGCUCUUUCUCGAUCCUGUGAUUCGGAAUCCCUUUGUAGGUUAACUCUUAACUGUACGUAGCAUGGCCAUGCAUUUUCGGAUUCGAUCACUCGAGGGGCCUAGAGAUAUCACUCUCAAUCAGAGAGGGGCAAAUCCCAUCUUGAUUGACCAUGUCUCAUAGCAUGCUUCUUGACAAACCCGAAAGCUACCUUUAUAACUACCCUGUUACGGCGUAGCGUUUGAUAGCCCCUAAGUAGGUUGAUCCACAUCUAGAAUACAUGCGACAAUCUCAGGUCUAAGGACAAAGCGUAUAUGUUGUUUAAAGAGAGAACUACUUCUCGUGUUGGGUCAGUCCUAGCACAUGUCUCCACAUGUGUCCACAUUAUUAGUUCAACAUCUCCAUGUCCAUGACUUGUGUCCAUGUCCAUACAAGUAAAGAGUUUCACAUACAAUUCACAUAAUUGCAAAUCAAUUCAAGUAGCCUUCAAUGGAUAUUCAAUGAACACAACAUACAAAUCAUGGAUACAAAUGGAAUAUCAUUAUCUCUAUGAUUGCCUCUAGGGCAUACCUCCAAUAGUUGGUGCUGCUGAUUGGGUCCAAAGACCCUAAGUUCGGUAAAUGGUCUCCCAUGUGGGAAGGGCCGUAUAGAAUCGGCCGAUGCGCUCCAGGAAACGCAUACAUUCUAGAGAUGAUCGAAAGAGAAGAGUUUACAAGGGCCUUGAACGGGAGGUACUUGAAGAGAUACUAUCCUAGUAUAUGGGUCGAUGCAUAAAAUGGUUGCGGAGUAUGCCAGGAUAAAACGGCUAGUUCCUGGAUAAUCAUGUAGUCGAUGCGAAGAACGAAAUCCCCUUGAGGAGAAAAGUAAUCGUUCAUGCUGGCCGAUUUAUUAUUCGGUACAGACGAUAAGGUACAUGGCCGACACAGUAGAAGUCGCCCUUAGAACAAAAAUACUCAACCACGCUUUUUCUUGAGUUCCCUUUCGAUCUGACCUAAUUCUAUCAGGAGGCGGGUGCUUCUUUCUUCCACAUCUUUCAUCACGGCUUCCGCCUCAACCUGGUGUGGAAGAGAAUGGCUCCAAUCCAGUGCUGGUCGAGACGUUCCUACCGCGGCAUCUUCAAGGGAGACCGGACGAGGGAGAGGGUGUCUCCUAUCGACUGGCGGCCACCUAAGGCAGUUGCCGUCAAUGUGAUCUCGGAUCUGCCGAACGUCGUCAGGGAUAUGAUCUCUAAGUUCUUCACGGUGGGCCCUGAUCAGGUGCUCAUCUUCCUGUGACAACGGUUCGUCGGAGUGCAUCAGUUCGAUCGCCCGUUCGAGUUUGGGGCUAAGGCAUCUCGGCUGGAAGAGAUUAACACAUAACUGCCCAAUAUCAGAUUAGUUAAAAGAUCAUAUCGGAGAAGGAGAGACAAAGAAAGAUCUCGUACCUGGUUGACAGAAGGAGAAGAAAAGGAGGAGGAUGAAGAGGUCAUCUUAGCAAGUAUCCCGAUGGAACAAAGUGACCAGAGAGGGAAAGGAUGAGCGAGGCAAGUGCCCUUGAGGGCGAUACCGAGGCUGAUACUUAUAGGAGGAAAAGGGGUGAAGGUAAGACGCGUCCCAUCAGAGUAAAAAGGUAAUAAAUGAAAGGCCGCCAUGAAGGACGGGUCAAGAUUGAGUUUGGGCAUCAAACGGUCAAAAGAUAUUAAUGUUCUUACAGAACGGCCAGUACUUUUACAGUUCAUCCGAGAAGGGCAUUAAUGGCCACAAUCGCUCAUCGCCUAAUUUGAUCGGCCGAGUCUAGAACCCGCUGGUCGUCGUCCGCCGAUCCUGGAACCUCUAGCAUGUGGCGAUGAAGUCUGAGGGCCUCAUGGGCCAAGUGCUGCCUCUCCUGCUUCAGAUCGGCGAUAACGGAGGGAAGAUCUUGGAGUCUUUUCUCUUCAAUGGCUAUCUCCUUGGUCACCUGCUCCAUCUCCUUGGCGAGUUCCGCCCUUCGGCGCUUGAGGAGAUCUAUAGUACCAAUAAUACCCAGGCGGGAAUUCUCAAGGAAAUGAAUCUGGUGGUGUACCUCUUGGGCUCGGUGCUUAUACGAGUCUUCCUCCUCACGGGCUUUGGCCUGCGUCGCGCGAUCGGCCAUGUGGCGCAGAGCCCUGAACACUGGGAUCCGCAUCGACUCAAUAUAUGCGGUGGGCGCCAUGGCUUCUUCCGCCUCUUCUGGAACUCGGCCGCUGACGUCACUGAAGAGCUAUCAAAUCGGCGAAGCGUCCUCCACCAAUCGGCCAAUGUCUUCUUGAAGAAGGGUCCGUAUGCUCUCAAGCUUGGCGCGGACGUCAUCAGGGACCAAGCUCAGGGUAACUUGACGAGAAGCAACCUCCUCGUCAUCAGAAAGCGCGACCGCAAAAGAAAAGAGGCUGUUAUUGGGAGUGUCCUAUUCCUGCAAAAAGAGUGAGUAUAAGGAAAAUGAGUUAGCCGACGGUGAUAGCGAAUCGGCCGAUUCAGAUAAUGGAUCUCUUACUUCUUUGAAGCGGAUUUCCUCUACUUGUGCCUGCGGGAGUGCUACCCUCGGUUUAGGAGCUGGUGCGGCUGGCUCAUCAGAAGAGGAGGAUUCAACGAUUAUUGGUGUUCUGCUCGGACCGGCCUCUUGGAGAGCCUCUCUGGCCGAUGGCUGUUCAGAAGGUACAAUUAACGGGCCAAUAGCCUGUAUCAAGAGCGGUCAGGCCAUUGCUUGAAUGUUAAAGAAUUGAAUUAAGAGAUCCUAUACCUCAGUGGGGGAAAGUACUGGUGCUCCAGUUUUUGCCUGGGGUGUUGCCGAUUGCUGUGGAGCCUUCGGGGCAGUUUGUGCGGCCUAAUAUAAGGAAGGAGUCAGCAUCGGGAGAAUAAUCAGGAGGAUUUAAAUACAAGUUUACCUGAAUGGCUUCUAGUAGCAAUGAUGCGGCGGCCGCUCCGGCUUCAGCUUGGGGGUCAACCUCCUCGAUGACCGGGAGAAUCGGCGCCGCCAAAGUUUCCGCUGAUGCAGCCAUUGAUGGAUCGGCCGAUUCCGUGUGGGCACGCACUCGGCGGCUUGUUUUCUUUUUGAUUUUCUUCGGCACCUGCUUCAAUCAGCCGGUGAUGUCAUCAACGGAGGGGGCAUGGUAGCCGAUAAGGGGGAACUCCUUGUACGGAUAACGGUCCUCUAUCGACCGACCGCUCCGGCUGCGUCUUGGAGGGACUCGACUCUCAGACUGAAAGAAAAAAACAAGAGUUAGUGGUAUAAAAAAGGAAAAGGCAUCAAAAUCAGCUGAGGAAGGAACAAUACCUCUACGUUCGGAUCAAUGUUGUCGGGGUCCAAGAUGUUGCAGUAUAUCGCCAGGGAGGCGCAGAAGAGAUGUUGUUUCCAUUCUGCCCACCAUAACUUCAACUGUUGGACAGCAAAAGGGGCCACUAUCCAAUUGGUCAAGUCGAUGGUGCUAGAAUCAGGAAUCCGGUCGUACAGCCGACUGUAAUCGAGACCUUUCGUGAGCUCAUCUUGGAACUUUGCACGGCCGGUGAAGAAAGCAUAAAUCGGCAGCUGGCCCAGGCCGAAUUGACGUGCCGUGACCGAUGGAUUAUAAAAUUCAUAAGUAGGGGCAUCCUUCCCCGAGAAUAAAUUCGUCGGUAAGAUCCCUGGCUUGAUCAAUUCAUCUGUGAGGUCGUCGUCAAAAGUGUUGGUCGUUGAGUCAAAGCAAGGGGGGAGCUCGAAGAGUGGUUCCGAUCUCUGGUACGGGAACUAGCUAGUUGUCUCUUCGCUGAAACCGUUGUAGAAGCAUCUAAAGUAUUCAGCUACCUUGGUGGCGGAGAACUAGCAACCGGAGAAAGCCGACGCUGCUUCGCCGAAGGAGGUACACCGACGCCGUACGGUGGGAUUUUCCAUCGAUUCGAUAUUGGGAAAGGUCAUGUGCUCCACCUGCUGCUGUGAGAUCUUGCUCAUGUACAGAUUGAGCCAUAGGUUAAUGAACCACCAGGGGCCACCUGGAUUUCCAAUCGGCACUCCCUUGGAUAACUUGACGCUGAUCUGAUGCAGCAUAUGAUAGGCCGAUCCUAGCACAUGUUUCCCGAGAGGAACAGAAGCUCCUAUCGACAAUGCUUCGGCCAGAGCCUGUGUGUUGGAAGAUGGACCAACUGCUCUGCUGCAGAAGAGGUGUUUCUCUAACCACAUCAUUAAGAAGGCCGCGUGCUCCUUCUCUGUGACUAUCCCGGUCCUCUGGUUGCUCUUAAUGAACCCUUUCCACCCGUCGAUUCCUUUUGUUUCAGCCGAUGGGUCAGCUUGACCAAGUAGCGAAAAGGGGUGUCAGGAGAGGAGAUGUCAAGGCCGGUCAACAUUACGACAUCGGCCAGAGUGGGGGUCAUGGGCCCAUGUCCGAAAAGAAAGGCGUUGAGAGCAUCGGACCAAAAAUAGGAAGCUGCUAUCACUAAAGGCUCGUUCCUUUCCAUCUGGGACAAGGACAGGUCGAUACACUGGCCGAUUUUUCGCUCAUCCCAUUGAACUCAGAGUUGGCUAUCCGUUAAUACCACUCUUUCCAACCAGGGGUCUCAUUCGGCCAUGAUCUGAAAGUGCCUGACCAAUGAUCUAAGUCCAUGGUCGAUUGCUUAAAUGGAAUUCUAUGGGUUUCCAAGUUGAUUAGAUCAGUUGGAUCUAGGUUUCCCAUAGGGCCGAGAUAGAUGAGACCGGGGGUUUCGGUAAGGUGAAUGGUGAUUUGGUGCCUAACCUCCUUAAAAAAGGUAAAAAGGGAAGAAGUAAGAAUGGAUCUAAAACAGGUGCCUGGGCGGUGAAAAGUAAAAGGAAAGCUUUUGGUAAAUACCUCCGGGAUGAAGCUCAUCGUGAUUGGCGGAAUCGCCGGAGGAGCUACAGUUGCCGAGGCCAUCGGUGGGACCUCUGUCGCCGAUGAGGCUCCUGCUACCACCGAUGGAGCUGUCACCGCCGCCGCUGUAGCCGCUCCCGCUGGAGCCACCACCGGAGUCUGUGGUGUUGGUGGAGUUCCUGAUGGUGUCUCCAUUGGGGAGAUGGUGUGGAAUGCGGAUGAAAAGGAGUCGCUAGAGGAGGAGAUCAGAAGCUGAAGGGGUGCCGGGGGAAGAAGGAAACUAGUGCGCUAAAGAAGGAAGACGUGGGCUUGUGAAAAAGAAUUACAGGACAUGCUGGUAUUUAAGGACGGUCCGAGAAGGGGUAAAGGCGGGAUUUUACCGCGCCAUCUACAUGAUUUUUGGGGGAGUGGUUGUCUCAGGGGCUUGUUUCAAAAAGAUUGCAAUCAUCAAGCAGGAGACCGCGAAAUGGAAAGGUAUUUUCAAUGCAUUUGUUUCGGAAAGGAAGUUGAAGAGAAUUUCGAAGUAAAGAGUAUGUUUUACUCCGAAACUGGGGGCCAUGUGUUGACGCCGGAUUUUGACACGUAUGCAAUCGGCGUCAAAAAGGGGAAAGGAUUAGCUGAUGCAGCGGGUUGAAAAAGUCACGAUUGGGAAUCGAUCGAUUGGUGCUACAGUUGGAGAUCGGCCGAUUGACGCUGCAGUGUUUUGGCGGACGGAGUUGGUAGGAAUCGGCUGAUUAAGAGGCUGGAGCAAUUGGGCCAAUAUGGGCUUAAAGUGAGUCGCAAAAGAGAAGAUGAGGGGGGAUUGGCCCGCAGGAGGGCAACAACCAACUCCAAUAUGAAUUGUACUUGUAAAUAUUUGUUUUCGUUUAAAAUUAGAGAUAGAUCCUAGUCGGUUAAGAAGUUGGUUGUAACAGGCUAUAAAUAGCCACCUUUAGACGUUUUAUCCUUGCCAAUCAACAGGUCAGAUUGGCUGGCACGCCGUGCGAACCGCACCAAGGUGAUUACCCGAACAGGAGAUAAGCAGAUUCUCCCGGGUCGUGUGUCCGACGCUGAGAGUCAAUCGGCUGACUUUUAGCGCCAACAAUUUGUUUUAGACACAGAAGGAUCACGUCUUUAUUGUAGGACUUAGGAUUGUUCUAAGCAAAGAUUUUCCUGGAAGUGAUCAUGAUGUUCAAUCAAGGUUCAUGGAUGCAAUGACUUUGGUUGCACGGUACGACAAGCCUGAUUAUUUCAUGACGAUGACAUGCAAUCCUUAUUGGGAUGAAAUAAUGGUAGAAUUGUUGCCUAGGCAAACGCCACAGGACCAUCCUAUAUUGUUGCCAGAGUGUACCAUGCUACACUAUUAGAUCUCCAUGAUUUCUUGAUCAAGAAGGGGCAUCUCGACACGUGGCAGCAUGGGCACAUGUAACAGAGUUCCAGAAGAGGGGUCUGCCACACGAGCACUUUUUGUUGGUUAUGGAGGCUGGAAGCAAGUUAAAGAGCCCUGAUGAUUACGAUAGGUACAUAUUAGCAGAAAUUACUAACCCCAAUAAAUAUCCUCAGUUGCACCAGCUUGUUGUCAAGUAUAUGAUGCAUAGUCCUUGUGGUACUCUUAAUAAAUAUUGUCCAUGCAUGGUCAAGGGUUAGUGUCAUUUCCGCUAUCCUCGGCAGUUCAAUGAAACGACGCAACAAGACAAGGACACAUAUCCAAUAUAUAGAAGAAGGGAUGAUGGGAAGAAAGUGAAGGUUAGAGGGAAGGAAUUGGAUAAUAUGUGGGUGGUGCCUUAUAAUCUAGUGCUCCUUAUGAGGUAUAACUGCCAUAUCAAUAUUGAGAUUUGUAGCAGCAUCAAGUCAGUUAAAUAUCUCUACAAAUACAUAUAUAAAGGUCAUGAUCGGGCAUCAUUUACCAUUGAUGCAAAAGGAAAUGAGCACAUGGUAAUCAAUGAGAUCAAGCAAUACCGUGAUGCAAGAAUGAUUACAGCUAUAGAAGAAGUCUACAGGUUGUUUGGUUUUAAGUUGUAUUCAAUGUGGCCACCUGCCUUGUAGAUGCAAGUACACCUUCCUGAUUUGCCCAUGGUUGCCUACAAGUCAACAAACAACCUGAAAGAUGUUCUGCUGUGUCAAAAAUCCCAGAGGCCAAUGCUAACUGAGUACUUCAAGAUGAAUGCAACUAAUCCUAACGCCCACCAGUACCAGUACAAGGAGUUUGCAGAGUACUUCACGUGGAACAAGUCUGGAAAAUAUUGGAAACCCAGAUUUGCAAAAAAAACAGACUUCAGAUUAGUAGAUUGGUGUAGGUAAAUCCCUUUGAAGGUGAUAGAUACUACCUUCAGGUGCUGUUGAACCUUGUGAGGGGUGCAACCUCAUAUGAGAACCUCAAAACAUGGCAUGGUAUUACAAAUGAGACUUUUAGAGCAGCUACUGAAGCUAUGGGGUUUGUAGAUACUAAUAAGUCAUUAGGUCAGUGUCUGAUUGAAUGUGCCAUGGUCAGGUUUCCUUCUUCUCUCUGUAGGAUUUUUGCCACUAUUAUGGUUUUCUACGAGUGCACCAAUAUAUGCCAUCUUUGGGACAAGCAUUAUGAAUCAUUGGCUGAGGAUUUCCAGUGUGCUAAUGACAACAACACUAUGGUUGAGUAGAUGGUGCUCCGUGAUAUUUCUUACCAUCUGACGUCCACGGGAAAAGACAUCAGGCAUUAUGGUCUUCUAGAACUACAUGAGUCAGGUUAGUUUGAUCUAAAUUUUGUAUGGAAAAAACUUAAUUUUACCCCACUAAAUUUUGCAUAUCAUUUGUAUAAUUGGUAAUAAUGUUGAUAAGUUUCCUUAUUUUGUGCAGACAAUCAAUGCUCUAGAGACCAUUAAGGGAGGUUAUAGAGGAGCAGAAUCUUGAUUAUGAAGAGACACUUGGAGAUCAUAGAUAUGCUUAAUGCAGAAUAAAGGGCAAGUUUUGAGGAGAUACUUGACCAUGUUAUCAAGGGCAAGGGACAGAUUUUCUUUGUUGAUAGUCCCGGCGGCACCAGUAAGACCUAUCUAUAUAAAGCAUUGCUUGUAAAGGUGCACUCUAUGGAUCUAAUCGCCAUUGCUACAGCAACAUCCGGUAUAGCAGCAUCCAUUAUGCCUGGUGGACGCACUGCCCACUCCCGAUUCAAGAUUCCAAUCAAGUUAAGUGAAAACACUAUGUGUAGUUUUACAAAGCAAAGUGGGACAACCGAAUUGCUUAGGAGAGCAUCUAUGAUAAUUUGGGAUAGGGUAGCAAUGACUAAGAGAUAGACAGUUGAGGCACUAGAUAGGACACUGCAAGAUGUAACGGAGUGUACACAACCAUUUGGUGGUAAGGUAAUGUUGGUUGGAGGUGACUUUAGAGAGGUUCUUCCUGUUGUGGCCCAUGGUACAAGAGCACAGAUCACUAAUGUUACUUUGCUCAGGUCAUACAUAUGGCAAAGUGUUCGGCGCAUCCGACUGACCCAGAACAUGAGAGCACAAUCUGACACGUGGUUUGCAGAUUAUCUACUAAGGAUCGAUAAUGGCACUGAGGAAACAUUUGGUGAUGACUAUGUGCAGUUGCCUGAUGAAAUUUUGAUUGAUAGCCCUUCAUAAGACAUCUGUAUUGAUAUACUCACUAGCCACGUAUUCCCGAACCUUCAUGUUAAUUGUACAUCUAGAGCUACAUGCGUGAGCGUGCUAUCCUUUCCACUAGGAAUGAGCAUGUGGAUGCAGUGAAUGCAUUGAUGAUUGAUAGGUUCCCCGGCAGUAAACAGGUGUGCUACAACUUUGACUCAGUAGAGGAUGGCCCAUGGAAUAAUUAUCCUUUGGAUUUUCUCAAUUCAAUCACACCAAAUGGGUUGCCUCCACACGAGCUGACGAUAAAGAAGAACUGCCCUGUUAUCCUACUCCGUAAUCUUGAUCCUCACAAUGGCCUCUGUAAGGGCACCCGAUCGAUCGUGAGAGGAUUACAGAAAAACUAUAUCGAUAAUAUGAUUGUUAAUGGCCAGCAUGCAGGGAAAAGGGUAUUCAUACCAGGAUACCAAGGAUACUAAUGUCACCUUCUAAAGAUCUAUCUCUUCCCUUCAAGUUCAAGCGCAAGCAGUUUUCCAUUCGCUUAAGCUUCGCUAUGACCAUUAACAAAGCGCAGGGUCAGACAAUACCAAAUGUAGGUAUCUACCUCCCCGAGCCUAUUUUUUCACAUGGGCAGCUGUAUGUGGCUCUACCUAGAGGUGUUUCUCAUAAGACAACAUGGGCUCUUGCUAGAAAAAAUAAGGAUAUGGAUCCCACUGGAAACGGCACAAAGAACAUUGUCUACAGAUAUGUCUUGGAGUCACGAGGCAUACCAAUUCUAUUUUCACAGUUGAUAAUUUAUUAUGUUGUACAUGUAUAGAUAUCUCUGUUCUCAUGUCCUUUAGAAUAACCGUAUAUAUUGUCCUGCAGUUUAUAUAUGCUUCAGGAUUGUGAACUGCUUGUGGUAAAAAGUCUAGGAAAUGCAUGAGACAAUUUAGUGUGCAUACAUCUCUAUAAAAAGGUUUCUAGGAGUGUCAGGGGAUGGGUUAUAUAUGAGAGGAAAUAUUUGUGUUGUAUUUUCUAGCUGAGCUACAAACAAGCUUCUGCUUAAUCAUUAUUGCUCAACGACAAGUUUCUGAUUGUUUGAAAAUUUCCCAUAUUUCUAUCGUAAUAUGGCCCUGUUUGGUUCCUCUUGCUAAAGUUUAGUUGCUAAAAGUUGCUAAACUUUAGUUGAUAAAGUUUAGCCAAGGCUGUUUGGUUCCCUUUGCUAAUUCAAUGAGAAGGAUAAAGACUUGUUUGCCCCUUCUUUUCUCCCUCCUCCCAUCUUUUUCUCCCUCCUCCCUGGUUCCCUCCUCCCUGGUUCAACCGCCAGGGUCGUUGGCGCCAGUUUCCUGAAGAUUGCGCCAGGGGAGUUAGCGCCAUUUCUUCCUGGCGCCAUGUGCCAUUUCUACCUUGCGCCAAGGAACAAAAUGGCUUGCCACGGUGCUGGCAGCCAUUUAUUUUUUAUUGAAGCCAAAAAUUGUUGUGCAUCCCAAAAAUUACAUUGUUACAAAAAAAAUAAAGGUACCUAUGACCUAUUGAACAAUCCAUCGGCUAUCCAAUCUUGAAACUAGUUCAUGCUUUGAUCUUCAUCUCCAUGUUGGGUAGUACCUUCAUUUGCUUGAGAUGAUGCUCCUUCUGAAGGUGUAGCAUAGUUUUCUUCAUGAUCCGCACUCUCAAAAUCAACAUCAGCAAUAGCACUCUCUCUAAUGAAAUUAUGAAUUGCCAUGCAAGCAAUAAUUAUUUGACUUUGCUUUGCCAUUGGAUAAGCUGGUAAAUCGCGCAAAAUAUGCCAUUUGUUCUUCAAAACUCCAAAAGACCUCUCGAUGACAUUUCUUAAUGAUGAAUGUGCAUAAUUGAACUGCUCCUUUUUACCUCUUGGAAGUGGUCCGGCUCGGAAUUCUGGUAGAUGAUAUUUCGUACCCUUGUAUGGGGCAAGAUACCUAGGUGGGUUUGUGUAUCCAGAGUCCACAAGAUAAAACUUUCCUGCACAUCAAUAGUACCCAUGUUAUAUAUAUGCAGAAACAUUCGUACUACACGAAGAAUUGUAUCAUAGAAGAUGUAAGUACCUUCGGGGGGAUGUGGAAAUUUGUCGCCAUACUUGUUCAAUGCAUCUUUGAAGACUCUCAUAUCAUGAACCGAUCCAGGCCAUCCCGCAAUGAUAAAAGUAAAUCUCAUGUCGAAGUCACAUAUGGCUAACACAAUCUGGCUAGUGUACCCAUGUCGUCCCGUAUGUUGGACAACCUUCUCUGCUAGUACAACAACAGGCACGUGUGUCCCAUCUAUAGCUCCAAUGCAAUUGUCAAAGUAUGGAGAGAAUCGUGGAGAUUUCAACUUCUGAUGCACAGUACUAAAUGUUGUGUCAACUAGUCUAAUGAUAUCCCCUGCUAGCUUGGAAAUACUGUGCAAUACUUUAUCGAACUUCCUACUACAUGUCCAAGUUGACCUAACAAAACGAUCUUCGGCUUGCCUCAUGCUUUGAGGGGCACCACACAUCUAUAGGAAUAAAGCUAAAGACUCUACUGAUAUCAUUCUCCUUGUAGACUUUAAUCCAUAAGAUUGGACAAGGAGAUUAUGAAGCCUAUCAAAUAUGUCCCUAUUCAUCCUGAACAUGUUGUAGCAAGAUGAUCUAUUUCCUAAAGUUUUGAUAACCCAUUCAUAUCCAGAUUAUGUAGGCACCCCAUAUUGUGAUCUGUUCAAGUAUGUGUCAUAAUAGUACAUACCGAGCAAAGCACCAACGGCAACAAGUUCUCUUCUUAUCCUUUUCCUCUUAACCAGCCAGUCAUCAACAUAAUCAAACAAGUCAACCUGUACACACAUUGAAAUGCCAUGGAUCAGCCAUGAAAUAGUUCUCAACAAGGCAGGAAAUCAUAUCUCACAUGACAAUCAAAUAGUCCACAGAAGAUAGUAAAUCAGUUCUCACACAACAACUAAAUAGUCCACACAUGACAGAAACAUAGUUCACACAAAUUUCUUAAAUAGUUCUAACUAUCUAAUGACAGAGGCAACACUUCAUGACAGCUACUUGUUGUUGCCUACACUUCAUGACCUACCAAAGUACUUCCCACACUUAAUUUGCAACCAUUUCAACCUUGCUUCUUUUGUCUUCAAUGUGCCAAAAGCUAUUCUGUUUAGUCUAAUGGUAAACAACUCCAUAGCAACAAAGUACUCUUCUGACUCUUCUGAUGCUCCACACUCCUGUGCCAUAACAAGGCUUUCUUUGAACUCCUCUUUUUCUUUAUCCUAAGAAUGCCUUCUAAAUUCCAACUUGGUAUUGUUAUCUUCAGAGCUGCUAGCUUGCAUAGUGUCUAUGAGGCCCUUGAACAUGCUAAAAAAUGGACUUUUACUCUUCUUUGGAGGGCUUGAUGCUGUAUCAUUUGUACUGGUACUCCUUUUUCGGCUGCCAUUACUCAUAGGGCUCUCUUGAGGGUAGUCGUCCUCAUCCACCGGUAAGUCAUCUUCAUCAGGGAACCCCUUAUCCUCAUCCACAUCUCCAGCUAUGGUAGAUGUUGAUCCAUCAACAACCUUUUUGUGGAACAUCUCAUGCAAUAGCUCAACAUAGUGAGGUAUGAAUCUACUAAAUUUACUGCAUUCUGGCAACUGCAAUCCAAUGACAGAGGAAUUCAGAAACUAUGUACCUUGGAACAAAAAAAAGUAAACAGCACAAACAAAAAAAAAACUAUGUACCUUGCUGUUAUAUUUCCACCAUUUCUUCGAAGCUCAAAUUGCUCCAUUACUUUUCUACCUAAACCUGAUUGUUUCAUCGCCAAAUUGUAAAAUUCAUAUAAUUUCCUGCAUUGUGUCCACCUAUUUCUGAAUUGCUUGAUUUCAUGCUUGAGGUUAGUCCUUUCCUUGAAUUUUGCAGCUAUUUCCUUGAAACCUCUAGAAUUCACCACCCCACCUGUUGCAUUGCCUAAACGGAUUUGUUCCACAGAUAAUUCACAAAAAAUGCCUGUGUUUUUUUCGCUGCAGUUUGCUUUGUCAUAUUUGUUCUAACACAAAAUGCAAAACAUAAAUACUCUAACAAAACAAGAGAUCCACACUACUCUAGGAGGACAGGACGCUUACAUAAGGUUCGUCCCCAGUUUUGUCGCCUAAUUCUUCAACAUCCUCUUUGUUCAUGGAUGAUGAAAAGGCGGCAGGGGCUGGGCCUCGUCCCAACUGUCGGGGAUACAUCCCCAGUACCCGCAAGGAAGGAAGAAGUCAGACUCCUACUAGGAUUCCCCUGUAAUCUGACUAGGACUAGUCCCGUGUACUCCUACUAGGACUCCUCCUUGUAAUCCGACUAGUACUCUGCCCCCUGGAGUACAUAAAGGAGGGCAGCGGCAGGUCAUACCUCAACACCCAAGCCCAGGACACCCAAGAACAACUCCAGAUCAUCAAUCCCCAACAUCAAUACAAACCAACACACAGGACGUAGGGUAUUACGCGAUCUAGUGACCCGAACCUGUCUAAAUCGUGUUCCUUGCGUCACCAUUGAUUCCUUGAUUCUCGAGGACCCUUACCGCAUAAAAGACCACCUAGGGUACCCCUAGGCGGGUUGCCGGUCUAAAACACCGACAGCUGGCGCGCCAAGUAGGGGAGCUCGUCGAGUUUCUCAGCAUGAACUCAAUGGCGAAAGUCAUCAUCAGGCCCGUCUUCUUCAUCGAAGUCGGCGCCACCUUCGUUUUUGGAUCCUGGCUCUGCAUCGCAGACGGCACCGGAUUGUUCCAGCGCCAGAUCGUCAACUUCGACGGCGACCUCGAGUUCCACCGCGAUUCGAACUCGAACUCCAACGGUGACUCCAGGUCCGACUACAACUUGGAGACGGCGACUCUGGGUCCGACUACGACUCGAAGUCCGACAGCGACUCUGAGUUUGACUACAACUCGAAAGUCCGACUACAUCGCAAGCUCGCCGACGACUACGGGCGGCUCGCUGAUGAUUUCAUCGACUAUGUCGUAGGCACACCGACUACUUCAGCCAAGCAUGGUCUAUGCUCAAAACGCACCCUUGUCUCGGGGUCUUGGAUAAGUCCGACCAUCUAAGCCAGGGGUCGGGCGAUUCGAAGCCUUGCGGCAAGGUGUCGGGCGCAUCCGACCCUGGGACCAAGGGUCGGGCGAGGCAGAGUUCCACCCUCAAAGGGUCGGGCGUAUCCGACCCCGGGACCUUGGGUCGGGCGAGACAGAAUGAACUACUCCUCGCCCGCGUCAAGACAACCACGGUCAGCUUGCCGACCACUCCGUCAACUCGGGCAGCUCGUUGACAACUUCAACUAUGUUGCGAGCUCGCCGGCGACUACGGGCGGCUCAGCAACAACUUCGACUACUCCCCUCGACUACUUCGCUCGACAACACGCUGAUGACUACUACGUCAUGACACUCGCCGACGAUUUCUCCUAGUACGUCGCGGCGCUCGCCGACUACUACGGGCGGCUCGCCGACGACUACUCCGACCACAUCGCGACGCCCGCUGACGACUACUACUCGUCUCGACUACAAGUCUAGUCGAGGGCGGACUACCCCAACUCUUCGUCUCAACUAAAAAAUUAGUCGGGGGAAACUUCGCGUCGUCGACAACUAGUCAGAAUUGCCUCCGACUAGUCGACUUCGUCAACAACCAUUACGACUUCAUCAACGACCGUCACGGCUUCAUCAACAAUCAUCCACGAAUAAAGCUAAGUCACUUUUCUAAAUUAUUUUCUGGCUUAUUUUCCAUUUGCGCGCAACACGCGCUCUACUCGCCGGAAACUCUUGCACGCAACGCGCGCUCUAUUCGCCGGAGGGUAGCAAACUCUUUCGCGCUACCGCGCUCUCUUUUUUUCGCAACAACGAAUAUUCCCUCUUGUCUUCUCUUGAGGUCACUACUCUUCUCGAGUAGAACACGCCUUAACUCGUGAAAGCCUUAGGCGCAUCUGUCACGCCUAAGCCCAUACGCGUAUACGAGGCCGAUCUCACACACACAGCGGCAACGGCUACCCAGAGACUGAGAGCCUAAGCGUAACAGGCUAACUACUCGGGAAGAGUAUGACUAAAACAAGAGCUUGACUCGCAAUCAUGUAGUCUCUUUCUUAUCGCAGCAACGCCUCCUCUCACUUUUGUCUUCUCUUAAGGUCACUACUCUUCUCGAGUAGUACAUGCCUUAACUCGUGAAAGCCUCAAGCGCAUCUGUCACGCCUAAGCCCAUACGCGUAUACGAGGCCGAUCUCACACACGCAGCGACAACGGCUACCCAGAGACUGAGAGCCUAAGCGUAACAGGCUAACUACUCGGGAAGAGUAUGGCCGGAAUAAGAGCAUGACACAACUUUCAUACCGAUCACUGAAUAAAUUUCAGCAGUUUAAAAAUUCUACAAAUAUGCUACAUAAUGUACGCAUUUUUUCUUUCAGGUCAAGCUUUGGCGACGACGCUCGUCGCAACACCCACUAAGCAUGCCUCCAACGGCACAGGCUAGUUCCUAAACUCGGGAGCUACGCGCCAAUCAGUACUCCUAAUAUCUCCAAUGGCUCAGCUAGCUCCCAGGCUCGGGGGCUGGACGCCGCAAAACCACUCGAUGUGACUCCAACGACUUACCUGACGCAUAAGCAUAGGGCUGGACGCCGCAAGACUACUCGAAUGAUGACCUGAGUAAAGAUUCAAGACCCUCGGGUUGAUUAUUCAAUCAAUCCAAGGCUCGGGGGCUGAUAAGCUACACCUAACAAUCGAUUUUUUCAAGUCGAAAGAGGAAGAUUCAAGAUUUUGACCCUCAGCCUGAUUCUACGAUUCAACCUAAGGCUCGGGGGCUACUCCAUAUGGAGUGCGACUUUCGCCGCCCUGCAUACACGAAGACUACAAUAUCAUGUUGAUCAAGACUUUGAGCACACCAUAGCCUCAUGGCAGCUUUGAGAAGCAUUGAAAGAUUCAGCCUGAUAAAGUACUCGAAGAGCACCAAGACUACUCGACGAAUAUCUCAAGACUACUUCAAGACUGCUGCAUUCGACUAUGAAGCGCUCAGGGGCUUGUCGGGGAUACAUCCCCAGUACCCGCAAGGAAGGAAGAAGUCAGACUCCUACUAGGAUUCCCCUGUAAUCCGACUAGGACUAGUCCCGUGUACUCCUACUAGGACUCCUCCUUGUAAUCCGACUAGUACUCUGCCCCCUGGAGUAUAUAAAGGAGGGCAGGGGUACCUAGCUCGGCAGGUCAUACCUCAACACCCAAGCCCAGGACACCCAAGAACAACUCCAGAUCAUCAAUCCCCAACAUCAAUACAAACCAACACACAGGACGUAGGGUAUUACGCGAUCUAGCGGCCCGAACCUGUCUAAAUCGUGUUCCUUGUGUCACCAUUGAUUCCUUGAUUCUCGACGACCCUUACCGCAUAAAAGACCACCUAGGGUACCCCUAGGCGGGUUGCCGGUCUAAAACACCGACACCAACCUCCCCCGAAUAGGUUGCUGGAUAGGAGGACUAGCAUCUGAAAUGUAAGAGGAGAAACAAUCAGAACCAGCAACGACAAAUCACCAAGAACAAACACCAAGAUGAACCAAGUCAACACAAAAAAAGAGGUAAACCUGCAGGUGGCGAAAGUGAAGCAGUAGCACUCCUUCCAUGGCCACGGCGACCAUCACGUGCGGUGACACCCCUUCCCCGGCUGAUGGAAACACCACCAUCGCUCUGACGGGGAGGUUGAAACGAGCCGAGAUGACCACCAUCGCCACAUCCUCUUCCAGACUCCAGAAUAUUGGAGUACUCAUCAAGGUAGGGGAAUGCCUCAUCCUGGGAGUUGAGGUCAAGAUCCUACAUGUUAACCCUCCCAAUCGAGAGAGAUGGAGCCGCCCGAGCGCGUGACGGGCCUUGGGACAGGAACUCCAAGUCGUCUAGAUUGGGUAUGGCAGCAGGAUUAGGGAAAGAAGGGGCCGCCAAGGAUGAAGCACCCUGCGAUAACCAAUCACGGUAUCCAUCCAUCUGCUCGGAGCGGUUGCGGUGGGGAUGGGGCAAGGGGAGGUGGCAGCGGUGAUGGGGAUGGUGCAGGGGGACGUUGGUGGCUGCGGUGGGGAUGGGGCUGGUGUUAUUUGCGCCGGCAAUGGAGAUGGAAUAGGGAGAGGCACCGAUGGGGAUGAGGAUGGAGAAGAGGCUGUUGGCGGCGGCGAUAAGAAUGGAUCCGGGGGUUGCGGCGGCGAGGAUGGCGGAUCCGGGGUGUGGCAGCGGGACAGAUUCGGGGUGGAGGUGGGGGGAGGGGGAAUAUGGGAUGUGGAGAUGGGGAUGAAUCCAAGACCUGCGGCGGAUGGGGUGCAAGCACCGGCGGCGGGGCUGGACUACAGGAGCCGGCGGCGGUGGAUGUGUCAAGCGGCGGCGGUGGAUGCGUGGUGGCGGCGGCGGUGGAUGCGAGGAGCAGAGGAGUGCGAGUGCGAGUGCGAAUGUGGGAGGGGUAGGGAGGAAUAGAGGAUGCGGGUGGGGUGCGAGUGCGUCAGACGCGGGUGGGGUGCGAGUGCGGGAGUGCGGGUGCGCACCAGACAACAAUAAAUGAGGGGUAUAGGGUGUCCAGCUCCACCUUUUAGCAAGUUUAGCAACCAAAAUCUUGCUAAAGUGCUAAACUUUAGCAACUAAACUUUAGCAAGUUUUAGCAAGGGUGUUUGGCAGUUUAGCAGCUAAAAGUUGCUAAACUUUAGGUGGAACCAAACACCACCUAUGCCGAUCAUCCCAUGAGAACAUUAUUGCUUACUUGGAUUCCUAUAAUAACGGUUUAUCUUAUUUUAUUUAUAAAAUUAUUUAUCAUGUUUUAAUUAUGCACGUGCCGAGCACAUCCACUUGUGUUCCGAAGGAACCCUUACUGUAAAUUUGAUUUCCGCAGCAAGCAUGACCCUUACACGAACGGGACGCUAAAGCCUAAAUGAUUUUGUUGGCCCGUAUGUUCCGGAUCCGAAAUUAGGUACGGAGCAUCCGCUUUGUGCGUCCCCACCGUCCCCCUUCCCUAAUGUUUGAAUGUUUGAACACUGAUUAGAAGUAUUAAACAUAGGCUAAUUACAAAACCUAUUUCACAACCCCUAGGCUAAAUCGCGAGACGAAUCCAUUAAGCCUAAUUAGCCCAUGAUUUGACAAUAUGAUGCUACAGUAAACAUUCGCUAAUGAUGGAUUAAUUAGGCUUAAUAGAUUCGUCUCGCGAUUUAGCCUAGGGGUUCCGCAAUUAGUUUUGUAAUUAGCUCAUGUUUAGUCCUCCUAAUUAGCAUCCGAAUAUCCGAUUUGACUCGGCCUAAAUUUUAGCUCCAGGAUCCAAACACCCCCUUAUCUCUUUCCAACACCAAAACCACCAUUUUCCCUUUUUUUUCCCUCUUCGUCACCAUCACGGCAGCACCACUGCUACGAACCCUAUAUAGCUCGGCUCCGCCAUCCCUCCCCUACGGGCUACGGCCCCCUACCGGCCAGAGUUCAUCUCCACAGCCAGACUUCUCCGUUCGUGCUCUCAACAGCUCUCUCUUCUCUCCUCCGACGAUUCGUGCUCGUCCAACUCUGGUCGGUGGUGGUAGACGGCUGGCGACAAGGUGGGUCCUCCUCCUGCUCCUGCUCCCCAUUCCUCUCUCGGAUCGAGGCAUGGUGGUGGCUGGGUUAGGGUUUCCGGUUCGGGGUCGUCGGGGGAGGGCUCCAUGGCCGGCGGGCUUAGAGUGUCUGGCGGCGGCAGUAGUCACGGCGGCGGUGGCGGAUCGAGGGUGGCGAGGUGACGUGCUGCGGGCGGCGGGCGGCGUACGACAACCGGCGGGAAGGGCCGACGGUGGGGGCGAGCGGCUUCCUCAGUUAGCUAAUGGCGGGGUGGAGGGCGGCUUGUGGGUGGCGCGGCCAGCGGCGCCAUUGCCGGCGGUAGCAGGGGCAGUCCAGUUCAUUGAACCUGGACUGUGGAUGCCGUCGCCCCAAAUCUUGCAUGUGCAAGAGUUAGUAAAGUCCUUGAUUUAUUUACAUGUCGAAGCUGCGCAUCAUGGCGGGCACGCCUUUCUCCUUCACCUUUUUGUCAUGUGAUGAUUUAUUUUAGCAACAGGAAAAUAUGAAUUAACUGAUUUGUUUUUCAAAUCGAAAAGGUUUGGUUCGUUUAGCUCUUGGAUCCUGGUUUGUGUUGAAUUAAUGAAUUAUAUUAUGACUUUGCUACCUUUUUAUAGGAGGUACCAUCUUAAUGUUUAAACAUAAUUUAUUAAUGUUUGUACUCUUAUUUGUGUGAUUUACAGUGUGCUCCGCCACUGCUAUUCAGAGCUGUCAGCAGAGCCCCAUUGAAGCCCGCAGCCCCAUGGAAGUCCAAUCGAAUCGUCUCUUUUCCAUCCCUGACUGGGUGGUUCUGGAUCAUCAAAUCUUCCUCAAGGACCUCGACUCCUUUCGCAACAACGCGGUGACAUCUACAGAAGUAUGCGCUAGCAAUAGCGAACUGGUUCGCGUCUCCUUCAUUCUUAGCGCGCUGCCGGGUACAUCCCGUCUAUGCGUGCACCUCAAGGAGGGGCACGAGCUGUCCUGCUUGGACACUGUGGUGGCGGCCCACGGCAAGGCCGUCCUCUUCCGACUGAAGGUCGACUUUGAGGGGCUGACGGGCAAGGCGAUUGACUACUUCAUCUACUGGGCCUACACCUCUGGCCCCAAGCUCUCACUGGUCCCGCGCUACUACUCGACAGUAAAGGAGAUUGCAGCAGCAGAGGAGGGAUCCUGGAGGAGAAGGCUACGGCAUCGUAUGGCAAACUAUAGAGGUAUUGGCCUCUUGCUCACUGGCGAUUCAGAAGAAUUCGUGGUGGCUGAGCUCCGUCUUAAUCUUUCCAAGCUUGAAGACGAUGUAGAUGCACCUCUGGAAGGUGAGCUAUUCAGGCUCCGCUCGGAUGGGGCAGGCGCUGCUGGCGAGUGGGAGGUUAAGAACACGAGCGUCCGUGAUGGCAAGCCUACAUUUCGUGACAUUCAUGGUUGGUGGGAAGCUCACAAGGUUGUUCCUUACGCCAGGUACCUGU